rnacentral:lncRNA from 1 species
AAGUCGAUAAGUGUUUGGAUGUACGACAAGUACGAGUCUAAUGAUCAUUCAUACCACAACGAAAGCAUUGAUUUUCACCACUUUUUAAUUUCUUAUUUUGUGGAGUUUUUUCUCUAUGAUCAUCAUUUGUGGUCUUGAAAUCUAAAUGAUUAUUACUACGGAAGGGUAUAAUUACUUUUUCCUUUACCACGGUCAUGACCUCGACCACGACCUCGACCUCGACCAUUAUUGUUUGAAAAUACAACAUUCACUUCAGGAAAUGAUGUUGUUUCAGUUGGCUGAGAGUCAUAGUUAUUCAUUAAUAACUUGUUAUUUUGUUCAGCCACAAGAAGACAUGAUAUGAGUUCAUAAUUUUUUUUUAAACCACCCUUCUCGAUAUUGUUGCUGCAGGAGCAUAUUCGAGACAUGAAAUGUGAAAAAUGUUUUCUCUAACAUAUCUUCAUCAAUAAUUUUUUCUCCGCAUAACAAUAGUUUUAAACAAAUUUUAAAUAAUGUGGAAUUAUAAUCACUUACUGAUUUAAAAUCUUGCAACAUUAAUCUUUGGCCAACUUCUUAUUGAUUGUUUACCAAAUAAUCGUCUAUUGUUUUGUAACUGAUCCUACCAAGUGCUUGCGCCACCUUGAAGUUUGAGAGCAACUAAUUAGACCUUCUUGUGUUCGGGUGUAUUGGCAUAGUCGAAAUUUUUUUCUACAUUCUUGAUCUAAUUAAGAAACUUCUCCACGUCCAUUCGACCAUUGAAGGUAGGGAGAUCUACUUUCAUACGUAUUUCUUGAUCUUCUUGAAAGUAUGGUCGAAGUCCAAGCCUUUGUUGAGGUUCUUGAUGAGUGUUCAACAAGUUGUCUUUAUCAGAAGAGUCAAAAUCGUCUAAGAAAUAUCCAAGUACGUUGUUUCCAUACAAUCAGUUAUUGUGGAUGUGAAUAGGUUGACUUCUUAGUCGUUCUUGGUUUACAGCAGGGUUUCUUGGUCUUUCUUGUCUUUCUUGGUUUGAUGCAAUUGGGGUUCUUGGGGGCUGAAUUGCUUCUUCUAAAGGUUGGACAUGAAAUCGGGUAAAAGGUUUGUUAAUUCUAUUAAUGAUGUUGUAUAUCCGACUGCCCUUUUCAAAGUUCUUCAACAGCUUUUCUACCAACUGCAAGCGUUGGUUGAAGAAGGCUUCUGCGUCCAUCGAUAAGAGUGAUAGGAUCCAAGUUUUUUGAGGGAAAGGUGAGCUAGGAUCACGCUCUGAUACCAAUUGAUGCAGUAAAAAUCUUUAUGUAUAAUGUAUUUUUUUAUGAUUUAUUAAUGGAAAUGAGAACUUUUUAUAGGCUAGAGAUUACCAGAGUUGUUAAACUAAAUUGGGGUUGAGUUAGUUUAACUUGAGAUUGAGUUGGUUUAUUUAUAAUUAACUCAAGAAACAAAAUUGGUAAUUCAAAUAACUAAUCCUAAAUUAUAAAAAUGGUAAUUCAGACCCCUCCUCUAGGAUAAAACUCAAGAAACAUCAAGAAGUGGAUGUUCUACAUCAAUUUUUCAAUUCAUAAAAAUAAUAAAUGUUUUGAAACUUACAACUUAAAAAAAUGUUUUUAUGAAAUUUUGUUUUGUGUUGUAUGGGGAUGUUUGUUUUCUUAUUUUUCAAUGAAUUGGGUAUUUUGUGUUGUAGGGCAAUCUUCUUCUUUUUCAGUUGUAUUGAUCUCGUGGGCAGUAAAAUACCUUCUUGCUCUAUCCAUUUCAUUUCUUUUGUCCAAUUGAAUGAGAAAUUUGUAUUUUUUUUUUUUUUUUGCCUUUAGUUAGAGUCAACUUUAUGUAUGUAUUUGAUUGCUCCUUGUUCAUCUGUAUUUUUUUAGACAGUAUUAGGAUUAUCUAAAAAAUACGCAUUCAUAAAAUAAAAGAUAUAAUUGUAGAUUGUAUAGAUAUUUACAUGAAGCAUUUCUUUAGCAUAUUUAGAGACGUCACAUCCUACUAAUAUUUUCGAUGCCUCAAAAGUAGUUAUGUGCGCAUUCAUUUCUCCAUCAGAAACUAACAUUUUGAGCAUAUAUUUUCUAAUGAAGGUUCAAUCUUUACUGCAAUUGCUACAAAAAGUUGUUGCAUCGUUAUAAGUUGUUGCAUCGUUAUCAUUUGGAUACAGUCUCUGAAAGCAUGUUUUACAUUUUUCAAACCAUGAUUUUUCUUUAUUAGAUAUAGUAAUAAUUGAUGCUAUGAAAGAACAAUAUAUAGCCUCACUCACUCAUUCAAUUAUAUUUUUUAUGCUAACCACUUUAGGUUCUUGCAUUCUUCUUGAAGAAUUUAUAAUAGACAACUUUCUAUAAUCAACUAAAUUUUCUCUCCUGCGUGAUAUGUUUGGACAUGAAAGAACAAUAUAUAGCUCCUUUGUAUCGGGAAGUUUCAGAUCCAUAAGGAUAAUACUCGAUAUAGCUGUUGACAAACUCACUUUCCCUAUUUUUUUAAAAAGCAUUAAGAAUAUACAUUUAAUUUAUUAACAUAUUAUAUGAUUUCCAAGUAGAGAGAUAUUAUAAUUUUAUAUUUAAUCCUGAUAUAUAUCUUUGUAGAUCUUAACUUUAACAUUGGUUACCACAAUUGUAAGAUUAUUGCUAGCAUAUUUUUCCAUUUCUGAACUUUCAUUUUCUGCCAAAUCACUCCAUAAUGUUAACUUCAUCGUAGAACAACUUCAAAUUACAAUGAAAAAUUGUUUGAAUAUAUAUAUGAAAAAAUAGCUAAAUGUGAAUAACAAGAACUUAAAUCAAAAUAAAUGAAAUAUCUAUUUACAUUACCUCUCAUCUAUAGGCUAAAUAUCUCUUUUUGUCAAACUUAUGUUGUUUGAGUUGUAAUGGAUCACACAAAAAAAGACAAUUCCUACAAAAUCUAUUCAUGAAAUUGUAUUAAACUAAACAAAUAAAUAAAUGAGAAAAACAAAAUCAACUAACAAAUUAAAAAAUCAAUUUACAAGCCUAUUAAUGCUUUUUUGUCAACUAGUAAUGAAAUUGCUUGAAAUUCAACAAAAUCAAAUUUCAACAUAUUAAAAUUGCUUGACUCUUCUAGUUCUUCCAUGUUUGAUAUGGGAGACAAACUAAUUUCAAUAUCGAGAUUAACACUUGAAAAUUUCAUAUUUAAAUAUAUAUAUAUAAAAAAGAAAAAAUAAAUUAAUUUAAUAAAGAAAUAUAUUUUUAGAAUGUAAAUGUUUAAUAUAUAUAUUAUAUUAUAUAUGUGUAUGUAUAUAUAAAUAAUGAGAAAAAGUGAAAUGUGUGGAACUCACGUAUAUAAAUAAUGAGAAAAUAAAAAAAUGUGGGGUCUAGUGUAGUGUAUAUAUAAAAAUAAGAAAAAAUAGAAGAUGUGGAGUCCACUGCAUGAAAGUCGUGUACCAGAAAGUCGUGUACCCGGUACACGACUUCACCUCAAUUCACUUAUUUUUUAAAAAUAGUUUUGCACUCAAUCUAUUUUUGAUAUAUGUUUCAAAUUUUACAUUACUUUUAUAAAAGAUCCCAUUUCAUAUUCUUUCCUCUUCAAUUAACAAUUAGAAAUCAUAUAUAUUAAUUAGCAAUAUUUUGUUUUAUUUUAAAAAUGACAAAACUAUCCAUCAAAUUAAUUUCAAAAUGGUUAUAAAGGAAGGCCAAAAUAAGAAUAAAAAGUUUUUCCAUAUAGGAGCUUUUUUAUAUAUACAGUAUAUAUUUGUUUAAUUUCAUUUAAUAUUACUUAAAACUAAAUAUGGAAUAUAUUUCAUUACGUUCUUUUUAUUCGUUAUCAAUCAUAUUCUGUCGUAUUUUUUUCGCUUCCUUGCCUUUCCAUUCCCUUUCAUUAUCGACUUCUUGUGAUAAUAGAUCACCUACCAUUUUCUUCUGCUAGUGAGUUUCUUCUCACUAUAACGUACUUGUAGUGUUAAACGCAACACCUUUAACGUUUUGGCACAUCAGUUCACACCCUUCUAUUUGUCAUUUUCAUUUUUAUUUUAGAGAGAUAGAUGAGUAUCUUGUUUUACAUUGUAUUGGUUUUAUGCUCAUUUACCUAUUUAUUUUCUAUUAUAUAUCAAUAUUUUUCUUAUAUUUAAAAUUGUAUUUUCAUGAUUAACAUAAUAUAUUUUUAAUUAGAUGUAUUACUAUUUUUUAUAUAAUAUGUAUUAACAAGGUUUAUUAUUAUUAUUUUUUAUAUUUAGUUUGUUUGAUGUUUCUAUAAACGAAAGUAGUAUUUUGCUUAUGUUCAAAAUAUAUUCCAUGGUAUAUAUGUUCUAUAAGAAGUAGAUUGAUUCUUUUGUUAUUAACAAACGUAUAUACGUUUGUAUUACCUGAUAUAUUUUCAGGUUUCAUGUCUUCAACCCUUGGAAUACAUGCCGACCGAUGGUUGCCUCCAAUCACAAUCAACAUUAAUAAUCUUCACAAAUUUAUAACUUCAGUUUAAAUAUUGAGUUUGACACUAUGCUGCGAAUAUUAGUUCAAACUUCAACAUCGCCUACUUCCAUUUCACUACACCAUAUGUACAUACCAAUCAUAUACCAAAUAUAUGUACAAUUUUAUUUCUAUAUUUUGUUUUUAGUUUCAAAUAUGUGUCAGCUAGUUUAUUUAAAAUAAUAUCAUAACUUCCUUCUAUCUUAUUUUAUGAUCUAAUUUAUCAUGUGUUAAUAUUAUAUUAUAUAAUAUGGAAAAUAUAUAUGCUCUAAUCUAUUUCACGUAGUCAAGGUUACAAAUACCAUGUAAUUGAGAUUCUCAAUUCUUAAGAUUUAAUAGUCAUUCAUUAUAACAAACAUAUGCCAACUAUACAAUAUUAUACCAUUUUCAUUCGAUUUUCUUCUUUUUUCUUCAUGUCAUUAUAUAAAACUUUCUCGUCGAUUGACCUUAUCAACCUGUUGAUUUCUUCCCGAGUAUCCCCUGUGCCUUAUUACAAUUAUGUACACAUGUUAGUUACUAAGAUGUAUUCUAAACAUUAUGAAUAGGUUGUCUAUAUUCGGUUCUUUUCUUUUCCUUGUACUGUGAGCCAUCUCCCUCUUGUCCUUGGGUGGUAGGUAUUGUUUUUUAUGUGCUUAAUUUAGUUUGUCCACCAUCUGGCCCUCCGAAAGUUUGGUUCCUAUUUCUAGUCGUGUUUUCCUUUUCUUCAUCGUCAAGAUCGUCAUCUUUCUUCCUAAGCACUUUUGGAUUGCUUGAUUCCAAGUUUAGUUUGUCAUCUUAAUCUUUUUGUUUCUUCUCUUCUUCUUUGUCCUCUUUUACUAUGUCAAGGUGCUUCUCAAAGUUUUUUGUUCCCUGCAUUCCAAAUACACAUAAUCAGAAAAGAAAAUUUCAAUUUAUAUCACAUGCUUACCAUAUAUUCGUUAGUCUCUUGUGCAUUCGAAGAACUAGGUUGCUUACUCUUGAUUUCUUAAAAAAUUCUAUACAAUUUGUUUCCUAGUUCUUCAAACUUUCUAUUCAUCUUCAACUCCAUGGAUUUAAAAAAUUCAAGAAUACCUUCUAUUUGUUUGAAUAUAUUUAAUUUGUUCCAUUUGUUUUAUUGUUUAAUUAUUUUUCUUAAUUUAACAAAUCGAUUUAUUGGUUAAAUUGACCAUGUUUGAUUGCCUUGAUUUUCUAUAGAGUUACAAUGUAUUUGUACAUACUACAUGACAAUAUUAUCAUUUUCAUAUUAGUUCCACAAUAUUUGACAGACUUUAUAGCACAUGUUGCUGACACAAUUACAUUGUAAUUUAUGCAUUUAAAUAAUGUGAUAAACUAUUCUUCAAAUAUUAAUAUUUAUUUGCUCAUAUAAUCAUAUAUUUUUUCAAUCCAAAAAACUUAACAUUAAGAUGAAUUUGUUAUAAAACCAACAAUAAGAACGACGUCCUAAAUAAUGUCAUUAAAUCUUAAUCACGGUUGUUUAACUAACAAAACUUUAUAAUAACCAAUAGAAUUAAGAUUUUCUAAACAUAGUAUAUGUCAAGUAUGAAUGAUAACAGAUUUGAGACACACAUAAAAAGGUAAAUUUUUUUGUCAUCAAGAUAUAGUAUCAUUCGCUUGCGCAUAAAAUAAUCUAUAUAUUCUAAAUAUAGUGUAUUUGAAUAGCUCAAAAAAUGAGACAAGAUAUUAGAAAUAGUACAAAAACAGUGUAUUUUGCAAACAACAUUCAAAUUUGAUAAAUCUUAACUAAAUCAGCUAUUUUGUUACUGGACAAGAUUGCAGCAACUCCUCUAAUAAUGACAAAUAUAUAUACAAGAUUUCCAGUUUUAUUAUACUUUAAACAAUUUAUUAAAUAAUAGAUAAUAUAUAUUUUUAAUAACAUUUUGAAUUUGAAUUUUAGAUCUUUUCCCUAAAAUAAUGUCAAACAUAAAUACAACAUUUUUAUAUUUUAAAUAAUUUAUUAAGAAAUACAUAAUAUAUAUUUUUAAUUUGAAUUUGAAUUUUAGAAUUGUAACUAUGUUCAAUGAUAUUUUUGCAAUUAUGUGAAUAUUUUAUUUUAGGUUCCAUUUUGGAGGAACAUAUGACCAUGGAGAAGAAGAAAAUGAGGCAUAGGAAUAAGACAUAGCUUUUAAACAAACAAGAACUAGCUCUUCAACCGUUCGCCGAAUGCUUUCUUCAAUUGAUGGGAGAUUCUGGAGAGGAAGAAUGGAAUAAAUGUGGAGCAGAAGAAUGCUUUUUGGUGGAGGAAUGAUAGGGAUACUUUUCGAGGGAGGGAUGCUUUUCAGUGGAGGGAUGUUUUUCAGUGGAGGGAUGUUUUUCGGAAGAAUGCUUUUCAAGGAAGCAAUGAACAUAAAUUAAAAAAUUGCUUGGUUUCAAAGUGGAGAUUUGAUGCCUUCAGUGCCUACAUUGCUUGAAUGUGAUGUGAAAUUGUUGUAGACAAUGGGUGGAGAGUUGAUGGUGAUGGUGAUGGUUUUUUUUAAUUACAUUGUAUUUGGAGUUUAUUCCAUUAGUAUAUUUAUGAUUCAAGUGUUUUAGUUAGAUAGGGGCAUUUAAGACAAUGCUCCGACUAUUUUUUUUUAAUUUUUUCUUGUUUUGCUAUUUUCUCAAUUUAAAAAUAUUUUUAUCAUUUAUUAUCCAAAGCGAUCCUCCUAUUUUGUCAUUAUUCUUAUCGACCUUAAAUAUUUUACCACAUUGUUUUAUUUUUUAAAAGACUCAUUCUUUUUAAGUAAUUGGUUGUUUAAAUCCCACAAUUUUCUAUCUUAAAUGUAAUUUUUAAAAUUAAAAUUUUAUUUAUCUACCUUAUAAGUAAAUACUUAUAAAUCAUUUUAGAUUUAAAUUUUAAAAUUAAAUGGAUUUCCACCCUAUUAUGAUUUAUGGGAAAUUGCAAUGAAUGACUAUUUUAGCAAUAAUAAUUAAGGAUAUAACAACAUUUUAAAAAAAUUACAAAUAUAACAAAACUAUCACUGAUAGACUUGUAUCGUUGAUAGACUUCAUAUGGUCUAUCAUUGAUAGACCAAUAUUUGUAACAUGAUCUAUCAUUGAUAGAAUUUGACAAAUUUUGCUAUAUUUGCAAAAUUUUUAAAAUUGUGUUACAUACUUAAUUAAUUUGAAUUUAAUUGCUAAAUUUGCAACUAUCCCAUGAUUUAAUAUUUGAUUUCAUAGUCCAAAUCAAUUAGGUGAAAAUUGUAUGGGUUCAAAACAAGAACUCACUUGAAAAGGAAUGUAAAGAUCGAAUAAAAAAGCUAGGUGAAAUUGAUAAACUUUUUGAUGGGGAAGAAUAAAUUGUGUUUGCAAAUGAUCCCACCGAGACAUUUGGGAUAAAAAUAUUGCGAUUAGAGCAUCCAAGAUACGAGAAGAAAGGACAAAUUGCCACCUAAAGCUCAAUGUGUAGCCUCAAUUGUCACGUUCAAUCAAACCAAAUUAUACAAAUCUAAAAAAACAGUUAAUCAUUCUCAUGAUUUAUGAUGUGUUUGGAUUACACUCUACGAGUGAUUAAUUUAGAAAAUAAGUCAUUUUUUUUAAAAAAACUAAAGUGUUUGAAAGACAAUCAAAAUAGAGUUUUAAGUGUAUUUUAAACAAUUUUUAGAAAAAAAUGUUUAAACAUUUUUUAAAUACAUUUUUUUUCUUAAUUCAAUCCAUUUUGAAAAUACUCAAAACAAAGUUUAAACUUCUCCUCCAACUACCACAUGUAAUCCACAAUGAGAGCACCACAAAUUUAUCGGAGCAAACAGAUUUGCAUGGAAUCUCAUUGCUCAAAUUGCCAACAGUGAAUGGAUGACGAAAAGAGAUAAUUAAACCAUCCAUAACCAAACCUCUAACAUGUUUUAUGAUCAAUACCUCUUACAUCUACAGUUGAGCCACUAAAAAGGAACGUCCAUUAUAUUGGUAUAGUAGUAGUUAUGAAAUUCUUUUAAACUUAAUCAUGCUUUCAUAUCUUUUUUAUCCCUCUCAUUUGAAUAUGAUCUCGAGCAUUACAUGCUCAACCAAUAACUUUCACCUUUGUUCCUCCCCAAAUCACGUCUUGCUGAAGGAAAUUUUGCUUUAAUACCAUUCAUAAAGCCCAAAUCCUAGGAAUCAAAAUCUAGAUUAUGCUCCUUAUGGCCUCAACAUUCCCUUGCCUCUCCUCAACAUGACAAGUCAUGCUUGCUUGUCUUGAGUUGCUUCUAAAGUUGACAACUACCCUCGUUAACUAACAAAAAUUCUUUCAACGUGUUUUUGUUGUCAAUCAUACUUUUUAAAAAAAUUCUCAAAAGGUCACUCAACAUAAAAAAUAUUUCAAGCUAAAUACGCUUAACUUUAAAUAUUUUAUGUGUUUGGUAAUUAACAAUUGAGAAAUACAAAAACGUACGGAGAUAAACACCUAGAUGCACGUGGUUCACUAACAGUGCGUUGGCUACUUCCAUGAGACAAUGGGAUAAUAUUAUAAGAUAGAUUUUUUUUUCUAAAAAGAAACAACACCACUAGGUUAGCAAGACCCUCAUACUUUUGCUCGCAACAUCACAUAACGAAUUCAAGACAUUCCAACACUGCAAUUGAAAUGUAGCGUCCAAGUUUAGGAGGAUACAUAAAUGUACCGAGAUCACUUAAGAAUGAGAGAGAAUAUGAGAAUAUAAAAGCAUGGUUAAAAAAUGCUUAAAAGAACUAAUAGCUACUCCAUAUACCAACAAAGUGUAUUUCAUUUUUUGGUAGCUCAGUUAUAGAAACUAGCUCAGUUAUAGAAACUUCAAAAUUAAGUAUGCUUCCCUUAAAGCUUAAAGCAAUCAUACCUUAUAUCCUAUAGCAGCUUCUAUUAUAUAUUGCUCAUAUCAUUAAUGAUAUAUUCAAUUACCUUAAACGGACAUGUUAGAUAAAUUAAUGUAUCAUAAUAAAUGCAGAUUGAGAAGCUUAAUAGAAGUGUAGUUUUGUAAGAAAAAUAAGAAAUGGAAACAUUUACUAUGUACCUUUGUAAUAAUAUAGUUUAAGAUAAAAUAAAUAGUGACAUAACAACGAAUCUUCUAUAUAAUUGUAAUUUGAAUGAAUACUCAACAACUACUCGAAACUAAAUAACAAUAUUGAUACUGAUGAAAUGAGAUCAUUUAAUAUAUUUCGUUAGAUUAGAAGAAUGAGAUCAUUUACAUUAAUAUACUUCGUUAGAUUAGAAUAAGGCAUGUAACUAAACAAUGUAAUGUGCGAAGAAUAUGUAAAUAAAAGAAUUGAGUAAAACUUGUCACGUUAAGAGAUAUAUCAUUAAGAAAAUGGAUGCAAGUGUUAUAGAAGAGGAUUUACCAAUGUAUCUGGACUUUUUUCUCUAACCUCUUUGAUUUCAAGUUCAAGGUUUCCUAGGAUGGUAUAUAUAUCUCCUGCUCUAGGAUGAGUUUGAUCAGCAACACGAAACUCAGUUACAUGGCCAUUUAUCUCCAGCCAACUACAACCAGGGAUUUUCUUCAGCCCUUUAUUCCUUAAGAAACUUCUCAUUUUUGCCACUCCAUCCCAUUUACCUGCAGCAGCAUAUAUGUUCGAAAGCAGUAUGUAAUUCCCUGCAUUUCUGGGCUCCAUGUUAAUGAGCUUCUCGGCCGCAAACUCUGCAAGCUUGGACCCAGGAUGCAUCUUACAAGCACUCAACAAUGGACCCCAAACUCGAGCAUCGGGUUUGAUAGGCAUGUUUUUUACAAGUUCUCCAGCUUCACUGAUAAGCCCAGCUCUCCCCAAGAGGUUAACCAUACAAGCAUAAUGCUCUUGGCUUGGUUGGCACCCAUAACUUUCAGUCAUCUCCUUGAAAAAUUCUUUCCCCUUUUCGACAAGACCAGAAUUGACACAAGCUGUUAGUAGUCCCAAGAAUGUUACUUGGUCUGGCUUUGAAUUUGAGCACUUCAUUCGAUUGUAUAGCUUAAAACACUGGGACCAGUCUCCAUGAUUGGCAUGGGCACUGAUCAUGGAGUUCCACAUUAUCAAAUCUUUAUCAUCAAUUUUCUCUUCCUCAAAUAGUCUUUGAGCCAUCUCUAUGGACCCACAUUUUGCAUAGGUUAUCAGAAGGGCUGUGUUAAGUGAUGGAAGGGAAGUCAGGCCUAGCUUCAUUGAGUACCCAUGUAAAUAUUUGACAUUUUCAAGUGCUCCAAUGUGAACAAAUGCAGGCAAGAUAUUGAUCAUUAUAACAAAAUCAGCUUGAAUCCCAUCAGAUUUCAUCUUGGAGAAGAGAGACAAUGCAGUGAGGGACUGACCAUUUUUUACAUACCCCUUGAUCAUAGCACUCCAUGAAAUUACAGACUUGUCUGUCAUCCAGUUGAAGAUCUUACAAGCUGAAUCUAAAAUUUUACAUUCGCAGUACAUGUCAAUGAGAGAAUUAUGAACUGAAACUUGACUAUCGGAACCAUUCCUCAAUAUAUGGGCAUGGGUUUGUUUCCCCCAAUCAACACAUUUCAACUGUGCAAUCGAAGAGAUAACAGGCAGUGCAGUAAAUAGAUCAGAUCUAAUCCCUGAUCGUGCCAUGGACUUGAAGAGCUCAAGGCAUUCCGUCGGUUUACCUUCCCGAGCAUAAGCUGCUAUCAUUAUAUUCCAUACAACACGAUCUUUCUCUGGCAUUUUGUCAAAUAACUUUCUAGCAUCUACUAAGCUACGCAACUUAGAGUAAAGAGACAACACAGCAGUAUUUACUAACAAAUCUCCACUCAAUUUGCUCACAAUUGCAAUACAAUGAACAAUCUUUGCAAGUUGAAUUGAGUUCAAACCUGCAAUGAACCUCAAGAGAUUGAAGAAUGUGAAUGAGUCUGGUACUAAUUGUUCUGCUAUCAUUCUUCCAAAAACCCGAAAAAUUCCCUCCCCGUUAUCAUUUUGAGGACCCUCCGUAGUCAAGGAACUCGGCCAUCCCAAAUCCUUCACAGAUCUUUUAUCAAACAGUUGAUGAGCAUUCUCAAAUUCAAUGCAUUCCUCAUACAUCUCAGCCAGAGCAGUCGCUACAACAUCAAACAAAUCAAAACCCAGCUUAACCAAAUACCCAUGAAUCGUCCUCCCAAAUCCAACAUUUGAAAAAGAAGAACAUGAUCGCAAAACAAAAGGGUAAGUUUCUUCAUCUGGGUGCAUAGAUUUGGCGACCAUUUGUUGAUACACCAACAGGGUCCGCUCGGAUUCUCCAUAUCUUGUCAAAUUUCUCAGUAUGGCGUUGAAAAGAGUCAAAUUGGGGUCGAUUACAGAGCAGAAAACUUGGAGAGAGUGAUUGAGGAGUCCAAGAUUGGCAUAGCAAUCGAUAAGUUUGGAAGAGAGAGUUGGGUUUUGGUGGAAGCCGUGGAGGAUGAACCUGGCAUGAAUUUGCUGGAGGUGUUGAAUGGAGUUGCAUCGACUGAAAAGGAGGGAAAGCGUGUUGAGCAGUCUUGAUUGGGUGGCGGGAAAGUUGAGGAAAAUGGGACUAUGAAUAAUGGGCUUUGAUCGAUGAAGGUGAAGCAUGUCGGACGAAAUGAGCGGCACAUUUUUGGACUCGGAGUUUGGCUUUUCAAACUCAACCAAGAGUCGAUGUUCGAGAACUUCGCACCCAUUCAAAAUAAAAGAAUUUUUGUACGGAAACCUUUAUUGGUCAAAUUUCCAAUGCUUUUCAAAACAAAUCUUUCAGUUUUUUUUCUUUCUUUUUUUGGCUAAAUUAUAAUUUAUUAACAAAUAAGCUUUACUUAGGUGUUUCUUUUUAAAUACCCUACACUUUUAAAUGUUAUGACUAAUAAAGUUGCAUCUUGUUUUCGGAUUUAUAAUUAUGUGUUGAUAACAUGUGCUCAAACCACGUAAAGAUUUAAAUUUUCAUUCUAAACCUACCACACCAUUUCAUAUAUCAAUGUUUGUCCAAAUUCUGGUUAAUUUCUACCAGAAAGGGUAUUUAUAAAAUAUUUAUGAUAGUUUUAGAAUAAUAUUGCAACAUUUCAAAGUACAACAGUAUUUUCUAAAAGUAAACCUUUUUUUUCUUUUUUUUUUUUGGAUUGUUUAUGUUGUAGUCUACUUUCUCACUCUUAUCACUCUACUCUUAUCAUGGUCUACCUCACUUUCUCACUUUUGUCAUCUACAUUUGUUUCGUGUUGGUGUCGUAAUUUCACAUCCCCUUCCGACUACCUACUGUCGACCUAGAAAGUGGUGUGAAGCCAACAAAUCUCGUCCCUAGUUACUCGAUGACAUCUGCUGACCUUGUCUUAACUGAAAAACUAAUUUUUCGCAUGAGCAUUACUUAUCUCCAAAAUUUAUUUAGUGGGUCGUUAUUAUACACGACAACACAUUUAUAGUAUUAACAUGUCACUAGUAUUAAGUUCCCUUUUACAUACUAAAAAAAAAUGUUAUUAACAACUAAACUAACUCUAUGAAAUCCUAAGACAAAAGCAACUUGACAAGUAUGUCACUAAGACAUGUUCAACAUUUUCACAUGUAGACAUAUUUACAAUAUACAGACUCAGUUAGUAACUACUAAGCACUAGAUGUCCAAGUAAACAACAAGACAGACACAACAAACUAUCGGCUGGAAAUCAAACUCUUGAGGUUCACGAUCUCUUCCUGAAAAGUGAAACUUUUGAAAGUGGGCAAAAAAGUCCAAUGAGGGACUAUUUGAAAACAUCUAGCUUAGAACAAUGUUUUAGAAGAUUUAAUAAAACAUUCAUCAACUUUAAAGGCUAAACAAAACGUUUAAAGAGAAACUCUAAUAAAGCUAUCUUACUUAAUAAAAUGAUCCUCUAUUUCUUCUAUAUCCUGAAGUAAAGUUAGACACGUUAGCUUGAUAACUCAAUACUACCAUGCUUGAUAAACUCGAUCAAGAUAGCAGGGUAAAAUCAAUACUAUCCUACUUGAAGCCUUGAACACGAUGGUAGAUGGCUAAGUGGUUAGCAAAGGUAUAUACUCAUGGUACUUUGUGGAAUGACCACAUAUGACACAAUGUAUAGAAUGAACAUGGUUAUAAAAUCUAUUCAUGCUUUGAACUUCUUAAAACUAAUAGUUUAAAUCUCUUGCAUCAGUAGCACAAUUCAGAACUAACUAUUUUUGAAACAUAGCUUUCAAAUCUCGUGUUUAAAUAAACACAUGCUAGAAAAUAGCUCGUCAAAACAUGCAUCGUGAAAACUCAUUUAUCAAAUUCAUGCUUGUAAAUUUCUUUCUAAAACACUAAUUAACAUUACUUCGAAAUCACAAACAUUCAAAGAAAUCAUUCAACCGGAAACUUGGUUUCUUUCUAAAAUCUAAGUUCAUGCUUGGAAACUCAAUUAUGUAAACAUAACUUGUUCAAAUAUAGAAACAACUUACCAAAUCAAGUUAAGAAAUUAGUUUGGAAAUAAUUUUUAUCACUCACAGAUGGUAGCUAAGUCCUUGGCUCGUAAAUUUGCACUAUAUCUUCUUGUUUUGACAGAAUGUCAUUUAAGCCUAAAUUAACCCCCUUACCUCCAAAAUGACAAAAAUAUCAAAAAAAAAAAAGGGCUAAAAAAUGUCAUUUGUCAUAGCUCGUGCACAAAGCAUGGGCAACAAUGUGCACACUUGUCUGUAGGACUCUAAGUAGCUUGGCCACGCACUAACCUCACAUCUAGGCUUGUCGUAUGUCCCUUAUGCAUUACAUGCAUCCUCGCACAGCAGAACAUGCUGCAUGACCUAGGCACGUGUUACUCGCAUGCUCUAAAGCUCAUACUCCAAAGUUCAUACUAACCUGGUUGUGCGCUAACCAUGUUACUCGCAUGCUCCAAAGCUCAUACUAACCUCUUUUGCCUAUCUUGCAAGUCUAGCUCGCCUCAUUUUCUCAGUCACUCAGUCAACCUUCAACUCUAUCUAGAUUUUUUUUCGUUAGAACCUAAACUCAAUUUUGGAGGUGAUCAAUACUCAAAAUUCGUAUUUUAAAUGAGAAAACUUCCUUCUACAAAUUUUUUUAGAAUGGUCUUAAAGUAUGUAUCUUACUUCAAAAUUUCAAUUUAAGAUUCUAAGUAAUGCGUUGUGUACCCUUCAAGAACUCAACAUUGUUCAAACUUGCCUGAAAAAUGACUAUUGGUGCUUUAGCUCCAAAGAUGAACUCCUUCCUCAACUCUUUUUAGUCCAACACUCCCACCUCAACAAAUAGACUCACUCGCGAUUAUUUUUAGGCUGCUUUGAGUAAAUUUCACUAGAAAAAUGAAAACUCUGACCACUUGAAGUUACCUAUUUAUUGUUAACCUUGCAUGACAAUUUUUUUACACCUCCCACUUGCAUUGUUUUCUCUCCACAUCUCCUGCUUGUAAAACCUAGAUACUUGCAUGUUAUGACACCUGUAUUUCACUUCCACCUCUUGCUCAUAAAGCCUAGAACCUCUUCAAACACGUAAGACCUUUCUUGGAUGAGUGGCUUGUCUCACCUAGCAUACUUUGCUUUGUCACACGCCCUUGGCUACAUGCAUCAUAGGUUUAGAGGUUCUUAGCUUUGCCUCUAAACGUGUACGUAGCAUACUCCCUAAACGCCUAAUAACCUUCCAUGGUCGUAUAGCUUUGUCUUAGAGGUUUUCAUGGCAUGGUUGGCCACCUAGUCCAUCUUCAAAACAUUGAGCUCGCUCAUGAUCGCCUACUUCAUGUCUUUAGUGGUUAUUUUGACUACCUUGUCCCCUUAGUCUUGCCUUAAAAUGCCUUGUUUGAUACUUAAUUAGCCUCUUUUCCACCUUACUAACCUUUCUUUGUUUGGUCGUAACACAAACACUUGACUCAAGUUUCCUUUAACCUUUCUUAAUUUAGACUACAACGACACACCAAUUAUGUCACUUAAACCAUAACACCUCAAUAAUUUCACUUAUCAACUAACACUUUUAAUGUCGCUAAGACUACUACAAGAACUUUUAAAAGAUUUUAGGGAUUUUAAGGUUGAGGGUUUACACAUAAAAAUCUAGUUCUCACACGUUAUCAAAUAAAAAAGAGAAAUAAUAAAAAGAAGACAACGAAAAGUUUUUUAUGACUCUUAGUUUGGCUUUUCAAAUUCAAGAAAGAGAUAAUGUUGGAUAAUUUCACCCUCAUUCAAAAUAGAAGAAUAUGACCGAUAACGUUGUAUCUAUACUUUUAUGAGAAAAAGAAAAAUUUGACCAAUAUUUUUCAAAACUUACUUUCAAACAAAUUUUUUUGUUGCAGUUGUGUUAAAGUCUACUCUGUUGUUUGCUUUUGAUAUAUCGUUCUUGCUCACUUUUUUAUUUUAUUUUCUAUACUUGAUCAUUUUGUUGUAAAAAAAUAACGUUAAAGCUAAUUACUAUUGAUUGUCACUUGUUAAUUACGUUAUCAUUGUCGUGGUGGUGCAGAAUACAGUAUAUCAAUGUUGUUCUUGCUGAAGGAAUUUUAUAAAGAUAGAUGAAAGAACAGUGGAAAAAAUGAUAAAAUUAAUUCUAAAUAGAAAGUUAUGAAAAGUAAUAUAAACCUUUAUUCUAAAAUAUCAGGUCAAAUAACGUACAACUCUUCCUCAUACAAGUUUACAUACUUUUCUCCCUUUAACCGAUUGAGACUUUGAUUUACAUAUAUUCAAUUUUGAAAUUUGAUCAUUAUUAUAGUGAGAAAUCACUUGAGCUUCAUAAUAUUUUCUCUUGUCUAAGUUUUCAAACUUUGACAAAAAGUGGUUUAGUUUAACAAAAUACUUUCAAAAUCUAAAUCUCAUACAAUUAAAAUUUUAACGUCUUAUCUGUUAAGUUGAUAGUAUAUAUGUAGGGAAACUUUUCUACAUUUUUUUGUUAAUUAUUCUUUAACUAUAUCUAUUAUAAGAUCUCUUUUUGGUAAUUAUUUGAUAUUUUAUUUUUAGUUUUAAAAAGAUAAUCUUAUAAACACAAAUAUAUUAUAUUUUUGUUACCAAAAAUUUUAAAAAUCAAAGUCAACUUUUUCUAAAAAAAAAUAGUAAUUAAAAACUUUUACUUUUGAAAUUUGAUUAAUUCUCCAAACAAACUAAGAUAUUAAAGGAGAAAUAAGUUUAGUUUUCAAAAACCAAAUAUUGGAGAAAAAAAAAACACUGAUUCUAAAAAGUUUAAUUUGCAUUCAAUAAAUCUAUAAAGAAUGUUCACCCAAAUCUUAAUUAACCUCUUAAUUUUGUGAUAUUCAACACUUUUAUGAUUAUCUAAUUUAUUAGAUAUAAAAUUAAAAUUUGUAUCUAAUAUGAUGCUAACCAUCCAAUUUUAUGUUUUUAAUUUUUCUUUAAAUGUCAAGUAAAUCAAAUACCUAUAUUGUUUAAUGUUCAUAAAGAUAGUAAACACAAAAUACUUAAAUUACAAGAAGAAGAAGAAAACAGGAAAACCUUGAUAUUGCUAUUUUUUUUCUAAAAAAAGAAGUAUUAUCAUAAUUUUAUAAUAAAACUCAUGGUUGAUAUUUUUUAUACUCAAAACCCAAAAGUGAGUGUUACAAUAACAUUCGUAAGAUAUUCCAAUUUUCCUAAAAAGAAUAAUAUCAUAUACAAUUUGGAUUUUAGGAAAAAUAAAUUGACCUAACUAUAAUUGAUGGAAAUGGAAGAAGUUCCCAUCUUUUUCCCUCAAUAAAUAAUUAAUGAUGGAAAAGAAUUAGUAUGCCAUGUGGCAUGUAGCUCGCCUUUAGGAAUUAUUGUCUCUCAAAUUAAUAUUGAAAAUUUAUUAAUCUUCAAAAAAGGAUCCACCAAAUUUUGUGUGCCACUGCCAAACAUACUCAUUAUAUAUUUUGUGUGCCAAUUAGCUAUGAUUUUUUUUAGACUAAUAAUAAUCAACAACACAACUAAAACCUAACAUCUUAACAUCUUGUUGUGAAUUGGUCAAGCUUAAAUUAUUUCAAAUGAAAGGAAAUUCAUUCACUAAUGAGAUGAGAAAUGUGCAUCUUCCAGCAGAGGGUUUGUUCAACCCCCUUCACUUCUUAUGUAAACCUUUUGGAGUGGCCUCAGCUUUCAACAUAUUAAUAUCACUCCUUUAGGAGAACCAUAUAAUAAUUAAGACCAUGUCGCCUCUACCCUAAGUUUCUAGCAAUCAAUUAAAGAAAGGAAAAGCAAAGGAUGCCAACCUGCUAUGAGAACUGUCCAAACUCAGCUAAAUGCUUUUCAAUCAACCUAUGACGUGUCAAGGGCCAUCCCAAUUGUAACUAAUAUGAAAAUUGCUUUUUUAAAAUAGUUCAAUAUGAAAAAUAUGACACUCAAGAUAAUAUACAAAUCUGUAUAUAUAUAUAUAUAAUUAAUUUCGUCCACGUCCACUACGUCAUUGAUAAAGAGAGAGAUAAUUAUUUGCCAACCCUCAAAUCAUUUGGUAAGAACCAAAAUUGUUGGUAUAAGAUAUGAGAAACAAAUUAAAAAUUAUAGUGUCGGUAUUGUUUAAUACUAAAGUAAUUUUUUUAAUGUCGAUCAAGAUCGAAGUCAAACUUACUCAUGUUUCUUGACUAAUCAACUUACUUAAAUUUAAUAUAUAGAUAUUACAUUUAUUUAUUUUAUAUAAUUAUUUAGAAUACCAACUAGAAAUUGAUGAAGUGAGUUAUCCUAGUUCACUCUAUUGUUGGAACACAUCAAGUAUAAUAAGAUAUUAUACAAUUAUUUAUAACCUACAAUUAAAUAUAGUAAAUACAAUAUUUUUUUUAUUAUAAUAUUUUACUAUUAUAUAAUUUCACUACUUAUAACAAUAAAAUAAGUGUUAUACGGUUAAUUAGAAUGAUGUGAAAGGUUAAAUCAAAAUAUAAUUACUAAAACACGUGAAUUAAGAAACCACGGUAGAUUUUGCUUUUCAAAAAAAUAGAAACUACCUAAUAGCUUAGUGGAAUAAUGGUUAAUUAGGUAUAUUAAUAAAGGAAAAGAUAAAAGGUUUAGAGAUAGUGUUCAAAGUUCAAACCAACUAUAGAUUUAUAGAUUUAUGGUGUAUGACCUAUCUAGGGUUAAAGCACUAAAAUGUCCAAAGAUAUUUUAUGUUCCUAUUUUUUUUUCUUUUUAAAUACUUAUUUUUAUCAUCUUUAUGUUGUCUCAAUAUUAAAACUUUAAAUCAAUCAUUGUUUGAAUUUAAUUCUUAAAUUUUGUAAAUAUAUGUAUAAUUAUACCCACCUUUAAUUAAACUCCAUUUUUAUAAAUUAAAACUUAUUUAUGUAACGUAUAUAUCCCAUUAGAAGUUACACAAAAUGCUAAGUUGUUUGAUAAUAUUAACUACUAUUUUUAUUAAUAGAAGAUGGUAUAAAUUUAGAUAUCUAAUAAAUUCAAGUAGUAUUUAUUUCGUUUUUUACACGUGCAUCUCACAUAUAUAUUGGAAGAAGUAAAACGUAUCCCUAUUCAUUCAAUAUUUAUAACCGCUUCCUCUAAACUAACACAUUGUAUUUCAUCAGUAUCAAUUAUAUACUCUUAAAUCUACUCAUGAACACUUUCACCCCAGAUGGUAACAUAGAAAUUCAUAAAAAAGAUAUAAAGACAAGAGAUGGCGUAAAGAUUAUUCCUACACAGAUCAUAUUAUUACGGUAGAGAAGAGACAAAGAGAUAAUUUGUAUCAAUUAUUAAAUUACUAUUUUAAAAAUAAAAUCUUUAAAAGAAAAGAUAUGUUUUGACCAAAAGUAAUUCUCAAAAUGGAAAAACAGAAAAAGAAAAUGUUACUAUAUUUGAACACGUAAUCAAUUCCCCACCGUGACGAAACAAUCAACCGUCUAUAUCCCACAUGUCAGCCAUCGAACGGUUUUGUGAAAGCCACGCGGCGAGAGAUGAAGUAAUAUCUCAGCAGUUGACGCCACGCUGGUAAGGUUCUAGAAACAAAACCCCACGCUCACACGGACCAAGUCAAAGAGUGAGGUGGCGAAACUAUGACCAAUCAAAAUUCAACUCCAUUCCUAAAAUUUCUCCAACCUCUUCAUUAAGAAAUUCCGGUAUUUAAACCCACAAAUCCCUCUUCCCUCUCAACAAAAAGAAAUUGUAAGACAACCUGUGUACGCCCAAUAAGAGCCAGCAGCAGCAGCAGCAGGAGGUCGAAAUCGGGGAAGAAUUUUGUUGAAGAUGAUGAAAAUGAAAGGGGAGGUUGCACCGGCGAUUUAUGUGUCCAAGGGGAAAUCGAGGGGGUGGGAUUAUCGGCGGAGAUUAGAGACUAUUUUUGAAGAAGGAUCUAAUUCUAAUAGUUCUUCAGAGAGGAAUAAUAAUGAUAAUAUGGAUGUUGUUGUUGUUGUUCCUAAGACCAUUUUUUGCUUCCUUCCUCUUCUUGUCUCUUUUCUCUCUUAUUUUUUGCUUUUUAGACAAACACUGUAAUUGUUCAUUGUAAUAAUUCGAAUUUGGGAUUUCCUGUCUUUACUCCAAUCGUUCCCUUCUUCUUUUUAGUUUAAUUAUUUGGGAUUUGUUCAACAUCAGAAUUAAUAUAUUAUAGAUCUGUGUAAGGUUGUUUCGAUCCUAAAUUUACAUUAACCCGUCGUGGUAGUGGUCGUGGACGGAGCAAUUAGGAAAAAAAUUAAUAUUGGGAAUAUAAAUUCAAAUCGCUAAGUUCUUGAUUAACUGAUGUAUAAGAAUUUUGAUUAUCGGUAUAAAAAUCUCUCUAUUCUAAGGACAAAGAGAAAAAAAGUCGUUAGUUCUUACCAAGAUUUAAAAUAUGAUUAUCCUCCGAAUAUGUAGUUUUGAUUUUAUCUUAAUUAUGAUAAAAGUAUUGAGAAAAUAUGGAUUUGUUUUUGUUUUCAGAAAAUUAUAAGAACAAAAAAGAUAUUGCAUCACUUUCAAAUAAACAAACAAACUUAUUCUUUUACAUUAUAUUUAUGUUAAUUAUAACAAAUUUACCAAAGGAAAUGAUACGGUACAGUGGAAAUAAAGAGUAGGAUUUAAAGAAAGGGAAUUGAACUUUUCCUUUGUUGAAGAUGGAUAAUGGAUACUUCACGAUAAAAUAUUGGUGCCUAAAAAAUGGACAAAGCUCAACCCAGCAAAAAAUGAGCAUACGAAUAAAGUAGAACGAGGAAUGAAGUUAGACUCUGAUUGUAUCAGUAUUAAAUCAUCAAUCUCUCCCAAAACAACUUAGAAUUAAAAACUCCAGUAUAUGUAUUUGCAUUUGAUGACUCCAACUAGAAUUUGGAAGUCAGAGUCCAGCUAACCAUUGUUUACUUCCCUUUCAGCAACCAAAUUUAAUCGACUGAUUUAAGAAGAGCUAAAAGCCUCUGUAGAUACCACAUCUCCAUCCCCCAUCUCUAUGCAUGGAUUUUGAAAACACCAAUUACCAUGGCUAGGAUCCUACGUUGAGAUAAAUACUUUAAAUUAACACAAGAAAUGUUAAAUUAUCAAUAGUAAGUUACAUACCAACUUCUAUUGAGGAUGAUGACGGUAAAAUGGCUCUGUCUAAUUGUGGCUAUUUGUUUCUUUUGUUUCUUCCUCAAUCAAAAUGAAUCCUGCUUAUUGUUUUGGUAUAUCAAGUACCAUAACCCUAUCUCUCUUAGGCUAGUUCAAUUAGGAUUCCCAUUAAAUCCUAAUCAUACUUCUUACUAUAUCUUUAAUUGUUAUAUUUUGUCUUUUCGCCACACCAUUCAUGCUGGAUUUCCCUACUAAAGUAUAUUGCGUUUUCACGUUCUUAGGUAUUUGGUAAAGGGUCCGUUCACCUGAUCUAUCAUAUUUGUCGUAGUAUUCACCACCACGUUCAAAUUUAACAGCUUUAAUUUUCUUUCCAAUUAGUUGAAGUUUAACCUUAGCUUUAAAAGACUUGAAAACGUCCAAAGAUUGAAAAAAUUCUCUUGAUUAAAUAUAGGUACUCGUAUCUUGAAUAAUCGUCUAUGAACGUAAUAAAGUAUUGUUGUCCAUUCCAAGAAAUCAUAGGAAAUGGACUACAAAUGUUUGUAUGUAUUAGUUCUAAGACGUCUGAACACCUGUUGGCACCUAAUUUUCUUAUGUUUAAUUUGUCUGUUUUUCCUUAAUGUAUUUCACACAAACUUCAUAUUUACUUAAAUCAAAGAAGUCAAGAAUUCUAUUUGACAUAAGUCUCUGAAUUAUUUGUUUAGAGAUGUAACAUAAAUGUUUGUGUCACAUCAUAGUAGAACUCUCAUCUAAUUUACACUUUGUACCACAUGAUUUAGACGAGAGAACCUUGUUACAUGAAACAUAAGAAUCAAGCAUGUAUAGGUUAUCAAUUAAAGAACUAGUACCAAUAAACUUGGAGUUUUGAAAAAGACUAACUUUAUUAUUUCCAAAAGAACAAGAAAAAUAAAAAUUUCCAAAUUGGAAAUAGAAACUAAGUUUCGUCAAAAUGAUGGUACAAUAAAAAUCUCAUUCAAAUCCAAAAACAACAAGUUUUUAAAAGUAAUAAAAAAUUGCCAAUAACUUCAAUUGUAAUUGCUUUGCCAUCAUCCACAUAGAUGAAUCUUUCAGCAUCAUUUGGCAGACGGAUCCACAGACAACCCUGCAUGGAUAUACUUAUUUGAAUAGAAAUACAGAACCUACCUACCGAGUAUCUAUAGGUACAGAAGCUAAAUUAACUUCAGAACAAAUCAAAAUAAGAAGUUUACCCUUCUUUACACCAUUUGGCAUACAUGGGACAAUCUUUCUUUAGAUGACCUUUCUUUUUGCAGAAGAAACAAAGAUUCUCCGUAGCUUGUUUCUUAUUCUGUUGAGAUGUCCCUUCUACAACAUCUAUAGGUUUUCUUUUCUUCUUACCAUGAAAGUUAGUUGACAAGUGAGCACUUUCUAUCCUUUCUCUCUUAAUCUUAUCUUCUUCUUGCACAUAUUGUGAGAUAAGCUCGUUAAUACUCAAUUUAUCCUUCUGAGUAUUAUAACUUAUCUUAAGCUGAGUGAAUUGUGCAGAAAGAUAGAUAAGUACCAAAUAUACGUGUAAAUUGCCUUUAAUUUACCAGUGAGAUUAGACAUUUCCAUAAUGUAUUCCCUUAUGUUUCCAUUGUCCUUAUACCUCAUGGAAGUUAAAGUAGUUAAAUGACAACUUGCUUCUCCCUUUUUCAUUUUUAGCAAAAUAUUUUUCAAUUUUGACAAGCAACUUUUUGGCAUUUUCACUUUUAGUAAUAGAACCUCGAAAAGACUAUGGAAUGGAGUGCCUAAUAAUCAUUAGACACAUGUGAUUUGACCGUUUACACAUCUCAAUAUUAGAUGUAUUCAGUUGUUCCUAAGUAGAAGUAGGUUAUUGGUUCUUAAUGCAAGGUCCAGAUCCAUACACCGAGAAGUAUCUCUAGACUUUCCUUCUAAAUCUUGAAAUUCGAUCCAUUCAACUUAGGGCUUGAAUUUAGAUUUCCAUAUAUUCCAGCAAGACCAACUAAAUAAAGAACAAACAAAUAAAUGAUAUACUCACAAUUAAUGAUGUCAUAAAUAAAAUAUUACAAAAUAAUUUCAUAUAAUGUGAGCCCCUUAUACAAGAUACCCUAGCACAACAUUGAUGUCCAACCUUUCCGGUAGAGAGGUAGAGACAUCAACUGUAAAUGGUACUCUCAAUGUAGUAAUCAAAGGAUUGACAGUAAACUUUGUAAAAAAAAUCGUCUUUCUUUAGACCGACUAUUUUUCAUAUGAGUAAUUCUUAUAAUUGUCACAUACUCAUUAUCACACGCAUUCUCAUAAUUUGGCCAAAUAAUUAUCUUUCUUUGGACCGAUAAGUAUUCGUAUAAUUAAAUGAAUGAAUAUGCACAUUCUAUAUUUUAAAAUUAAACUAAUUUAGAUAAGGCUACUUUGGUAAUAUGUUAUUUUGACCAAUUCAAUCUAAAAUAUAAGACACAAUAACAAUAAUUUUAUUAUUGUAAAAAAUAAGAGGAAGAACUCCAAAUAAUAUUUACCAAAAUUCACCUAAUAAUUGGGUACAUUAAAAAUAUAAUUAAUGUAACAUAAUCAUAUGAAUAUCCCAAAAAAAAUAUCACUUGCAAGUUUAAUCGAGAGGAUAAUCAAUUAAUCUUGAUCAAAUUAAACAUGAAUUCACAACCUGAUUAAUCAAAUCUUGAAUCUAAAACCAUUAAACUUUAAAACUACGAUAUGAUUAAUCAAGAAAUAUUAAACCUUAAAACCAUAAUAUAUUUAAACAAAUCUUGAAUCAAGAAAGAUUAAACUUUGAAACCACAAUAUGAUUAAUCAAAUAUUGAAUUAAAAACCAAUACAAAAUACACAUAUUCCAACAAUUCAACAUGAAAUUAAUGCUAUGAUACCACUUGUUGGUAUAAAUACUUUAAAUCUAUAUAAUAGAUUAACCCAAGAUCGUCCAUGUUAAAUUAUCAAGAAUAAGUUACAUAUAAUAUUCCAUUGAUGAUGGUUGUAAAAUGGAUCUUGUCUAAUGACUAUAAAAUAGAUCUUGUCUAAUGACUAUAAAAUGACUAUUGUCUUCCUCAACCAAAACUCUGAAUGCCCUUUUUCUUGAUAAGAUACAAGAAAGACCGAUUGCUUAUUAUUUUGGUAUAUUGGGGAUCAUAGCCCUAACCCUUUUUAUAUACUAGUUCAAUUAGGAUUCUCUUUAAAUCAUAAUCAGUCUAGGAACAAGCUUCUACCCAUUUAAUUCAUGCUCAAUUAGGAAUCUAGGGCCUUAAUUAAUUAGAUCACAUAAUAGGUUUAAUUUCAUAAAAUAACUCAACGUGAUAAAUUAUUAAUUCACAUAUAAUAGCUCACAUUUUAAUUAGACGUAUUAUUUAAAUAUGCCUAAUAUCCCACACAAUUUCUCCUGACCCAGUUCUAUUCUCCUUUCUAUUAAAAAAUGAUUUAAUUAAUUAUAAUACAUAUGUUAUAAAAUGGAGAGACAGACCAUAAAAGAAGAAAAUAUAGAAAUAACGUAUGUAUUAUGUCGAUUGUGGUGUAUCUUAAAAAACUUCAUGGCAAAAACUAUUUAAGAUCUAACUUUUUAUUAGUUAGGUCGUAUAACUUGCAUCUUCAUAACCAUCAAGAUUAAACUUAGCUGACCACCGAGAUUAAACUUAGCUAGAUUUGUUAGAAAAAAAUAAACAACAUAUCUCUCGUUAUGGAAGAUAGAAAUUAGAUAGAAAUUAGAAAUUAGUAUAAUAGUAUAAUAUAAAUAUAUAUAUAUAAACAACAAAGAUAGAAAUUAGAAAAUUAAAAAUCACUCAAAUUUCUUCAUUAUCUCUCGUUAAUUUAGAAACUCGUCCAUAUCAAGUGGUCUUUACAAAUCCAUCAAAACCUUCUAUUUAUAGUUAACUUGGCAGGUAGGAGGUAGAUUAUAUGACCUCUAAAAGACUAUGUUUGACACAUGGUGGACACUAAGCACACUAAUGGGUUGACAUGUGACUAUGGCCGCUAAGCACACUAAUAGCAUCUACUUAUAUUAAUAUUAUUUAUAAUAAAAUAUAAAUUUUCAUCACAUGUAGAUUUUUUAAUUUUCAAAUCUUCGUUAUGUAAAGUUCAGUGUUACCUUUUGAAAGAAAGAAAAUUUUUAAUCUUCAUUCUCUUUGGGAUGCUUCGAUUUAUCUAAUAAUAAAAAUCAUCGUUCUCAACCAUUCUACGAAUGAAAUAGAAACAAUAGAAAAAUGUAAAGUUAUUUUCAAAUAUAACAAAAUAAGUAAAAGUAAUAAACUACAAUAUGUGUCUAAUUAAUUACUUUUGGAAGCUUUAUUCUUUAAAAUAAUUUUUCGUUUUAAAUAUGUUUGAUCUGAACAUUUAUUAAAAUAUCCAAGAAGAAUAAAAAAUUUAACAUUUAAAUUUUAAGUAUUAAAUAUCAAUAUUAUCUUUUAAAAAGAAAAGAAAUAUAGAAAAGUAUUUUUGAUUCGUGGAGGUGUUAAGAAUGUGUUUUUAAGUUUCAAAAGGUCAUCGACUAAAAAAUUUAUUAAGAGUGUAAUUGUGUUCGUUUGGAAGGAGUUUGAAAGUUUUUUAUUUGAUAAAUCUGAAUUUUCGAUUUGGACAAAUUGACCAUUCAAAACCGAGAUAAGAUGUUCAACAUAACUCAACCCUCAAAAUUCAAACCAACUUCAAUAUCUAUGUUAUGUAUCGAACCAAGUCGAUUUAUUGUUGAUGGUUCGGUGGUUUACUUACCGAGAACCAAAUUAACGGUUCGGUUGAACCGAACAGAUUUACACCCUUAGCCUGGCGACUAGGAAGUCCAAUUUUGUUAGCAAAAAGAAAGUAUAAUCGUUUUCCCUUUCGCCGUCGCUCAUUUUCUUCUCCGUUCAGCGGACGUCGAUCGGAUCACUUCCUCGUACUUUUCAAGAUCCGCUCCACAUCCAUUGCCAUGGUAAUUUCCUGUUCUCUUCGUCUUACUCAUGUCUUGAUUGAAUUCUUACGUAUUUUCACGAUACGCUCUCCUAAUCUGCAUUUUAAUUAUUCAUCUUCAUGUCAGAAUUUAACCUAAUCAACUGAGAGUUUUUGUGUCGGUGUUAGUUUUGAUGAUUCUUAGACAGCCAACUUGUUUUUACUUCCGUUUGGAUAUGUAUUUACAUGCCUUUUUUAGGAUUUUGCUUGUUGAUUAUUGCAAUUAUGGGUCUAUCUUUUAGUGUUCUGCAUAUGCAUCAAAUCCAAAUUGCAUGUUCUGCAUUGCACCUUUUCUUCAGUUCCACCGCCACUUUUCGGUUGGGUGACGUCUACUUUUCAAUGGGUUCUUUCUAUUUUAGCGGAUACAAUCGAGCCUAGCAGUGUUUCUGAUCUUAAUUAUAAUAUAAUGUCUGAUUGGUUACGUUAUUGGGUCUUCAUUGGCUGAUAGUCUCGGUGUGAAUUCAGUUCUGUUUAACGAAAUUCAGUUCUCUCAUUCAAUUUUGACAAAAGGAAUUUCUCGAAUUUGCCAAGACCAGAUUCUUCAAUGGGAGUUAGGUUUGUAACAAACUUUCUUUCAAUGUAUUUAAUCCUUAAGGGUGGAGAAUAAUAAAAUAAUAUGUAUCUAACGGCAGAUGGUAUUGGGUAAACUAAGAUAGAAGGUUCAAGUGCUAUGUCACAUCAUUUGGCCCCUUGAGCAUUGCACUCGCCCUUGGGUUUAUUUGGCCAAUUCGUAUUCUUAUGUGGCGUGGUACUUUGAUAAGUCUUCGAGUAGCUAAACUAUAUAAAUGUCUAAAUUGUUUGGUAUUCAAAUUGUAUCCUAUUGUUUGUUAUAAGUUCCAAUUGGGCUAGAUGUACCACCCUGUAGUUCUCUGGGAAUUGCUUGGUUCACCUGUGCUUGUUUGGAGUUCUGCAUAUUUUGCAUUAGGCAUAAAAAGUUUUUUCUUUUGACACUUCCUCAUGCCCCUAUUAAUUUUCUCUGCCAAUGGUCCAAGAGAAAGAAUUUAGGAUCUCUCUCACUAGAGGCUUUAUAUGUAGACUUAACUUUCCUGUUGUUGAAUUUGAAUCUGUAUUGAGCUAAAGUCCUGGUGUUGGGGUGUUUCUUAUUCCCAUUGUAAUGGCCUAAUAGGUUCCCUUUUAUUUAAUACAAAGUAAUAAAAGGAAACUCAAGAACACUUCAAUAGAACCCUAACCCUCUGCCCUUCCUUUCUUUCACUAUUUAUAACCAUCUACCUGUCUAUAUAACUAUCUACCCUUAGCCCUAUCUAAAUCUAGGUAUCUAACAGUUCCCCAAUGUUUUCUUUGUAACUUUGUUUGAUAAAAUUAUCUUUCAUUGAAUUGAAAAGCUAUUGGGUUUGUUGAUCACUAACCAUACAAAUUAUUUCUUCAAACGGGAAGUGAUCCCACUGUUUGUAUACGCUCACCAAGGCAUACAGUCAUUGUCUUUUUGCUGCUACGUACUCCAACAUUUUCUAGGCUUACUUAGCUUCUCUGCUCUCAUUAGGCAAACCAAAUUUAAAAGGUUUCCAUUUCAGGGUUCCAAAACCUUGCUGCUGCAUUUGACUUAAAUGAAACCUGCCACUAGAGCUAACUUAUUGCACAUUUGGAAGGAAAGAAACAACAGAAUUUUCAAUGACAAGUAUAGACCUUUUGUAAAUUUUCUGAUCUUACUGAGUAAAAAAUGUGACACAAGUAAAGUGCCUUACAAAUAGUACGUAGAUGCACACAGAUUUUUAUAAUUAGUCCACUUUUACGGUAUAGUGUUAUUUCUUUACAAGGAGACGUCACAAAGGCAUCUCUGUGUCUCUAAACAAGUGGUGCCUGAUAGUAUUUCUUAUGUUAAUUCACCCAUGUUAUAGCUUGCUGUAGCAUUAUUGUCCUUUAACUGGUUAAGGUAUUAUAACCUUGACAAGAAAUCAGAGGUUUGGAUUCCCACUCCCACAUAUUCUUUACUCAAAAGAAGAAGACAAAAAGGAAAGAAAGGAAAACUAAACUAUAGGGCAGAAAAGAUCAACAACAAUAAAUUGAAAUUACAGAACCAUGACAAUGCAACCUCCGAAAAAGAUCAUAAACAGAAAACGCUCAAAUGAAGAACAGAUUAUGUAUUUUCACUCCUUUUAAUUCAAAAUUAAGUAAAUAACGGUGCUAAAUUAAUCACAUUUCAUAGGAUUAUUAGAGACUGUCUCUUACUUCCUGGCUAGAUAUUUUAUGAUUGAUUUUUCUUUGAUGAAAGUAUCUGUUUUUUGUCAACUGCGGUAAAAGAUGUCAGAUUUUCAGUGUUACAAUGUGAGUUUUGGCCCAAGAUAGACUAUUGGAAUUGUGUAUAGUUGCCUAAAAUUCACUACAUUGUGGAAUGUUAUUGCAACGUCCUGUUUCUACUUGGAUGUAAUGUGUGCAGACGACGAUUGUGGUGCUUCCAUGUCACUUUGAGGAUUAGUGGAAGAUUUCAAAUUUAUUGAAGAUGUAUGCAUGUAUACUAUUUGAAUCUGAAAAAAAAAAAAGCCUUUAGGAUUUGCAGCAUGUUGCUUAAAAUGACUAGCACACCAUCACUAAUUAAAUGGAAAAGUGACAACUACAUAUUAUCUGCUAAAGAGCAAUAGAAAAAACAGUAAGCAUGGUUGCUAUAUCAAGUUUAGUCAUUGUCUUGAUGAUGUUUGGACCAAAGUUGAAUUGUCUUUACUUAUGGAAUUUAUUUGUCUGAAUAGCAAGAUGUGCAUAAUAGCAUUAUUUGUUUCACUGAUAUUUGAACCAUAAUGAAAAUCGCUUGAAUUGUGGACUUUUUCCAUCCAAAUUCUGAGAUGUAGGCAUCAUUAGCAUUCUAUGUUUCAUUCAACAACAAAAUAUUGUGGCUUGAUUAUGACCUCGUUAAGUUCUUAUUCUUUUGGUUUAGGUUCUACUGCAGCUAGACCCUUUUCUCAAUGAACUUACCAGCAUGUUUGAGCGUAGUACCGAGAAGGGUUCAGUGUGGGUUACUCUAAAGCGAUGUAUGUGCAUAUCAGUGUAUUUUUAAAAUUAAUUUCAUAUAUUUUUGUGGUAAUUUUUAGGAGUCUGAUUAGGUUCAAACUCUAUUGUCUCUGAUUGAUGUAGCAUCAUUGAAGUCCAAGGUGCAGAGAAAUAAAAUGACCACUGCUGGUCAACCUAUUGAGUAUAGGUGCCUCAUCCGUGCUACAGAUGGGAAGAAGACAAUUUCAACUUCCGUAAGUAUUGACUCAUCUUUUAAGCUUGUUUCCCCUUCCCUUUUCUAUCUUUUCUGAAUUGAAAACUUCGCAUAAGAAUUCAAGUUUUUGUAGUAAACUCUAAAUUUACUCGGGCUGAAGCAAGUCUCACUGAAUUGAAGAGUGCUGUGUUUAUACAUCGUUUCUUUUUACUCUAUUUAUGUUCUACUUUAAUUUUGUAUUACAACUCAAUGCAACACAGGAGUGAUGGUGAAGUAAUAUAUGGAUUCUACCCCCUUUUCAUCGUCACUCACUGCUUUAUGAAUUAGUUUUUUCUUCUGCUUGAGCUUUGAAUUAUCUUUUACUCAGUUCAUUGUUUUUAGCAAACAGAAGAACCAAACCCCUUUUGUAGGACUUCAAUCAGCAUAUAUCCCUUUCACAUUCUUCAGAUCUUAUUAUCUGUUUUAACUUUCUUGAAUCUGAAACAUUUGUAACAACUUCUGCUGAACUGGCUAGGUUGGUGCAAAAGAUCAUCUGAGAUUUCAAGCUUCGUAUUCAACCAUUCUUAAAGCCCACAUGACUGCUCUUAAAAAGAGAGAGAGAAAGGACAAGAAGAAGGCAGCAGAGGCCGAGAAGGGUCUGAAGAAAAAACCCAGGAAAGUAUAAAAGCAGGGCUCUUUUUUGCUUCUGUAGGUGGCUCAAAUCAUUGUAACUUCUUUCUCUUCGUUACCCUUGUUUUUCAUUCCUUUAACUUGAUGAGUGUUAUGCUUCCCCCAUAUUUCUAGCAAAACGCAGAGGAAAGGGGAGGUAGGAUUUUGGAGCUUCAGGAACUGAAAAAUAUUCGAUCUUGUCAUUUGUUUAGCCUUUUUUUCCCUUAAAAAGAUUUAAAUUAUACAUGUGAUUUUACUGUGGAAUUGUCUGUAAGUUUUACAUUCUCUCUUCCUUGAAGCUAUAAAACAACUUGACCGUCCUUUUAAGGUGCAAUCACAAAGUUGAUAUUGUUUGUGAUACACGAGCCAGGCUUCACUACAAUGACGAAACAAAGGUAAAAGAACAGUAAACAAACCUAUUCGACUAGGUUUCAUAUUUUAGAUUAACGUGACCUUUGUUUUACUCUCUAAAGGUUACUUUUUAUUUCAUUCAGCUGUGACUAAUUGGUGAUGAUAAGAUAAACAUUGUAUAUGUGCAGUUUAUAUCUUUUCAAUCUGCCAAUGUUUCUUUCGUACUAAAAAUUUAACUGUAAGUAUAUUAAUGUAACCUUUCAAACUUUUAGUAUAGUACCAAAUAUAUAGAUGUUUCAAGUUCAUUGAUUAACCAUUUAUUAGUAUUACAUUUGAAAUUUUGCCUAUUUAUAAGUUGAUCAAAUUAGCCUCUGAUUUACACUAUUUAUUACACAGGUCUAAACUUCUUCGAAGGUUGGAUAACUAAAAUUGAUUAGAACUUUCGAAGAAAGUCUUAAUUGGGAGUUUAAGUUUAAUUGUUUAUAUAAAUUUGUGGGUUGAAGUGAUAAAAUUACAAAUUUUGGAUAAUCAUAGUUUAUUUGAUACCAUUAUUAAUUUAUGGGUGUUUUUUUAAGGAAAAAUUGUAUUAGUUUUUCACUCAAACUUUUAUGUAUAAAAUAAAAUUAAUUUUAUAUUAGAUCUACAAACGCUUUUGUUUUUAAGAAAAGUUGGUGCCUAUUUGAUCCCUCGAAGUUUAAAAUAAUUCUAAAUGACUACUCAGCAUGUUGAAUGGUCGAACGAGUGGAUAACUUUUAUUAUUAUAUUUUAUAUUACUUGACUUAUUUUUAAACUUUAUUUUAUAAAACUUUUUCUAUAACUUUCUUUCUCCCUCUCUUCAUCUUCCUCUUCUCCAAACAUUUUCGUUCAGGAGGUCAAAGGUUCUAACCACAUCAUUAAUUAGAAAGUCAAAUUGCAAAGCUUCUAUGAGUGGAAGAUUACGAAAAGAACAAAAACGAAAACAAAGGGGAAGAAAUUGGGAGUGGAAUUUGGAUAUGAAUGGAGCAAGAGGGAAGGUGAUGUAAGAAGGAAGGAAUUCUUGAAAGAGCAGAGCCAUUUCUGGAAGUUGCAAUUCUAUCAGUAUUAUUUUCUUUUUGAUGAUGAUUCAAGAAAGGAGGAAAAAAAGUAACAAAAAAAAAAAAUAAAUAAAAUAGUAUAAUUACAAAAUUACUCUAAAUUUGUCACCUCAACAUACCAUUUUUUUCAUCAACCAAAUGAAUUUGAGGGAUCAUUUAUAACCAUUAUAACCAUUUUUUAUAUCUCUAAGUACUAGAGUACAUCUUUUGUAACUUCAAAAACUAAAUAGAAACUAAUUUCAAAAAACUUCAAAAACUAAAUAGAAACUAAUUUCAGAAACUAAAUAGAAAGAAACUAAUUUCAAGUACUCAAUGUCUACUUCAAAAGUUGCGAAACUAAAAAAAAAUUUGAAGUUGCGAAACUAAAUUUUUUUUUUGCAAAUUCUAGUGAUCAAACUAUAUCAUCGUUUUGAAUAACAUAAUUAGUAUUUUCAUUUUAGAAAAAACAACUUUGCCAUUGAACUUGUAUUUUUCUUUAAACUGAUAUGCUAGAUUUCAAAGUUGUUAGGGAAGAUAAUGGAGUUGAGAGCUCCUCUUUGGGCCAAGGAAUUUGUGAGCUCCACAAUUAAAAAAAUUAAUUUCAUGCUUGACUAUACAAACUCUACUACUUGCCCAUGCCUCUAAGAUUUAUGGUCAUUGGGACUAAGUCGCUUCCAAUCACCAGAAAGACUUUGAGAUCACAUAACUAAGAACAUUAUAAAAAGUGACAAAAUCUCAUGUUAUGUACAUCAGUCCACCAAGAUCCUACAACAUAACAUAUCAAAUUUAGCAUCUCAGAAAACAAAAAUUGACAGCAGAAAAAGACACAUCAGGUUGGUUUACAGAAAAGCAGAAGGAUUCAGAAUUCCUCAUCAUCAGACUUUACUUAAUCGAUUUCACCAUAAUCAGACUUUAGAAAUCAAUUUCACCAUAAUCAGAGUCUAGGUAAUCGGUUUCAUCAUAAUCAUCUGAUGCAACAUUCUGUUUCUGAUUCUGUGCCUUCUUAGGCAUAUACUUAUCAGGAUUAUCCCACCAUGUUGGAGUGCUAAGAAUAGCUUUCUCCAGCCAAUAUUGAUCAUAUUUCUUCUUUUUCAUGAGGCUUUGGUAAAACUUUCCCCAGUUGUACAUCGCUCGCUUCAAACGCACACUCUUGCUUCCUCCAAAUAGAUACUUUAUGUAAUCCUUCGCUAAUCGCGAUAGCUCUUCCCCACUGAGUAUAUAAAUGUACUGCCCACCACAAACAAGAAAACAUAAGCCAAGCUUUGUAACUAAUUAACUUGUCCCAAGUACACAACCAACAAUCAUGUUUAAAAAAUUUCCUCAUUUAGUACAUAUUCAAUGUCAAGAUAUGUAUUCAAAUAAACAUGAUUUUCAUGGUACAUACUCUUAUUCCUUUCCAGCUUUCUGAGUUAUGAAUAUUGUGUUUUCUCUUAACUUGACAACAGAGAGAGCAAAAGGAGAAAAGGUUGCGGUUUUUACAGCAUUACCAUCCAAUUUCGUGAAGGUUGACUUUGUUGGCUCACAUCUAGAGUUUAACUUUACUAGUCCUGAAUAUAUGAAGGCCAGUUAUUUUCUUCAUCAAAGGCUUUAUGGAGUCAAAACAGUAGAUCUAGUAGUUAACUAUAAAUAUCAAGUCUAGGAAAUCUCCUUGUUAUCAGGCCCUACAUCGAAAUAUGUACUAUUAAGCUAACUCGAGACUUUUUUUACCAGUGAAUUCCUCUACUUUCUGUUUGGUUAGUUGUAACUUUUUAAGACUGAUUGAAAUGCCAUUUCCAAUAGAAAAUGUUAAAUGAGUAUAUUACUACGAAAACUAAGCCGAGGGUCGCCAGAAUGACUUGCAGUAUUUCAUCCAUAAUUCCUGUGAGACUAUAAUCCUCAGAUCCACUAGAGCUAUCCUCGCCACCAUCACCGCUGUCGCCACCACCACUGCCGCCGCCGCCACCUGGAGGUCUUUUGCCACCAUCUCCACCAUCAUAGAACUCUUUCUUUUCAAUUUGUUGUCGCAAGACAUCUUCUACUGAUCGUCCCUUAAAACUUUCAACAACUUUGUCCAAACCUUUCCAUGGAGAACCCUGCUAGAAACAAAGUACUAUUACUAUAUCUAGAUUAACAGAUACCUCUUAAACAAAUAGAAACUCGUCAAACUCCAAGGUUAUCAUUUGCACAUUUGAAAUUCAAAAAUAGGGACAUGAACAUAAUAGUGGUUAAAUGAAUAAACGCUCCAAAUCCUCCUACCAUUGUGUAUUGAAUAUCAAGCAACUUGAACCAAAAAAGGAAAUUAGGGGGGGAAAACAAACUUGCUCACUUUCUGGAAAAGUGAAUGAACAACAAUAAUUCCUAGCAUGAGGAACAUUCAUGAAAUAAAGAGUGAAAAAGAUGGUUGACACUUGAUAUCAAACCAAACACAUGUUCUUGUUAAAUGUUCCAAUCUUCAUAAGGAGUAACCUUAAUGGUUUAUGAAAAAAAAGAUUACAAUGGCUGACUUUUGCAAAGUAAGCAUAUUGAUGAAUAUUCAACACUCGUGGGAAAACAGAACUAACAGUGCCAUUCUAAAUUCCUCAAGUUUGAAAAAUUCCAGCAAUUAAAAUGUACUUCAUGACCAUCCACCGUUGCUUAGUGGAACAGAAAAUGACACACGAGAAAUUCAAGAAGCAUGUUACACAAUCUGAAGUCUCAGAGAAGCGUAGUUCCACCAAUCCUUCAAUCAUUCGGAGAACAUUAGAAACCAUAUUAUGAACUUUUUUUCCCUUUUAACACGUCAAAGAUAACAAUUUAAAAUAAAAAAGGAAAGGAAAAAGAAGAAAGAAGAAAGAAGAAAGAAGAAACCCAAGCAGAGUAUUAUAGGUAGAGCAAAGCAUCAGAAAAUAAAAUUUACUAAUAGUUAUAUCAGAAAGAAACAUAUAGAAGAAUAGAGCCGAAUAGACAAUCUAAUGAUCACAAACGAACAAUUAAGAAAUGCUCUCACCCCAUCAUCACUGCCCUUUCCCUUGCUACCGUAUAAGGAAACAAUUGGUGUAUGCUGAUAUUUUAAUCCAACCCUCCGAUGUUCAUACUUCAAAACUGGUAGACCCUGCUUGAAAUAAGAUGCAUUGGCACUUAGAUUUACAACAGCACGUCGUGACUGAUUAGCAUGGAAUGAUGGAUAUAUUGACUUAGAAACAAGGCAUAUUGAUUUAUUGGCACAAAUAGAAUUCUGUGUAGCAGUUAUCUGCAUGCUGCUCAUCCUUUGAUAAACACCCUAUGGUCAUAUGCCACACUCCAGCACCCUGACAUCCAAGUUCUCAUAUCAUGUAUGAAUCAUAACAAUUACCAGACAUAACCAGAUAAAAUAGCUAUUCAUAAUCGCAUAGAGCCAUAUUUUUGUAAUAUCUACCCUAAAUUCAAAAGCUUAAGUAGAGGCUAUACAAGUGUAAUUUUAAUCAGUUGAUCAUUCCAAAAGUACCCAGUUAUCGAAUUGGUCGAAUCGAUGAAAGAAAAGAGAAUAGAAAGGAAAAGAAAAGGCUUAGAAACCAGAGACUGAGACUGAGAGAGAGAGAGAGAGAGAGAGAGAGAUAACCUGGGCGGAAGAUGAGGGAAUGUGGUGGGUAGUGGUGCGUGUCGGCGAGUGAAUGACGGUGGAAUGGGGGUGUGGCGGUGGAGGUUGUUGCGGAGAAGGAAGAAGGGAUAAUGAGCAUCGGUAGGUGGCAAUGGACUGAUAGAGAAAUGGGCUUUUUAGGUUAUGAGAGAGUAAUAAUUGGGCUAACUCACAACUAUGCUCAAUUUCACCAAUUCCCUUCCUUCUUUCAACACUAACUUUAAAUUAACCAAACUUAGUUGUUGUAGAUUCACUUCUUCAAAUAAGGAUCAAAAUAUUUACUCAAUAUACUAAAAUUUUACAACUUUCUAUAUUCCAACAUCUGUAUCAUACAUUAAUAUAAAUUUAGAUUAAGAGUAAAAUGUACCUUUCAUCUCUUAAAUUUGAAUUUCAUAUCUAUUUGGUCCCUAAAGUCUCAAAAUAAACAUUUUGGUUCUCACGUUUGUUAAAUACUUCUAAAUGGUUCCUCAAUUAACUUUAGAAUAUUAGUUAUAUUUGAUGAUGCGUAAAUUAUUUUUUGGAAAAUAAAAUAUUUAAAAGCUUUAAAAUAUACUUAUAACUUUACUCUUUUAUCUUUUUAUUUAACUUGUUGGUAAAAAGAGAAAAUACAUUUUUUUUAUUUAAUAUGUAAGUUAAAAAAAUAUGACAAAAAAUUAAUAAAAAAUAUGUAUCUUCUUUAAUUUAUUUAAUAGGUAAAUUCAUUGAUCUAGAUGGUUGAGUAAAAAAAUAUAGAUAUAUACACUCGCACUCCAACAACAUAGGGGUGUGGAUGAUAGGUAUAAGUAUCACUAAGUUAAUUCGUCAAUACCACUUUGCUAUCUCAUUCUUUUAUAUCUUAUAAAGAUGAUGUCUUUAUCACAACCACAUUUAUCUUAUUAAUAAAUACACUACGAGAAUUUUAGUUUCUUCCAUAAAUUUUUUCAUUUGUAAAAAAAUAUUAUAUGAAAAAAUGACUCUGGUGUAGCUUCGUCAAUACUUCAUAGUAUGUAUAUAUAUAUAUAUAUUUUGCCAACAACCACCUAAUUACAUUCUCUUGUGUUAUAAAAGUUAAACAUGGACGUAAUUUUAUAACAUUUGAAGAAAAUUAUUGUUUUUGAAAGAGUUAGGUUGAUAUAGUCUUGUUUUUUCAACCGAAUUGUUGGGUUUAAUAAGUGAAAUUAAUUGGUUGGGUUUAAUAAGUGAAAUUAAUUUUCGAAUUAUUUUUUCUGGAUAUCAAUUAUUCAAUACUCUCAUCUAUGUUAUUUAAUUAGUAGUUACUUAGAUAUGUGCAUAAGGUAAUGAAAGAAAAUUUUCAUCAUGUUAAUAUCUUUAUUUGGAUGUUAGUUUGACAAAUUAAUUGGAUUUUAACAUGUAUAUGAUUUGAUAUGUUGUAACAUGUGACACUAGCGAAAAUGCAAUCCCAUGUAUAUGAUUUAAAAUGAGAUUUUUUUUACAAUGAUGAGUGACAAGAGAAAUACUAAAUAUUCAAAUCUUUCAUAAAAUAUAACAAAAUAAAAAAAUAAAAAAAGCAAACAAAAGGUUUUGGUCGGAACUCGUCAUUGUAAUUAUUCAUCUCUACCAAAUGAUUUCUUCUUUUUAAAUGUUCAAAUCAUCCUAAAAUGUUAUCUUACAACUAGGAGAAUUUAGGACAUUAGGAGACGGAGGGUUGUAAUGCAAAUCAAAUAGUUAUCCAUCAAUCCAAAUCAUAGUAACAAAAUAUUACAUCAACAACAAUAUAACCCUUUGAAUGGUUGAAAAACUACUAUCAUACUUGCCAAAUUUUACCAUAAAGAUUAUAGAAAAUGGAAAUCAAAUUUUACCGUAACGACUAUACGAAUGGGAAGAUUUCCAUUUCUUAUUUUAUCUCAGUGAGUUACUGCAGUUGGUUGAUUACAGAAACAUCUACGUCCCCUCAUGCAUUAUCUGUUACUAUAUAUACUGAUGUAAAUUUAACCCCAAGUUUACAUGAAGUUUAAGGGUUUAUUACAAUAAAACUCCCAGUUUGGGGUUGGUUUGUGUAUUUUUUUUCAUAGAUUAUUAUUUUAUGGAUUUUUAUUAUUGAUUCUUCCCAAUGAAAUUUGUAAAGUUGGCCGAAUCAAACCACAAAUUUCCAAGAAUAGAAGAGUGGAACUUUUCAAACAAUAACUUUGAAUUUGUGGAAGAAAAAGUGGAAACUGACUUACUAAUUCUUCGUGUGAUAUUAAUGGGUGCAUGUCUUCAAGGCAUGCAAGCCAAGUCAACCCCACCUUCCAAAACUACAUUAUUUGCAUACAUUUUUUGGAAAAUAAAAUCAUUUUCUAUCUUACCUUCAAAUAAAAUCUCCCUUCAAAUAUUGUUUAAAUAAGUUAUUUGUUAUUUUAAGUUAUGAAACAGAUGGAUGUUAAGCAAUUGAUUAGUUAUUAGAGAGAGAAAAAUGGCAUUAAAGUCUUUUUUAAUUUCCACCUCCUCUUAUAUAUAUAUAUGAAUUUUUACCACAAUAAUUUGUAGUUAAUUUCUGCAUUUGCUCAAUUUAUUUUGGGUUUUUUUAAUAACAAACUACUAAAAAUAGAAUAAUUUUGAAAACGGAAAAAACUGACUUCAAUGUAAAAUGUCAAAGUUACCUAAAUCAACAUGCGAAAAAUCGACCACACAUGCGUCGUGUAGAUAUUGACACACGAUCUCAUACAUACAAUGCAUUGAGAUAACCCGAGAUGAAGGACAUAAGUGUAGAUUUACACAAUCGUGUACUUCAUUUUAAACAAUGACUUUCAAAUUUAAACGAUCUUUAGAUCAUGAUACACGAUAUCUCGAGCCUUACUUGCAACAAGAUGCUCGAAAAUGAAAGAAUUUUGCCUUUAAUUCAUUCGAUCUCAAGUAUACAAUGCUCCAAGAUGCUACUAGGGAUGAAAGAAUUCUUCCUUUCGUUAUUAAUGGAUUUUGGGUCUUAGUUGCACCCGAGAUGACCUGAGAUUAAUAAAUCAUAAAAAAGAUAUAAAUCGCAAGGGUAUACAUAGAGUUUAUGAAAAAAUAAUCGAACAACGUGAACUUUUUUUUAUUAUUUUGUUACACAUAUCGUAAAUAUUAUUUAACACUUAUGUUAUAUUUAUGUAAAUUUAUCAAUGAUUUUUGUGCAUAACUUUAUUAGAUUAAAAUUAAAAUGUAUAAGUUAAUGUAGGCUUUUACAACCACAUUUUCUGAUAAAAUUAGUAAAUGAAUUAGGAAGAAUUGAACUAAUCAGUAAAAAUUGCCCACACUUAUUUAAGUUUAUAUAUAUUAUAGAUAAAAAAUUUAAAUACAAUAGUUAUAUUGCAAAAUGGAAGUUAUUGAAGCAUCUAGAGAUGAUCUUCUAAAUUAAUUUUAUAUAUGAUAAUAUAUUUAAGAGAAAAAAAAGUUUAUUUCUUUAAUGUCCAAAUACUAACAUCAUCAUUUCAUAACCAACCAUCAUUUUUUUCCAUAUUGAUCUAGAAAAGUCAUUUUUGGGUGUCCAUUCUUUUUCAAAUGAGAACCCAUAUUAUAAUUGAAGAAUUUUUUGAUUGUUUAAUAAUUAUCACUUUGACUUUACCUUCGGGGGCUUUGAUUUGUCAUGAAAUUAAUUAUCUAUUGAUGGAUGAAAAAAUUUGUCGACUCAUUUGUUAUUCAUGUGAACAAAAACUAAACACGUUUCCAAAAGAAAUUGGAAAUUAGAGUUUAGAUAAAAAUCCAUAUAUAAAACUCGUAGUACUUUGAUAAAUGUAUUUUAUAUAUGAUGCUAAUUAUAAAUUAAAUGUCAAAUGAUAUUUUGACUUUUUAAUGCGUACACAAAUCAAAUUAAUCUAAAUUUAAAGUGUGUUAAAUGAAUAAUUUAGAGGUGUGUUAAAGGACUAAUUACUAGUUUGAAUCUCCACUUUUAUUAUUAAGAAAAAAAUUUACGUGUGCUACUUCUACUUCUACCCAUGUCGUUAUGUCGUCUAGGUAGUAUGUGUGUAAGAAUAAUUUGAUAGCCCGAAUAAUUCAGACUAUCUAAUCUAGUUGAAUUAUUUUAAAUUUUGGGUUGGAUUGGGUCGGGUCUUGAGUUGAGAUUUGAAAAAUUCGGUUCAACCAAAUGCAAUCAAAACUAACGAUAUUAUAUAUACUUUUAAUAUUUUUUAAUAACAAGAUACUUGAAAUAUUUUUUUAUUUUUUUAUUUUAGUUUAUAUUUGACUCUUCCCUUAUGUUUUAAAACUUUUUGUUAAAUAUUAUUAUUAAUGUUGUACUUUAUGGAUUUUUUUUUUUUUUUGAAUGUGUGGAUUUAUAUGGAUACAUUGAUGUCACAACGUUUUUGAAAUUUAACAAAUAAAUAUUUAUAGAAAUGGAAAAAAAAUUAUAUAUACCAACAUGAUAACCCAACCGAAUUCAACCCAUAUUUAUAAGGUUGGUUUGGGUUGGAAAUGCUUCUUGGGUUAUUGAGGUUGCUAACCCCAACCAACCCGAAAAUUCAGGUUGGUCCCAAAAUACUCUCAACCCAACCUGUUUACAUAUUUACUAAGUGGUUGCUCAAUAAAAAAUUAAGCAAAUAAUUUUUUUACAAAAGAAAUUGUUCUUAAUCUUGUUGGAUCCGACAACGAACACGAUGUCAACCCAUAUUGUGGUAAAAAAAUAUCUGACAAGAGGGGUAGUUGUGGAAGCAAGCAGAAAAAUAAUAAUAUCAUAAACUAAGAAUAAUUCAGUUUGAUGUAAAAUCACACCUACGUUUGGGAGUAGUGUGUCGUGGAAUGAAAAUUCACUAUAUAAAGAGUUUAACAAUUACAAUGAAAGUAGUUAUAUGACAAACUUCAUAUUUACGGACUCCCGUAAUAGCUUGCUCUUCAAAUGUUUCAACCUAAUUAGGCUCUCCCUAAGUUUGAGCUCCAUUCACUUCCAUGAUAUGCUUCUUCAAUCUUUGUAUGAGAUUAUCUAAAUACAAAAUGUUUAGACUCCCCCUACAAAUGAUGAGAUCCCCUUCACAUUCACUAUAUACGUAGGCUUCCCUAAAUACAAUAUAGUUAUCGAACUCUUCCCAAGUACUAGCUAUCGAACCAAAAAUCUCAGCAACAAGCACACAAUAAUUUAUGCUAUAAAUACAUGAAGAUUGAGGCUUAGACAAAUCCUAAACUCACAGCAUUCAAGCAAACUUUUCUAAUGAGACGACUAAUCCUAAACAUAAUAGAGUAAACAUAUAUAUAUAUAGACGUAUAUAUAUAUUUAGUCCAUAAAAUAGUAAUAUAGAAAGAAUAAAUAUUAUUUGAAGAAGAAUAAAGGCCAAAAAUAUGUUGAAAAAUGAAUGCUUCACAAAAUUAUAUAUCUCCAAAAUGAAUCUUUUAUGGAUGGAGCAUGAUAUGAACUUAAGUGCAUAUAUAUAUAUAUAACUCAAAUACGUGUUGACUACUCCAAUAAUUGAGACAACAAAGAUGACCAAAAUAUAAAGUUGACUCCAAACACACACACAAACCAAACCAAAUCCAAUCUGAUCCAAGUCAAAGUCCUUAAAAAUUAAGUUUACAUAAGAAAAAAAACCUUCCCACACACACCAAAUUUAAUUUUCCAUCCUUAUAAAUACCCUCAUCUCUCCCCUUGAUCUCCUAAAACAACAAACUAAUCAAACAGAAAAUGGAAGGACGUGGUGUAGGUGUAGCCAUGCAAAAAACACUGCUCCUAACGGCCCUAGCUCUGAUCGGAAUCAUCGCCGGAGCUGCAGCACAGAACUGUGGAUGCGCGGCGGGGCUGUGCUGCAGUAGGUUCGGAUUCUGCGGGAACGGCGAGGAUUUCUGUGGGACCGGAUGCAGAGAAGGGCCUUGCAACAUUCCCCCACUUACUCCAAGUGUGAACGAUGUGAAUGUGGCAGAAUUUGUGACGGAGGAGUUCUUCAACGGCAUAAUUAACGAGGCGGACGCGGGUUGCGCCGGACGGGGAUUCUACAGCAGAGCUACUUUCUUAGAAGCUCUCCAGUCGUUUGAUAGAUUUGGAAGAAUUGGAUCGGUUGAGGAUUCUAAAAGAGAAAUCGCUGCCUUCUUUGCUCAUGUUACUCACGAGACUGGACGUAAGUUUUUCCAAAUUCUUUUCUCUUCUUUUUUGGUUGUUGUUGUUGUUUUUCGUAUAUGUUCAUAACUAUUAACUUCUUGAAUUUUAAAAAAAUUGGUUAGUUUUUUUAAUAUUAAGUUUAUCAGAACUACUUCUCUUUUGUUUUUGUUUUAUUGUUAAAAAAAUUAAAAGAAAAUGGAAUCAAAAUUUUUAAUAAAAUCCUACCCAUUCAAAUUCAAAAUAAAUCGAAAAUUUUAAUUUAUAAAAAUGUCGAAUUGGUUAAAGACAAAGUAAUUAGAUACCGGUAUAUUGCAUAAAGUUGGUAACUUGAUUUAUAUUGUACAACAGAUUUAUGCUUCAUAGAAGAAAUAGAUGGAGCAACAAGAGACUAUUGCGAUGAGGAAAACACUCAGUAUCCAUGCAACCCAAGCAAAGGGUAUUUCGGUAGAGGACCAAUUCAACUAUCUUGGAACUUCAACUAUGGCCCUGCAGGGGAGAACAUCGGAUUUGAUGGCCUCAACAACCCGGAAAUUGUUGCCACCAACCCGGUGGUGUCAUUCAAGACGGCCUUGUGGUAUUGGAUGAACUUCGUGAGGCCGGUCAUCAACCAGGGCUUCGGCGCCACCAUUCGUGCCAUCAAUGGUGCCCUCGAAUGCGACGGCGCUAACACCGCCACUGUUCAACGACGAAUUCAGUUUUAUAAUCAAUAUUGUAAUCAACUCAACGUUGCCCCUGGAAAUAAUUUGACUUGUUAGAUUUUGAUUUUAGUUUACUUUCCUUUUCUUGUUCUAUUUUAAGCUUUCUACCAAUAAAUUUUUCUAUCAUCCAUUCCUAUAAUUCAUAUAUGUUUUCAAGUAAUUUUAUAACUUUUUUCACAUAUAUACCUACAUAUACAUACAUAUAUAUAUAUAUAUAUAUUAAACAAGUUAUUACUUAAUUUUUACUUCUUUCUCUAUCAAUUUCUAUGGGCGUUUUCCUAUUAAAUAUACUGUAUAAGCUCUCUUUUUUUAUGUAUGAAAAAUGAUAAAAUUUACUAGAAGAUUUUGAAAUUGAAUCUCAACAAGAAAACAAAAAAAGAAUCAAACCUCUCUGCUCACAUGAUUACUUUCUAGUUUGUAAUGUUGUUGAUGCACUCUUGCAUAAGAGUCCAAAUGAAGAAUUUGCAGAAUUUUUUACUUCCAUAAGUUGUUGUAUAUAUGGGCCUCAAACCUGGGUUUCAUCAUUCGGAUUGACCAUGGAGAGACAGACGUCUUAUCAGAGGAGAUGGGAAAAGAGUUGUUGUCAUUGUGCUUCCAUAUGGGGCGGUCGGGACCUCCAUCAUCAAAAGGAAAAGCAAUUAAUUAUAUCUGUCUACUUUUAACUAGGGAAAGUAAUAUUGGAGUUUUUCACGAGGACUUGAUUCACAUAGCUAGAACGAUAAUUUUUCUAGAGGAACUAAAGUUAAUUAGGGCUAGAAAAUAAUAUUGGAGUUCCAGCGCUAAUUGAACGUUUGAUUUUGUUGUGGGUUUUAGACACUAUGGAUAUUCUAUGAAGGAAUCUUCCGAACUCUUACCUCAAUUCAAACUGGUGCCCGUUUUAUAAGAUGUACACAAUGACGAAAUGGAACAACUGUUCCUUUACUGCACCAUUAAAAGAUUUUAUGGGGCAACAGACAGAAUGACAUUGCAAUACCAACAACAUGAACUCUUUAUGUCAGAACAUUUGCUCUCUAGCAAACAAACGGGAGGAAUAUCAUCAUCUUCAAUAUCUCAGUGGCUUUAAUGAGAACUGUUUAGCUAGAAAGAAAUAGCAGAAUAUUCAGCAAUAAAUAAGCUAUCAGACAUUUGCAAACUCAUUGGAUAUUGAACAGUAGACACCCCUUCUCAAAGAUUAAUUUCCACCAUUGCUAUCAACAUUAGUUCUUUCUUAUUUUGAUGGUCUUUGUUUUUUUUUUUUCCUACUUUUCUUAGCCUCUUUUUUUGACCUCAUCUUGUAUAUACUUUCGUGCGAUAAUUAUAAUUAUAACAAUUUUAGAAAUAAUAAUUAAGUAUAUAUAACAACCUUUUAAAAAAUUGUAAAUAUAACAAAAUUUGUUAAAGUUUAUCAAUGAUGAUCAUGUAGCAAAGUUUAUUAGUGAUAGACCAUGUUGCUCUUAUGAGAUAGAAUAAUAUUUGCAAUCUGUUUUAUCAUUGAUAAACUUGGAUAGAUUUUAUUAUAUUUUUAAAAGAUUGUUAUAUAUUUAAUUAUUUUAAAUCUAAAUGCUAUAUUUUUCACUAUUUCUACUAUUAUUGAAUAUUAUUUGACAAAAGAUGAUAGUUGUACUAAAGGAUAUACCCAUCUAAUGAGGAUGUCGGGAUGCACAUACAGACUCAUUUUGUAUCUUUUUCUAAAAAUAACUUUAGUUCAUGGUAUUUUGAUUUGAAGUUGUUAAGUAUUUAAUUUUAAAAUAAGUUAUUUUAAAAAAAUGGAUAGGUUUGACAAACACUCUUCAAAGUUUAUUUCAAACCUUUUUUAUGAAAAGAAGUAUAUUAUUCAACCAUUAAAGUAUAAUGACACAUCAUGGAAUUAAAAGUUGAGGAGUGUUAUCUUUUCAAGAAAAAAUGAAAAAAAAGAAGAAAGGGAAAAGUUGAGUGUAAUUCUAAGUCUGACUUUCAAGGGAAGCGGCCUACGCUUAGCUUUGUUUGAAUAUAUUUUAGUUUGAAAUGCUGAAUUUUCAUUGAAAGAUCAAACCUUAAUAACUCUUUCUCAGUAGAGACGUCUGCAUGGCAUCAUAAUCAAUUAUUACCCCAAAGUUGACCCUAUUUUCUUUUAGGAUACAUAUAUUUUGAUUUCAUUUGAUAUACAUAAUAAUAAUUUCUUGAAGUUCUUGGCAUUCUAGUUCUUCUGCAAAAUCCGCCAUUAACGACGUAUACAUAUUGCUAAGGGACAAUUGAGUUGUUGUUCAAGUUCAAGUUCAAGUUCAAGUUGAAGCUAAGUUGAAAACAUUAUAUAUGGCAGAAAAUCAGGCUUAUUAUUAUGAUCGGAUUUCCCACAUCCUUUCUGAAAAAAUGGUAUAUAUAUAUAUAUGCUUUUUAACUGUAAUUUUCUCUUCUCUUUCACCUUCUCUUUCUCAUUUUGUUACACAUGUAAUUAACUUUAUCUUCAACAUUAUCCUUUGCUUCCCAUAUCAUUUUGGACUACUACACAACAUUCUACCACUAAUUAAUUCCGACUUUAUUUUGUAUACUUCUAUCUUCUGUUCACUUUAGGUACAUCAAACAUCUAUUAUUUUAGUUAUUUUUAUAAUAGGAACCAAAAUGAACGUCGAGAGAAUAUUAAAAAAAAAACAAUUCAAACAGAUGUAUUUUAUUUUAUUUUUUUCCUAAUUUGUGCAGUUGAAAGAAAAGGAAAUGAAAUGGAGCGUAAGCAAUUUAAAAUUCCAAGAAGAAACAAUCAAAAGGGAAGUGAAAUUGAAGGUGGAAGAAUUAAAUAAGCUUCAUCCAUCUCUAGACAAACUCUCUUUUGCAAAUAAUGCCUAUAGGGUCAUCAAACCCAAAUCAACUUCAUGCUUAUCAGUUGGAGAAUUUGAUAACAAGGUAACUUAAUUGAAUUAAUUUCUCUAAUAUAUUUAUUUUGUAACACAAUUUUCAGAUUUAAUAAUACAUAAAAAAACAAACUAAGAACUAGAUUUAAAAUUUAGAGACUUAGACAUUGGAAAGUAUUCCGACUAAAAUUGAACAAACUCUAUAAAGUUUAAGAAUUCAAAUGAUAUUUUAACCUAAUCUAAAACUACUAACAUGGUUUCACUAGUCCUCCAUCUCACUUCCGCCAUGCUUGGAACUAGGCUAUGACUACGUUUCGUUGACCGCCUCGGCAAUCUGCUGGCGAGGCACCCUACUUCAGCAAAACUUUCAGAGCUCUACCAGGGUUUAGGGUUUAGAACUAAUAUACUAAUAUACUAAUAUAUUGUGAACUAGAAUUAAUACUAACUUAUACUAAUGUUAUAAACAGAAAUUGAAGUUCCUAAUGCAACAUGGAAGCAAAAAUAUAGCCAGUGAGAAGAAGUUAUUAAGGGAGAUCAGUUCAAGCAGGAAGAAGGAAAUUAGAUCAACAACAGUUGAAGAACUUGAUGUUCCUGUACAGAUCAUUUAAAAUCAUCAAUGCCUUCAAACAUUUUGUCCUAAUUUUUCUUUUCAAAUGGUUUAAUAGUAUUAAUUAUAAUUUUCUUGGUACAAUCAAAAUUACAGAUUAAGAAGAAGAAUGAGGAAAUUGAGAAUUCCCAUUUGUAUUUAUACACAACAGAUUUUGAAGGGAUUAAUAAAGAGAUGAAAAGGCUUGAAAUGGUGAAAGAGAAGGCUGUGGCCAAUGCUGCUGUUGGUGGAAAGCUUUGGAGCUCUUUGGGAACCAAAAAGGAUAUCCAACAGAAAGUUAAUGUAAAAAGAAAAAAGAAAGUUUGGAUUUGAAUUCUGUGAAAAGGGAAAUUUAUUAUUAUUGUUGAGUUUAAUUAUGGUUUUUAAUUGCAGGUCAUGUAUGAGGAAUUAGAUGAGCUGAGGUUAAAGCAAAUUGAAACUCGAAAUGAAACCAAGUAUGGGGAGAAAAAGUUGAGGAUUAUACAAAAACAAAUCUUGUAUUUACACAAACAAUUGGAAAUAAUAUAUCCAUAGUGUGUGUAUUAUUUAUAUUUAGGGUGUGGAAUUUGCCCUUACAAAGUUUAUUCAUCGUUACUUUCAAUUUUAUCAAAUUACACCGCUAACUUUGAGCCUUUAAUUAGUUUUUGUAAUUUGAAACAAUCUUAACAACGAUUCAUUUAAUAUACCCUCAUGUAUGCAUUUAAUGAUAAGGAUGUGUGCUGUAUAAAGAUUAUUCCAAAUAAAAAUGACAUCAUUUUUUUUUUUAAUUGGGGAGUUUUGAACAAACUUAUAAGCUAGCAAAAUUUAAAUUCGUUCAAUGAUUAUCAUCGAUAAAUAUAAAAUUUUGUUAUAUUUUGGUUCAUUUUAAUUAUAUUUAAAAUUAUUUCAAAGUUAUUGUUCACACGAGGUUUUCGAAUAAACAUGUUUCAUGGAGUUAAACUUGUGUUGAUGUUGAUUAUGAUGUGAUGCAGUUUGACCUCUCGUAUUUGAUCCUCUAAUUAUAUUCUCUUUCAGUUGGAUGUUUACACUUGAUUUAAGGAAACAGAGCACGUGAUGUUCUUAAAGUGAAGCACGUAUUAUUCUUGAAGUUGGAGUCUUAGAAGAUAGUUUGUAUCUUUGUAACUUCAAAGGAACUUCAAUCUUUAGGGGUGGUCAGCUUCUGGAGUUAGCAAAUCUUUUGAUUCAUAGGAGAAUUCUCUCUAGAUCUUUUAGAGUAAAAUCUUUAUGUUUCCCACAAAUUAAGAGAACUCCUCUAUUUAUAGAAUUAUCUGGCAAGUUUUAUAAGUUUGGGUUUAGUUGGUCAAUGGACCAAACCCAUGGGUUGAAUCAUGUGAAUUUUAGUCAUAUUUAGUAUUUGGACUAAAUUAAAGAAUAAUUUACAUAAAUGUAACAAAACCCAAAAAAUAUUUACGAUCCGUGUUAUAAAAAACAAAAGCCCAUGAAGCUGGUAAUAUAUUUUCAUAAUUUCCAUAUUUCCCCUUUUGAAUGAUUCAUCGCUUCUCUUUCAUCUUCUUCUUUGCAAAUGAUUCAUUUUCUCUUUCAGAUUUCUUCAUCUCUUCUUCUAGAUUUUCUUUCUUAUAUCUUUAAACGAUUUAUUCUUCUGUUUAAAUCUCCUAUUUUAUAUUCAUCAUUUUUGACAAGAUUCUUUUAAGCUACUUCACCUUCCUCAUAUUUGAGAAUAUCAAGACCGUUUAAAUAUCAUUUUGACCGGAUCUAGAUGAUCGUUUAUCAUUGUCAACACAAUCGUUUAAAUUUGAAGUCAGUUUUCAUUGUUUAAAAAGAACUACACGAUUGUGUUGAUAUGAUCUAAACACGAUUACUUACCAUAGUUAACACGUUCAUUUAGCAUCAUCUACAUGAUCGUUAAAAUUGAACAUUUUUAACGAUUACUUACAUUGGACUACACAAUCGAUUACCAUAAUCAACACGAUCAUUUUUCAUGAUCAACACAAUCGUUUAGCAUGGUCAACACGAUCGUUAAAUUUAAAGUCUUUUUUCUCAACAUUAAGAAAUGAACUACAGAAUCGUGUAUCAUGUCUGCAGUACACAAUCAUUUAGAAGAAGAUUACUUGUGCGAAUGUGAUCGAUUAAUCACAUAUUGAUCGUGACAUUUUUUGUAUAUUUUUCGUUGUGGGCCAAUGACCUUUUUUUCUUUUCAGAAUUGCUUUAUACCAUAUAAAUAUUUUAUCGGUUUGUUAUAUUUUUAAAAAAAUCCCUAAAUUAAACUUACUUUUUGUCUCAAUUGAACAUUAAUUCAAGUAAAUAAUAUUUAAUUGAACUAAAAUAAUUAAUUUGAUCGAAUAGUCAUAACGAAAACAUGUGACAUCAUCAGAAUUAGCCAAUUUAUAUCUUCACUCUCAAUUUGGGACACAUAUCAAUUUUUAAUUAGUUUCAAAUUUAAUUAUUGGUAUUUUCUUCAUUAAUUUGGUAAAUAACGUAACAAUUUGGGAUUUAUCCAAAAAAGUUUUUUAUUCAAAUAGUAAUAUAGAUAAUUCGUGCAUUAACUAAGAUUUUAUUAUAUAGAAAUGGGUGAGUUUAAGGUUCAAACAAUGCUUUUUGAUACAACUGUAAGUGGAUGAUUUAGUAUAGUUUGAACCGAUAGAAAAAGUUAAUAACAUUCAGUUUAUGGUCCAAAUUUGGUUGAAGAGUUUGAAUAUUUAUAGUAAAAAUCAAUAUAAAUUUGUAGAGUUGAAGAUAGAGAUCGAUUUAGAGGCUGGAUUCCCCUACCCUAUAUGUUAUCAUUUUUGCAAUGAUAAUCUUACCACUUUAAAUAACUUUUAAGGCUAGAUUAUAAAUACAUAUAUACAUGCACACAUGUACAUGUAUAUAUAUAUAUAUAUAUGCAUAAACAUUUGUACUUUAUGUAAAAAGAUACCCUAACUUGUCAAAUAAAAAAGAAAGCAACGUAGAAAGAAGAAAAUAAAAACAAGUAACAAUUUGAAAUUAGCUUCCAAAAACCAUAUUGUGAUCCAAUAACAAAACCAGAGGAGGGAGAAUCAUCACAACGAUGGCGAAGAAAUUGAACUUAACAAAAUUAGAAGGAACAGAGUAGUGUUAAAAGUAAGAUUAAAGGCAAAGAAACAGAGAGAUGGGUAUGAACAAUAAAAAGCUUCAAUCAAGAACAUUUCACUGAUCGAAGUGGACGAAAGCAAGAGAGAGCCGAGGAGAAAGAGGAAGAAGGAGCCUGGCAAAUUUUGACCUCAGUUUCUUCUUCAUAAAUGGUGUACAGAGUAAUUUGAAUAUGGGGUCUCGAAGCGCAGCUGAAGCGCGGCGGCGCAAUCGCUGAAAAUCGGGUUAGCGGUGUGGAUGGUUGGGAGGAAGGAGUUAGGGUGGUGGUGUUGUUGUUGGCCAUUUCCUGUGCGAUGGGAUAUAUGAGCCUUAAACUCAUCCUAUGGCUUUUCUUAUUUUGGGCUACCUAUGAGUUUUUGGCUAACACUACUUUGGAGUUAUAUAUAUAGAGUCUGAUCCCUUCGAAAUUAGGAUCUUUCUUUUAUCUUUCUCUCUCUCGUUUAAUAAUCACAUUUUUAAACUUUACUAUUUUAUAAGUGUUACUCUAGUUACUGAUUUUAUUACAACUAAAACUUGAAGAACGUGUCUUAUAGUACGUCAACCAUUCUGUUUCGUUUAAUGUACAAUUUGGUUUUUUCCUUAUUUGUUAAAGUGUGUAUUGUAAAUUUGUAGGCACGUUUUCCUGUACUAGUAGAUAAUAAGUGUGUGUCUAUGAAUAUUGUAGAUCAAUGUGAGUGAAGUUGAAGCCACCUCCCACUUGGAGGAACCCAAAUAUGUGUGCAGUGAGAGAAUCUCGUAUUCUAAGUUUGGGAGAGCUUAUUCAUAAAAAUAAUGGAAGCUCACACCUAAGGAGAGGUAAGUACAUUGUUUUGGAAGGGGUUCUCAAAUGUAACAAGCUUUGGAGAUGUUUUAUUACGCUUUGGAGAGGUUUUCAAUUGAUUACAGAGAAAGAGUUUCUCAAUUUUUAGAGGUUGAAAAAUAUCACGUCAAUAAUUACGAACAAAUAAGGUGUCAAUGCAAGAGAUUUGUGAAUUCAAAUUGGGACUCAUUAGAAGGUGUGGAGCGACAUCUAUAUUAACCACUGAAAUAGCCUCCUCAUAUAUAGACUGAGUGUAUCAUGGAGAGUUCGUGAACUUGCACAAAUGUAUGCAAAGACUUGAUGAAGGAACAAGUAGAAGUAAUAAUCACUUUGAUAAAGGAACUAGUAACUCAUUUUGAGUAUCAUGCAUGAUUUACAAGCUGGCAUUAAACACGAAGAAGAGAUGGAGGAAUGUUUGAAGAAUGAAAUGUCGUUUAUCAGUAGGGUAGAUUUAGAAGAAGAUAAAACAAACGUCGUAUUUCAGGAUCAGUUACUAAACCAAGCAAGUUGUGAGCUAUACUCGAUUGUUUAGAAUUUUCGUCCCUAAAUUUUUUGGUUACGAUGAUUACAUUAAACACUUGUAGUCAUGGUUACUGUCCGAUUUAAUAGUGUGCUUUUUUGUAGAGUCGUCUCAACCCUCUUCACUCCUGUUUCGAGGAGGCGACAACACUCCGAAAAUAUUAAAUUGAAGAGGUACAUACAGUAGAAUGGGAGGAUCCCCCAUUUCAAUCCCCCAAGAGGGGACAAACCUAUCUCGCUACAUGCCCCUUGUUUCAGCGGCACAAUCGAUGUGUUGUCAUGAGACACAUUUUCGCUUCAGGCCCUGAAGUGGGCUGAUGUACCACAAGAGUUCGUCAAGGGCGGCCUAGGGGUAAGUUUGUAAAUUUUUCAACACACACAUAUAUAUAUAUGUUGAACCUACAUAUGUAGAAGAACAAUUCUCAAGUACAUUUUUUUUGUAGCAAUAGUUCGUGUUCGAUCUCCAAGAUCCAGCACUUAACCGGUUUGUUAAGCAUCGAAUGCUCUGUGUGUGGAAAAAAUUCAGGGGAGACAACCAUCGACACUUCAAGAUGUACAACGACCUUGAAGAAGCACAUGGAAGCCCAUCACACAGAUUGGCCAAUCGCAUGCUAGAUUGACACUUUCUUUGUGACCAUUACAUGAACUUAACAGUUUCAGAUGAUUUAUAUCGUCUACCUUAUAAUCAAUUAACAGUAAUUCAUUUAAUUUUUGUUUGGAUAUAAUGUUUUACACUUUGUCUGAUUGUAGGAGCAAUCAAGUGCUUGUAAGGCUGCUAGAGCAAAGCAGCCUUACAACCACAGGAGCAGAUCCAAGUCGUUUCUUCAGUGAUAAGUCGAGCUCAUUGAAGAUCAUGAUCGUCCAAUAAACCGUGUCAAGUACUUAUUUUGAGAGAUGCACGCCAGUAGGACUGGCGAGUUCGUUUCAUCGAUAGCAGAAAACACACUGUAAGUUCACAAACUUUUUAUUUGAAUUAUGAUGAUCUCUCCUAGCCCCAACUUGUAUAUUGUGCAGAAUCAAAUAUUGGAACUUCAGUCCUAGCUCAUUCCAGAGGGUUCUCAACCACUAUCUGAGGACGAGAUGUGCGAGACUGUUUUCGGUAGACGACCGAGCUACUCAAAAGGUUUUGGUUGGGGCCCCAAACUCAAGUCCAAGAAGACUUCUGUUUUCGCUUCUUCCUCCUCUUACAACCACCAAUCACACAUUGCGGAAGUUAGCCAACUAAAGAACAACCUUGAAAAUGCUAAUUGCAUGAUUAAAGAAUAAAAACUAAGGAUAGACAAAUGGAAGAAACAAUGCGAAAAAUGGAAGAGAUGAGGAAGAAUGAUCGAGGAUAUUAGUCAGCAACAUAGAUGGCUGUGAACACUUGGGGUAAGUACUUUUCAACAUUUAAUUUGUUUGAUUUUACAUCUAAGAUAUUCUUAACUGUACUUUUAUGUUAUUUGUAGGUUUUGCAAUUUUUAUAUGGCGUUCGCAACUACUGGAUAUCUAGAAGAUAGGUGUAGGCUUUGUUUUUUUACUUUAAUGUAAUUGUUUUUAAACGUUUUGAACAUAUUAUUUGUACAUUUUGAGCAUAUAUAUCAUACUCGGUUUAUUAUAAAUUGUAAUUUCUUAAUUUUGAUAAUUUAUUCUACAUUUUGUUUCUUGCAAAACGAGAGAACCAAGAACAAUAUUGAACAAUAAAUAAAAACAAAAUAAAAAAAUAAUUAAUUAAAAUAAAAAGUCUUGUCCAUGCCUAUCGUUUUCUUAUUCUUUUUUCUUUUCGAAUUUGACCUUUUGUCUCACAGGUACAUACAUGUGCUAGUUGAGCUAAACUAAUGUUGAUCAACUUUUAUAAAUUUUUAAAACCAUAAAUUACAAACCUUCAAUUCAACUCAUUAAAGUUGAACAUAAUAACUAAUUUAAUUUUGAUAAGUCACUUAUUUCAAUCUAACUUUUUAAAUAGUAAUAUUGUAUUAUUGAUGAAUAGAAAGUAAUAAUUGAAAAAAAAAAUAGUAAUGAUUUAAGAAUAUUAUUGAUGAAUAUUAUGUUUUUCAAACCCGUUAACGAGGGUCCGAAUUUCAUGCUUUGUGGAAAAUAGUUUUUUUUUCUUUUAUGGGCAAUUCCAUCAAGAUAGCAAUUUUUUUAUGGGUCUUGCCCAUGAUCUUAUCCUAAACCCAAAAUUAUAUAAAAAAAAAAGUUUGAUAGGCAAUGUUGAUCAAGAUAUCAUUUUUUUGGUCUUUGUCCAUAAAAAAACCAUAUACCCAUCAAGAAAACUUUAAACUCCUUAACAUAUCCAAAACAAUUAUAUUAACUUUUUUUAUGAUAGUCAUUGCAAAUCAAGAAAAUUCACUCAUUGAUGGGCCUCGUCCAUAAAAAAACCUAACUAACUUAACAGAUAACUAAUAUAUUAUCCUUAAUAUUUAUUGUCCAUCGAAAAAUAGUUUUGUUGGCGUUUGUGGAUCAUAACAAAACUACGAGAACUUUUCCCAUCAAGAAAAUCAAGAAUUCACUUUUUUUUAAUGUUUUUUUCGUAUUUCUUUAACAAAAUGAGGAGACUUUUCUUGACGUAAAUGUCCGUCAAGAUAAACAUUGUACCCAAAAAAAACAUUUUUUUUUAAUGAUCAUUUUCCAUGAGCAUCAAGAAAUCAAAAUUUGCAUGUGUCAAGUAAAACCAAAUUUAUAGUAGGGUCAGUUCAAUAGUAAAGAGUAAGAGAUAAAAGUCAUUGACGUUUGAGAUUGUAACUAUGGCUAAGUUUUCCAUAUAUUGGUGGAUAUAGACUAAAUAACAACUUGCUUUUCAGGUUAAAUGUUCAAAAUCCUUUCAAAAUCAGAACAAAUAAAUCCUCAUCUAAUACAUUAACCACUCAAGGGAAGGAAAACCUAUAAUCCCAUAUGUUCUCAUUAUCUUCCAAAAUGGAAUAUUGAAUUCAACACAAAAGAGUUUUCAAAACCAACUACAACAUCAUUUCCAUCCCUGUGACAAUAUAUAGAUCAAAUGUGUGACGGGUUCAAUAGACUUGCCAAUUUUUUAAUCUCGUCAAUCACAUCUUUUCCACGAUAAUUAACAUCCUCUAAAUAGUAUAUCAAAACCACCAUAUUUUCCACAUUGGACUCAAUGGCAAUUUAAUUGAUAGAAAUCAAACUCUUGAACAUUCCAACAAUAGCUUGGACUUUCAACAACUCUAUAAUCUAAUAGUUCGUUCAUGUUAAAUUUUCUUGAAACCAAAAUACGUUAAGAGAAUCACAAAUAACCUACUAAUUACCAUCCAUCCAAAUUCAAACUUGGAAUGUUAUAAAUAAAUAUAAAUGUGAUUUUAUUCAAUAAUCUAGAGAUUUAGAAAUAUUUUAUGAAAGAAUUGAAAGAAUUUGAGCACUCUCUUAAUUAAGAUUGUAAUGAUCAAAAUUUAGAAAAACUCAGCUGUCUUUGUUGUACGGAAAAGGAAGGUUAUGGCAGGAAUAUUUGGGAGCCCUAUUGCCAAUUUUACGGUUUUGGCAUUUUCCCCAAAAUACUUUAAAUUCUUUUAGUAUUUCACAUCACAUUUUCAUUCAAUUUCAAAUAAUAUAAAUAAAAACAUUACCAAAUAAUUACUCCAUAAAUAGAUGUAUUAAACUAGCUAGUAUAAGUUAAAAUGUGUGUUGUUACGUAGUAAUAGAAUGGAAGAUCCAACCUUCGACUUCGAGAAAUGUCAUAAUAACUACUAAUUAGUGUCGAUCUAAUUAAGUUUCCUAGUAUUUAAUUAUAUAGUUAAACUAUGUAUGAGUCAUUUGACAUACAAUUGAGUAUUGAGUGAAUAAUUGCGAAAUUUGUAGCUUCCAUUCACCUUUGUACUGAAUACUAUUUUAUAUAUUUUAUGGACACAACAAUAAAUAACGAUUUAUUGGUAAUUACAUGCUAAAAAAUCACUCUAUUUUAAACUUUUUUUAAUAAACUAAAGACAUGCAAGAUUUUAUAUGCAUAUGCACGUGUUUUUUAAUAAAUAUUUGGUUUUUGUUUCUUUAAUUUUUAAAUUGAAAUUCUCAAAAUUUACUAGUUCCAAUUCAACAAUUAGAAAAAUCGAUUUUAUCGAUUUUAGUGGUUUUUUUCAAUUUUUUUUCUUGCACCUCUAAUUGAUGGAUAGAGAGGAUAACAAUCGGAGCGGAUAAAAGACGAUGAUUGGUAGACAAAAAAAUAAUAACCAAUAAACAAAGAUCGACAAUUUUAAAAAAAAAAACCUCACAUUUGAGUGACAAACAUUUUUAAAAUCGUUAAUAUGAUAGCACUAAAUUAAGUUUGAAUUUUUGAUGAAUUUCAUUGAAAGUGGUCGGUUAGGCUAAGGUAAAAUUUUUAUUAAAAGAAAAAGAAUCUAACAAGAUCAAAUCAAUUUCAUUCUCUUACAAAAGAAUUAAAACUAUUUGACAAACUAUCCAAAACAACAUUUAGAAAAUUUUCAAAUAAAUUUUAGUAAUUUUUUCUAUAGAAAACAAAUAUUAGAAGAGUGUAGAAUUGUGCCACUUGGAGGGCUUACCGACACAACAAAGACUCUCAUGCACAGCAUUUUUAUUAUUUAACAUAUAUAUAUAUAUAUAUAUAUAUAUAUAUAUUAUCAUUUAAAAGAUAAUAGAAACAAAUUAAGGAGAAAAAAAGAAGAAAAUAGAAAGUGGAUAAAAGAGGGGAUUGAAUUGGAUGGAAAAACUUUAAGCAUUAAUUAGAAUGGCAUAGUUAAUACGGCAAAUGGGAUGUUGAUGUUAGGGAUAAAUUUACAAUAUGAACUUUUAUAAGUGGUUGAUGUGUUGACAGACGUAACGCUUUGGCCGUCACACCCAUUGUUCUCAAUGACGCAUACCCAACAAAACAACCCAUGUUUUCUUCCUCUAAUAAUUAUUUCUUUCCUCUCUAUUUCAUUCUCUUUUAUCUUUCAUUUCAAACUUCAUCACUCAAUUUCCAUUCAUAUGUUACUCUUCAGGAGAAAUAUUAUACCUUUUUUUCUUUUUUGUGUGUAUAUGAGAGGAGGGGCCAAUAGCAAUGUGCAUUUUCUCUCCAAUUGUCCUCUCUGUCUUUGUUCCUCCACGGGUUUCAAACAUUUCCAUUUGUAUUGAUUAGAGAUUCAAAUGUGUCUUGUGAAUGACCUAUCGUUUUAAAUAAUAUGUACUUGGUGAGCAAGGUAAUUAAGUGUGCUUUCUAGCUUCUUGUAUAUGUUAGAGAAUUUGUACGUUCGUAAUUUUUUCUAAGAAUAAUCAAUAUAUUGAUGAAGAAUUUUCAGUCAGGAUGGUGGAAUUUUUUCCCUCCCUGACGUCCAAGUUUUGACCGUAUGGAAUAAAGAAUAAUGUGAAUUAAUUUGCUAAAGUUUUUUAAGACAUUGAAAGCAAUAUCAUGAUAAUAGAGCUUUCGUAUUUUCCCUUGCAAUAGUUAUUGUAUUAACCUCCACCAACAAUCUAUAUUAUUCUUGUGGAUGAUGCUAAUACUAGACCGAAUGCUAUAUAAUCGACUUAAAAUAAAAAUAAACCACCUCUAAGAAUACAUCAGUAUUGUUUCGUAUGAGAUAAUUUGAAUAAUCUCAUUCUCAAACUCUUCUAGCUUCUAUAAUGUUUUCACUCUCUAACUUAAAUAUCAAAAUGUGCACCACGUCAACGUAUAAUUUUUUAUUUUUUUAGUUUCUUUUAAUAUGUGUCACAUUCUUCUCCCCUUUAAACAAACUUACCGUUGUUGAUGCCACGUAUAAAGGUUAGAAGUGUUUUUUCCCUAUCUAAAUAUGGGCACGAACAUAUCUUAAAAAAUUAAAAGAAAAAGCAAUAGUAUUAUACGACCUCCAUUUUAAACUAUGGGUUUGCAUGUUGAAAGUGUAGCUUGAUGAUAAUUAGUAUGCAAUAUUUCUCCCGAGUUUGAAAGUUGAAAUCGUCAAUACCUCUACAGCUUGUUGCACUAUAAGCCUCUUUGUAUUGGUAUGAUAUAUAUUCUCUACACUACACAUAAAUUCUCGUGAUUUUAAAUUUUGACUUACACAUAUAUCUAUGAUCGAUUCUUUGGUCAAAUUCUCUUAACAAUCAUUUCCUCCAAUAAAAAGUACUAUUGAGAAACUUCUCUCAAACAAUAUCAUCUAUCAUUCAUCUCAUUUGACUUAACCGCCAUAUGUCAAAUCUUCUUUCGGAGCACAACGUCAACCAAUUAAGCUCAAACAUAGAUCUUCGUGCUUUGACUAUAUAUUGUUGAGGCUCACAACUAAUUUAUUCAUCAUUCCAUAGCUGAUGUACUUUCAAUAUCUAUUCUUGUAGGGGAACAAUGAACCUCUACAUAUUUUUUCAAUGAUAUGAAACCUUUGUAUAAGACUUUAAUUGGUUGCAUCUUUAAGAAUAAUAAUGUGCAUUGUUUUUAGGGUUUGUGGCCUACUCAAGAAGCCUUAUUCAAUAAAAUGUUAAUGAUGCAAUAACUAGAGUGUAUUAAAAUAACUAAUUUUCUAAAGUCUAGUAAUUGUACAUUGAAGUGAAAAAUUUUAAACCAUCAACACCUUUUGAAAUGGUACUUGAUAUAUCUUAUUCAUUAAGUUAUGUUCGUUGUCUUUAAUCAUCAAUAAUUAUAUAUGCAUGCUACUAAGAAGUGGGCAGUAAUAUCAUUUCAAAAUAUCAGUUAUUGCUUCAACAAUAGCAAUUUGCCUAAUUUUUUAAUCACAUACAUGAUUGCCUAAUUUUUUAAUCACAUACAUGACGUUUUGAUGAGUGAUAGAUAGCAUCAUAUUCAUAAUAGAAUAUAAUAUAUCAAUUGCUUGAAUAAUAACAAUUUAUCCAACUGUAUCAAUUAUGAUUUACCUUUUCAGCAAUAGACAAGAACAACAAUAUGCACACUGCAUGCAUAUGUGCAUCCAUUAAUUAGAUUCUAACUCAUUUAAAUACAAACCAACUUAAAUCCAAUCCAACAUGUACCAUUUGCACACCAACUUGGUUUAAUUCAAUGUUUGAUCUUUCACGAAUCAUGUUAGUAUUUUCUAACGCGUUUUAGACAAGAUUGGCCGUCAAUCAUGAAAGAAACAAAGAGAAGAAUCUAAAAAAACGUAAAGAGUGUAAAAGUUUGCAUUAAUUAGAAUUUGCACUUAUAAGGAAAAGUGUUUGUUUGGAAGAAGGGAUGUUGAAAGGUUAAUGCCCUGGAUUGAAGGGCAAAAAGAUUGUAGAGAUUUAUAUGACAAAAAGAUGUGUGUUGGAGGGUUGCUCUAAUGCAAUCAUUCACGUGGAUUAUCUAUUAUUCAUGUAACUCUAAUGGGCCCUCUCCCUUUGUCCUUGUACUUUUUGAUUUUUCAAAUUUUUCUUUUUUUAAAGAAAAAUCUAUGUACGAUUUUAUUGCUCCGACCAACAAGUAGGUGUAUGUUUUGAAUUAAUACACAAGUAAAUUUAAACGUAGUUUAGUAGAUAAGACACUUAUUAUCAAUAUAAUGGCUGUUGGUUCAAUGGAUUAGUUAAUUAUUCGUCACUUAUGAAAGGUCCUUAGAUAGAAAGAGAAACUGUGCAGAAGUAGAGUGGAAAAUUGGAUGAGAGAAAGAAAAAGCAAAAAUUGAAAAGGGGAUUUUUGUUUGUAGGUCAAAACACACAUUGGGCAGUGUCAUUUUAGAUGCAAUUAAUACUAAAAGCAAAGAUGGUAGGGGCGGCACAUGGGGUUAAAACUCAAAAGGAGUUUUCUAGUCUCUACUUUGACUUGGACUAACUAAGCAAUUUCAGCCCACCCAUGCAUAUCCUAAUAUAAUCUAAUAAUACUUUAUAACCUAAAUUUAUUCUCAAUACUUUUCUUCCUUCAUUAAAGCAUCAUAAUUUGUCUCAUUUAAUGCCAUAUAUAUAUAUAUAUAUGAUGGCUCAAACCCUAUUUUGUUUAUGUAUUGUAACUCGAGAGUUGAUUGAAGUUUGUUGACGUUGGAAAGAACUCUCGGAAAAGAAACUAAUAUGAAUUUAACUCAACUAACUAUUAUAUAAUAUUAUAUAUGUUUUUCUAUUAAAAAGUUUAAAAAGAAAUAUGGUUAAUUUUUAUAAAUAUAAUAAACUAAUUUAGGAUCGUGAAGAAAAACCGUUGGAAUAUUUGAUAGUCAAACCUUAUUAAAUUUGAUAGUAUGAGCAAGAGAGGAGUAGCCCAUCUAUAUUAUAUGUAGUGUGAGUUUUUUUGGUUUUUCAAAUGUAAGACUCUUAAAAUCUCCAACAAAUAUAAAUGAUCGCAUAUAAAAAAAUUAGUUCAAUCUAAAUGAUCGUGUACUAAAGAAUCUUUAAAAACAUCGUUUAGAUUUGAGUUGUCAAAAUUAAACAAUCAAAUCUAAACCAUGUUGUACCAAAUAUAAACAAUUGUGUACUAAAAAUUAUUUGAAAAAUAUGGUUGAGAUUUGGCUACCCAAAUUUUAAAAUAUUAAAUCUAAAUGAUUGUGUACCUUUAAAAAAAUGUUUAGAUUUUGCCCUAACUUUAUAAUCGGUGUAAGAAAAAAUAUUCAAAUCUAAACGACCGUUUGUUUACCAAAUAUGUUAGGCGGCAUGGGUGGGGUAUUUUUUUAUCGUAGGUGUACAAGAUUUUCUCGUUUUCGAAAUUGUUCUAUAUGGUGUAAAUAUUUCGUCGUUUUGUUAUAUUUUUUUAUAAAAAAAGAACCCAAAUCUUAAUCCAACUACUAGAUGAAAUCUAUAUAUAUUUAUGGAGUGAGAACAAAAAGAAAAUCAAAAUCAAUAUAAAAAAAAUGGAACAAAGAAAAAAACAAGAAACAUUAGAAUUUACAUGAAAAUUACCCAGAAAUAAUGAAAAUAACUACAAAAACUUGUGGAGUAAACAAUAUUACAUUACACGUAAGUCUACUUUCCCUUCAAUUAUUGUAAAAAUUAAAUGAAUAAAAUAUUUUAAAAUUUUGUUAAAUAUACUCUUACUUGAGUAGAUAAAUACACGAGGUAUAUAUACAAAUUUUGUUAUAGUUAAAAUUUUGUCAUAGCUAGCAAAUCUAAAAAUGUGGUUGAUGCUAUGGUAGAGGUUGUGUAUCGAACGGGUAUCAUUUUUGCUUAGUUGUUUACGACGAUUUAACUUCAAUAUCAUGUCUUUUUUAUUAAUAAUCAAGAAGUGCAUUAAGCUUAUAAUGGAAACUUUUAUUUUCAUGAUUAGUUGAAACUUUAAUUAUGAUGAUGAGUUUGUUAGUUGUUAAGUCCUCGUUUGAUUUUUACUUUUUCUUUUUUCGAUGCAAUUUUCAUAUCGUUGAAAUUGAUUUUGAACGAUGAGGACAAUUCAGUACGUGGACUUCAAAAUGACAAUUAGUGACUCACAAUUAGUGACUCUAACUAUUUUCAUAUAAAAUUUUAUUAAAACAUAAAAGACUAAAUUUUAAAUUUUAAAAUUUUAAUAUCGUGUUAUUACACCUAUUUUUGAAGAUACUAAAAAUAUAGUAACUAAAUUCUAAUUUCUGAUUUUUUUUAAUUUAUAAGAAUCAAAUUUAUAAUUUCAGGUAAUUCACUAAUAGACUACUAUUAAUAUAUAAGUGACUUUAAUCGACUAAUAGAAGUUGAUGGAUAUCUAUUUCGACAAAAAUGGUUAUAUUUUGUAGAUGUAUUCCAUAUUUUUACUAUUUACAACACUUCCCCUUUUUAAUUUUACCAAUUUAAAUUGAGGCUAUUUCAAUAUUUCCCACAUUUGUUAGUUUUGCAUUUUAUUUAAAAUAAAACCCAAUAAAAGCAAUAGCUUUUGCGAGAUCCUUAAUCAAUCCUGACCGUUGAGAAAGAAGACGUGGAAGCACCAUAGCCAUGCGCUCUCUCUAUAAAAUGCCAUCGUCGUGCUUUCAUCUCCACAACCAAAAAUCCUCUUCCACAAAAACAGAUAUCGUAUCGCCUUCUUCGUAAUCCUCUUCAUUCAACAUUCGAAACCCUAAAUUUCAUAAAGAUGGCAGCCACUUCUCGAUUGGCCAGGUUUAUCAGCGAAGCUUGCCCACCUCAAUUCGUCUCUGUCAUGAGGCGAAGAAGCCCCAGAGUUUUAGACACCAUUAACGAAGAAGACCAAAGAGAAGCCUUAGUUUCCUCUUCCUCCUUCAAGAUCGACAAAUUCUCUGUUCCUUCACCGCCAUCUCCCGAUUCUUCCGCUGCCGCCAUUAAUUCCAAAUACUUUCUCGAUCAGGUCCCUGUACCCCUGGGGCCUUUCUCCAUUUUCGAGCAUUGAGAAAUGGAUUUUUAGUUUCGAUGAGUACACUCAGAAUCCGUUUCUUUUUUCCUUUUUACCUUUUCUGCGCCCAUCGGGUCGGAUUCAUUCUGGCCGGAAAUGGCGUUGUAGAUAUGAAGUCGACGACGUAGUGGCUGACGCCGGUUAAGAGAUGGGUUUUUUCUUUGGUUUUUUUUUUUCUUUUUUUUUUUUGAUGGGGUUAGUGAAUUUCCGAAUGCGUUUGUAAUGUGUGAGUUUGAUGUUUAUAUAAAAUGAAAAAACUGCGCUGCCCUUCUAAUAAUUAACUUUUCAGCUAAUCCUCAAAAUCAUAAAUAACAAUAAUGAUCAAAUUAAAUUAAGUUUAUUUUUAUUAGGACAUUAACUUAUAAUAUAUAUUAGAAAAAUUGUUUUGAGAAUAUAGCAAAUAUAAUCCACCGUUUUGGAAUUUUGGAGCAAAAUUCACUUAUAAAAUUACUCUUCAAAUUUGUUGUUAUUCUUAAUAACUCAUUUAUCUUCUCAAACUAAUCUUCAAUUUAUUUUUCUUUAUUUUUUUCUCUUUUCCAAUUAUUUAUUUAUUUAUUUAUUCUCUCACUUUUAUUAUUAUUUAUUUAUUCUUAACUUUUUAAGACCUUAAUUAUAAAAAUAAUUUAUUUUUCAUGUCUUAAUGUUGAUUUUAGGUCUUAAUCAUGAUUUUAGAAUAUAGAUAAUACAAUAGAGUCAUUUACCUUCACCUUCAUUUGUGGUUUUUUCCUACUCGAUGUGUAAAAUUUUAUGUACUUAAUUAUAAUAUUAUUAAGUGUAUGAAUAAUAUAACUAAUUUUGUCAUAUUCGCAAUAUGACAAAAUACAACUAUUAGACGGUAAUCAUAAGGUUAGAAAAUGUACUAACAUUUGCCCUAUUAUCAUAUAUAUUUUUUUUUUUGCUAUUUUUGCUUUUUGCUAUUUUUGCAAGAGCCUCCAUUGUUAAUGCAUAUCAGUAAAGUUUGCAAAUGUAUAUAUAUUAGCAAAUGUAUAUAUAUCAUAAUAGUAUAUCAAGUGUAUAAGUAGAACUUCAAGCAUAUCAAAUAUAUUUAAUCAAUCAAAUGUAUAACUGAAGAAUACUAAAUGUAUGCAUCAGGCGUAUCAAACAUAUCAUGUACAUCAAACGUAUCAAAUUUGUUGAAUGUGCCAAUGAAGAAUAACAAGUUUAUUAGCAAUGUAUCAAAUGUAUCAAACUUAUAAAUGAAGUUUUAAGUCUAUCAAACUAAUCAAGUGUAUCAAGGUCUAAGGGGUAUCAAGUGUAUCAAGAAUAAUCAAGUGAAACGAAGAGUAUUAUGUAUAUCAAAGUAUUUCAGUUGUGUAUAAAAAAGUAUCGAGUGUAUUAAGGAGUAUAGGUGAUCAAGUAUAUCCAUCAAAUGUAUCAUGUGUAUCAAGAGGUAUUAGGUGUAUCAAAUGUAUCAGACGUGUACAAUGUGUAUCAAAUGUAUAUUAGUAAUGAAGCAUUUGUGAAAUUUUACAGAUGUGUUGGUUGGACUUUGAUUUUGUCAUUUUCACAAAUAAUAAAAUAUGUGUGUUAUGGAUUUAAUUAUUAUAACUUGUUUUGUCAUUUAUGCAAGUGUCCUUAUAUAUUAUAUAAUAAAAGAUAAUUUAUGUAUUAAUUUCUUACAAAUAUGGAUGAAUGUUAGAAGUUUUUUAAUAAGUAUUUUCCUUUUCUAAAUUAUAUCGAUUCUCAACCUAAGAUUGAUUGGGAUUUGAGAAAUUUUGUAUGAGUCUGAAUAAAAUUGAAACUAUAUUGCAAAAUUUUAUUUUUAUUUCUUUAAUACUUAGUUUAAUUCAUAUUUUGGUGUCUAAACUUUGCUCGUGAUUAUGGCGCAUUGUCAUCCUAGCUUAUACCCCACUUUUCUCAAUUCAUAUGCAUUUUUUAAGGGUUUGACAUAUUUUGUGAUUCGAAGUAAUAAAUAAAAGUUGAGAGUUUGGAAGAGAUCAUGUGAGAGGUUUAAGUUUUGGAGAGAAAUGGAAUAAAGUUUGGAGAGAUUUCAGUUAAAGUAUAUGUUCCGAAAGAGGACAAAAUACAAAGUUUAAGGAUCAAAAUAGGAUUUAAACCAAAAUGUUGUAAUAUUUGUCUGACGUGAAUAGUAAAAAUGAGACACAAAAGAUGAGCAUGAAAAUGAUAUAAACAAGUAUUCCCUAAAAACUUAAAUUAGUUAUAAGAGAAAGGUUGGCAAUCCCGACGUUGGUAUAAAGUAAUUUAAUAAAAAAAAAUACAAAACAUCUUCCAACACCGUUAUACAUAGCGUCGGGAGAAGUUUAUAAUUUUUUAAAAAAUAUAUUUAACUUCUCUCCCAACGCUAUUAUGCAUGGCGUCGGGAAAAGUUUAUAAUUUUUUAAAUAUAUUUAUAUUUAACUUUUUCCGACAUCGUUAUGCAUGACAUCAGAAAUUUUUUAUAUUUUUUAAAAAUAUAUUUAUAUUUAACUUCUCUUGACACCAUGCAUAAUGACGUUGGGAAUGCCCAACAUAUUUUCGACGUGUUUAAUCAUGCGUCGGACAUUCCCCUUUAAAUACCAUUUUCAGAUCUGUGUUAGUCAGAAAUGAGGAAAAGGGAGAUCGAAAAUGAGGGAGACGAAUGAAGGGUUUGAAGGCCAAAAGAGGAAGAAGAAGGUCCACCGCCGCUAGUCGUACACCGCCCGUUGCUUACGAUCGACGCUUGUGAGCUGUCAUCCAUCUCUCGCCAGUUAGUGUUUGUUUUUUUAAUUUUUUUUCUUUGUUUUGGUUUAAAUUUGAGAAAAAAAAUACUAAAUACAUAUGCUUUGUGAUUUUCAAGGCCUUCUCUUGUAUGUUUUUCUCCGUGUCAUCGUCCACUACUGCCCUUCUACCGUCGCCUUCGCCCACCCCUCGCUGGUAAGUCUUUAUUUAUAUAUAUAUAUAUAUGGUUUGAGGUUGAGAAAAAAUAUUAAACAUGUGUGUUACUGUUUUUGGGUUUCCUCUAACUUUUGCUAUUUUUCUAUCCAUUUUCUUUUAAUUUUCCAUUUAUUUUCAAUUCUGGGUUUCUUCUAGGUUGUAGUAUUUUUUUGAAAAAAUAGAGGAUCUCCCGACGCACGAAAUGUAGAGUUGAAAGAUCCUUGACAUCUCCUUAUGCUUAAAUAAGGCAUCGAGAGAUGUCAAAUGUAGCGUCGAGAGAUCCUCUUUCAACUUAUUUUUUUCGAGUUGAAUCCCAACACGAAUUUGGAAUUUGGAACUUUCUAAGAGUCGUUGUUUAAUGCAUUUAUUGUAUUACAUAGAAUUUGGUAGUUCUGCUGUUCUGGGCGUUUAUAUAUAUAAAUAAUAUACUCUUUAGAGGGUGUUGAGUGAUGAAUCCCCUUUUGGCCUUUUGUUCAUAUGAUUUUUUGAGUAAUAACAGUUUGGGAAAGAUAUACUUUCUUUGAGUCGUCACAGUUAAUGCCAAUCAUUGAAAAUUAUGGUAAAAUGAAAGUUAGGUCGCUCGAAAAUGGAGAUGGUAGGAUUAUUGCACUCCAAAUUUCUUAUCAAACAUGGCUUCCAAGACCCAACCCUCUACCUUCUGCUUCUUUCAUCGUUGCAAUUUCUUAAUUAUUUCUUCUUAACAUAACUUCCACCAUUCAAAACUAUACUUUUUUUAAAAAGCUUUCCAAAUAAAAUUUGGAGAAAAUUGUACCAACCUAUGAAUUAUAAUCGCACCAUUAACUUCCAAUUUGCUCCAUUUAUACCGAUUUCAGUUACUAAACCUUUAGAUACGUUAGAACAUUUAUAAAAUAUAACAAACUUUUAAAAUCUUAUAUUUUAAUGUCUACUAUUAAUAUAUUUUAAAUUUAUACUAUACUUUAUAAAUAUUGUGAUUGAUUUUGUUAUAUUUGAAACAUUCUUUUUAGUAACAUGCAUGAAUUUAACUAACAUAACCAUUGAAAAUAUUUACAAAUAUAACAAAAGAUAAAAGUGCUAUUUAUGUUUAUUAGAUAAAUAUAGAUAAUAGUUUCACGGUUUAUCGUAGAUGGAUGAUGAUUUAUUUUGCUAUAUUUGUAAAUGUUAUAUUUUUAUACAAUUAUUUACCAUAAAAUGUGUUUAUAAAUUAAUUAAUACUAUUUUAUAUUCAACCUAAUAUUAAUAUCUAAUUGUUUAAAUCCGAAGUUUUGUUAAUAAGGUUUUGAUAUUAUAUUAUUAUACAAGAAAAAAAGGACAAUUUUGUAACAUAGGAUUCUUUAUUAAUUUAUUUUUCUCUAAUUAUAUUAUUAGUGUGUAGUGUAUUGGAUAAAGUGCCUAAUUAGUUUUUUAAAAAAUCAAUAUAAAAAGUAAUUGAACAAAAGUCUUCCCAUGAUUAGCAGUUAAAUAUUUACUUAAUUAGUGUUGACUUGAAAAAUCUAUGUUGCAAUUCUAAAACAUCCUAUUAUUUUGGUUAUUAUAAUUAAUAUGAAUUAUUUAUGCUUUAAUUGUUCAAUUUGAAGAAUUAUCAAUUAUUUUAUCAAUAAUUCAGUCAUGUUUGCUCCAAUAUCUUUAAACUUCUUAAAAAAUUAAAGUUAAUUGGUGAGCAUGGACAUUAAUUUAUUAAAAUUUGAAUACCAAUAACUUAUAAUAUAACAACUCAUGAUUUAAUAAAAUAUAUAAAGCUACCAUUUCAACCAAAUUAAUAAAUUUAAAUCACUUUUUGUUUUAUAAUAUGAGACAUUUGAGGUAAAAAAAAUACUAAUAAUACAGGGAAGAAUUUCAUUUUUAAGCAUUCAGAGUAUAAGAAAAAGUCAAAUGACUGAGCUUCAAUGUUAUGCACUAUAUCUUACCUCCAAAAUCCAUAAAAAUGAGAGAAAUUGCGUUAGAUGCAAAAUUAUUUUAAAAAAUAGAGCUCGUGUCACCUCAUUUAUGUAUAUAAAAACUAUUUGUGGUUGGAAUACAUUGUUAAUUAUUUGUGUCUCUUCAUGAAAUGAGUGAAUGUAUCAUUUCAUGAAAAGUACUAAUAAUUAAAUUAUAGAAAAAGACAUGACUUUUCGAAUGAUGAUGAAUAAGUCUAUAAAUAAGGUCAUUUUUUAUUUCGUUGAAGAGAAUAUCUUUUAUAUAUAAUCUUUUGUCUUCUUCAAAAAGAAUUUUUCUCCAUUGUCCACAAUCUUGAUGUUCUGUAGAUCCACAAAGUUUCGUUCGUUGAUCUUCUACACAGGGUGCUACUCUUAGAAGAAAUGUGUUAUGUUCUAUCUUGGAAAAUAAUUAGCUCUUAAAACGCAAGCACUGGGAUGAGUAGAUUUGUCUUAAAUAGACAACGUAAAUUUGUUAGGCUCAGAUCUAUGAUACAUAUAUGAUUUUUCGUUUAUUGUGAUGAUAAUAUUGAUAACAAUAUCUUAAGACAAAUUUAGUGCAUGUUAGUUAAAAAAAAUAAUUGGUUAUGUCUUUUUAUAUAUAUAUAUAUAUAUAAAAUAAAGAGGAAUUGAAUGUUUCUUUUUAUAUACCGAUGUUUAUGUACGGUUGAUUUCAAAGGAAACAUAAUGGUUUUAUAGAUUUUCUUCACAGUGGUUUCAUAUAGGUCAACAAAGUUUAAUCACAAUAAUUACAUAACUAAAAUUUCAAAUAUGUAAUUUUAUGUCUUACUCCAAAAGUCACUUCAUACGACUAAGUGGAGGUGUGUCGCCUAGUUGCCUAUCGUGCAUCUCCUAGUGAGAUGUCACGUUGAACGCCUAGUAAGUAAAACAAUUCAUAGACUACAGUUCGUAAACGAUAAAGUAGAACACUUCAUUAAUGAACAACUAUAAGGGUACAUUUGAUCAUUGGUACGCAAGUCCUCCAAAAGAGACGAAUACAGACUCAAGAAUGACUCGACUUUAUUUGCCUAACCUCUACAUGUUAUGUAGAAUAACAGUAGCCAUUACCAAAAUGAUGCGAGUACAACACAUGUAAGGAGAUCAAGGUUGCAAGAUAUUUUAUCACUAAAAAGUAAAUAGAUUUUGUCGCAUUGUCACAAUUAUAGGAAUAGGUGUUUUAGCAAAUGCAAUUUAGUAUUACACAAUUUAUCACUUCGUAUGCCUCUCGCAUACUGAAUGGUCAUUUCGCAAAAUCAUCAUGCGUAUUCAAUUACAUUCUUGUACUCUUUCCUCGGCUCAAGCGUUUCCUCGACGAAGUAAGUAAACUCAACGCAUAUAGUGAGUUCCAUCAAUUCCCUUACGCAUAAUAUGUCUUCCAAUGAUAAAUCACACAGCAAGCAAAAUGCAUCUCAUAUCAGAUCACGUAGUAAGUAUUAAGCAUCCUAUUCAAGAUCACAUGACAUGAAUAUGACAUUUUUUUUCCAAAUCACACAACAAGAAUAAAACAUCUUAUUCCAGAUCACACAACAAGGAUGAGGUAUCAUAUCAUUGUGAGUACAAAUGUCAACUUACUUCAAAACAAAACGUUAAUUAAAUCUCUCUAAUUAAAUCUCUUAUACUUUUAUUUUCAAUUUGCCUACCAACAUGCAUGAAGAAAUUGUUUUUAGUAUUAAAUUUGAUUAAUACAAGACAAAUUGAUUAGACAAAAAUAUUUUAAAUUAAUGUCAUUUUUUAGGACAUUUUAAAUUUAAAAUAUAUUUAAUUUUUUAGCACAACAAAACAAAUCAUGACUAAUCUAUUUGAACCACAAUUUUUUUUAGUUACCAAAACUAAGCUCUUAUUGGUAUUUUUUUUUUUUUGUAGUCUUUUUUGUUAUUAUUACGGAAGAUCUAACUCUAACUUUGAAGUCUAUAGUUAGGUUAGUUUAAGAAGAAACUGUUUUAGAAAUAAAAGAAAAUUUAUUUUAUAAAAUCUAAAAUUUUGGUGUUAACCAUUUAUAUAUAAAGUGUUUAUUCUUUUAUUUAUCAAGUAUAAAAAUUCCAUUCUCUAAAUCUCUCCAUCUCUCUCUUGAGUAUUUCUAUUUUAUCUAUUUAUUCCAUGAUGGUUUUGUUUAUUUAAUGAUAAAGAAAGAUAAUAUAUAAAAAUAUAGGUAUCCUUUUCAAAUCCAAGAUAGGUAAGAUUUAACAAAUAUUUCCUUACAUAAUUUAGGCCAAUAAUGUUUAAUCAUAUUUCAUUUUUCUUUAAUAAAAAAGUUUAUAAAUCUCAUUAUAAAAAAAGAACAAUAAUAAAAAUAAAAAUAGAGUAGUAGAAUGAAGGGGAUUUGACUUUUCUUGUUAAAAAAAAGACCUAACUUUUCAUUACAUAUUUUUCUCAAACCCCUUCCGUCCCUUCCUUUCUCCAUCCAAUUCGAUUCCUUCUUCUUCUGAUUUUACUCAAUUCAUUCAUUCAUCAGUCAAUCACUUUCCUUUUUUUUACAAUACUCUUUUGACGAAAUUUCCCCACUUUGAUUCUCCCCAUUUUUAUCUUCUUUCUUUUUGAUUCUUGGGUUUGUUUCCUGUUACGAAUCCAGCUUCUUUUUCUAUAUGGUCCGUCGAUUCUCCCCGAAUUCAAUGGCUUCUUUCUUUCAUCCGACGGUUUCUAUAAUCAACACUUUCGUUUUCCCUCAUCAUUGAUGAUUUCCGUUUUCUUCCACUAAUCUUUCUUGCCCUUUCCCUGAUUUUGAUUCUUGUACUUGGGGGAGAGAGAGAAUCUUAUUUAAUUUAACAAGGGAAUUUUUCUUUUUUUAAAGGAGAAAUAUGAGGAUGGUGAAGUCUCAGAUAUGGCAACCCUGUAAGAAGAAGAGGUCUUGAUCGGAAGGAUCUAGAAAAAGAUAUAGACAUAGGGUCGGGCAGCGAGAGAGAGAGAGAGAGAAAGGGGUUAUCGGAAAUGGACGGCGGGGGUGUGAGGUUGAAGGCGGCGAGUUCGAGCAAUGGUGGAAGAACCCGCGUGGGAAAAUACGAAUUGGGUAAAACCCUUGGGGAGGGUAACUUUGCCAAGGUUAAGUUUGCUCGGAAUUCAGAGACCGGGGAGAACGUGGCGAUCAAAAUUCUUGAUAAGGAGAAAGUUCUUAAGCAUAAGAUGAUCAGUCAGGUAUUUUACUUUUCAAUUUUCAAUUUUCCUUGAAAGGUAGGUUUCUUUUACUUGUCUGAGCUUUAUUGUUUGUCGAAUCUAAUGUUUGGCUGACGAGAAAAUGGAGGAGGAAGGAGAUAAUAGUGAGUACUGUGCGGUCUCUUCUUUUUGUUUACGAAAGUUUGAAGAAGUCAAAAGUUCGUAUGGGAACUUGUGCUUUUUGUCUUUUUCUGACGGACUGACAAGUUGGGUAAUUGUUUACUGUUUCUCAUUUUGGAUCUUAAAGAAUUUGAAUUAUAACCAAGUAAUGGAUUGAAUAUUGAGCGCGAAGACCAAUUCAUUUGAAAGAACAUGGGUAUGGUGUAAUCUGAGUUUGGACUUUGGACUUGGGACUUCUGUUUAAAUAUCAAAUUACGACCCACGUUUUAUUUGAUUGGAAUUGUAUAGGAUAUCACCUACCUACUUAUUGUGAUUGUUCCAACCAGACGAUCCAUAUAUCACUGUGUGAUUUUACAUAAUGUGCAUUAUUUUUUUCAUAGUUUUGAAUUCUUAAUAUCAAAAAACUUGGAGAAGACGGCUAAAAAAAAGUACCCCCACUUCACUUUUUGGUCAUCUUUAGACAUACUGGAUAUUCAAUAUAAUCACGAGUCCACUACUAUGUUGAAAAUCAAACUACUCCCAUCCUUGUAGACUCUAUAGUAGUAUUUUAGCAUAAUAUUAUAACUGGGGUUUUUCAAUGUAGUUAAAAUCAAUCUUACCUUGGUUGGCUGCCAUUCAUGGAAAUACAUCCAAACUUCCAUACCUGCACAUAAGCUAUCCCAGAAGUGAAAGCAUUUAGUGAGAUGAAAACUUUUGAAUGUCACAACCAUCAUAAAUUUCCCUAGUGUCCAAUAAGGGCUAAUGUCAAUAACAAAGGGUUUAGAGGAAUGGGUUCAAACCAUGAUCUCUGCAUUCACCUACUUACUAUUAGGAAGAAACUGUUACAUUGCCACUGGUGUUGUUCAAUGCAUGCAUGGACUUAUGCUUUUACACGACAUGCUUUCAUUUCAGACUCUUGGAACUGGAAGCCUUCUAGUGGAAGGUUUUUGGACCUUUCUUUAAAAAAAUUGAGUCAUAGGAAUUACAAAUAAGCUCUUGAUUAUUUAUUAUUAUUUUUAUUUAUUCUUCUGUUUGCUUUAUGCAGAUUAAACGUGAGAUAUCAACCAUGAAAUUAAUUAGGCAUCCAAAUGUCAUCCGUAUGAUUGAGGUUAGACUUGCGCCUUGUUGUUUGAACUAUAUUGUUAUUGUUCAUCCACCCUAAUGCUCUCAUUUUAAUUUAUAAGGUUAUUUUACGCUAUGACUGUUACUCCGUGUGCAUUUUUCAUUUGAGAUGACAUCUAGCAGAUCUUUUGUGUAGGUGAUGGCUAGCAAGACCAAAAUAUAUAUUGUGUUGGAGUUUGUCACUGGUGGGGAACUAUUUGACAAGAUUGUAAGAUUGUGAUUGCUUCAGUAUUCGACCUUCUUACAUGUGAACAAUCUUUGGAAUGGCACCUUACUCUUUUUUCCCCUGUUUUCUUGUGUACUAUUUUGGGACCAGGUUAGUAGAGGCAGGAUGAAGGAAGAUGAAACAAGAAAGUAUUUUCAGCAACUUAUUAAUGCUGUGGAUUAUUGUCAUAGCAGAGGUGUUUUUCACAGAGAUCUAAAGGUUUAUUUUUUCAUAAUAUUUAUAAGAACCUCUUAACCAACUCAAGAGAUUGAAAGCAAAAUUUCUUAAAUGAUACUAUUUUCAAAUGUUAACAAAAUUUACAAUCUCAGCCGGAGAAUUUGCUGCUUGAUGCUAAUGGCGUUCUUAAAGUUUCAGAUUUUGGUUUGAGUGCACUGCCUCAGCAAGUUCGGGUGAGUUUGGCAAUGUCAUAUUUAUUAUAUGGUAACUAUAAUUUUGUGAUCUUAUUUGAAGUCCAAAAGAAGAGUCACUAGCACUAAAAAAGCUGCCUUCUACGAUCCAUUCAGCCUUCACUUAACAAAGUGCAACUAUUAGAAAUGUUUACUUUUCAAUUUCUGUACGGACCCAUCUUUCCUUAAUUCAAGGAUCGUAUUGGUAACUGAUUUUCAAUGCUUCAGGAAGAUGGAUUACUGCACACAACAUGUGGGACUCCAAAUUAUGUUGCUCCGGAGGUAUAUUAUAUAAUUAUAUUCUAUUAAAUUUUGGUUCACUUUUAUGUUUGUUUGCAUACAACUAAUCCACUUAAACGUACAUUUUAGGUGAUCAAUAAUAAAGGCUAUGACGGCGCAAAGGCUGACUUGUGGUCAUGUGGUGUAAUUCUUUUUGUUUUGAUGGCUGGUUAUCUACCCUUUGAAGAUUCCAACCUGGUUGCGUUGUACAAGAAGGCAAGUCUCUCUUUCCUGAACCUCUAUGAGCAACGUGAAGAAGAAAGGGAGAAGAAAAAAAAUAAUGCUUGUCACUUAUUUUCAUUAAAACUUUAUACCUUAAUUGUUUUCCCAUUUUGCAAAGGUUGAGUCAGUGCCCAUUGUAGCUCCUAAAAAAGCUUAAAGCCUCUCCUCUUCAUCUGCGUACUUACCUUCUUCAUCUCAAGUGUCCUCAGCUUGUUCCGGUCCAAGAGGUCCUUCCAAAAAGCAUAAAAACUCAAAGAAACCCCGCUUCCAUUUAAGUCGUUUCCGAAGCAUUUUGUUAGAAGGAGGCCUAAGGAUCUCUUAAAAAAGACUCUUGUAAAGACAAAGAUGUUGUCAUCCCAAAUUCCUCAAAAUUCUGAUUUUUAAUGGAAAAAGACACUCAAGGCCAAGCUUCUUCAUCUUCAAUUAGGGCAGAUAUCCUGAAUUAAUAAAAGAGUUCCUUAAGGGCAGGUUUAAUUUUAGAUCAAAACCCCAAUUCUUUGGAGGUUAAUUGUACACGAAUCCAAGCUCCUCUUUCAACCGGAUCAGCCCCUCAAAGAUCCAGCCUUCCACAUUUUAAACAUUAUUUUUUUUCCCUACCUUCCUCAAAGGUAAAAUUUUUUUUAGAGGCUUCCCUUGCCAAUCUCUGUGCCUCCUUCUAAAAAGAAACGUGAUUCAGAUUUUGACUCUCCUUUUAGUGUGAGCAGCGUCGAAGAUGAUCAUUUGGGGAAGCUAAAUGAGUUAGAGGACCUUUCUUUGAAGGACCCCUUAGAAACUGAUCUAAACGACUUGUUUCAGAAUGAAGAAGAUUUGAAUGAUGGAAACCAGACCUUUGGAAACCUCUCUCAACCCAUGCGUUGUGAAAUUCCAGCCCAUUUAAAGUCGAUAGUAGAAAAAUGCAAAUUAUUUUUCAUUUGAGAUCUGAUUUCAGGCACCUUUUGGUCCAAUAAUUAAGUACUUUGUAAGGUUUGAAGGCUGCAGAUAAAGUGUUGGGAUUCAAGUCUCUUGAACACUCAAUUCAGAACUUCUAAUUGAUGCUGUUAAUUGAUGAAGUUUUUUCAUAUUCAAGAAAGAGCAAAACUUUCUAAUUGAUGCUGUUAGCUUAAAGUUUUUAGCUUUUUGGAUGUUUUUGUCUUCAUCAUCAUGAGGGCAAAGAUCUCUGGAACAAUUUACUUGGGUUGGAUAGUUUUGAAGCAAUCAAUUGCCUCUUCUUGGUUUUCCCUUCUCCUUUCAAUUGCAUGUGGAAUUCAAAAUUUUGGUCUGAAGUGGGUGCUCUUCAUCAACGUGUUUAUGUUUUCUUUGUAUUAAGCUCUUUACUAAUGUCUUAACUCUUUGUUGCUUUGGUUCUUUGGUUGUUUCUUCUUUGUGAUUGUUUGUUGGUCGUUUUCCCUUUUGUUUUUCCCAGGUUCAUCUUUUUCUUAGUUUGUUUGGUAUAUUACUCUUGUACUUUGAGCAUUAGUCUAAUUUCUUAUUAAUAAAGUGGUUUGUCUCCGUUUCAAAAAAAAAAAAAGAAAACAAGAAUAUAAAUGCUUACUCAAGUACUUUUAGGAUUCACCCAAACUACUUUUACCUAUCUGUUUUGUCCUUAGUCAGUUAGUCACCCUAAUUUGAUGAAUGCUUAGUAUGGGAUUGUUGGUAAAUAUGCUUUUGCUAAAAUGACCUAUAAUAGGUAGAAAAUUAGAGUUCAGUAAAUUUCAGGUUUAAACCUCAACAAGUUGUUUACUAUGGAUUAGAGUCUUAUAACUGGACAACUGCUCUUUUACUCUCAUAAUCCUGCACUCGUCCGUUAUUGGUUAAGUGUUUAUCCGGGAUAAACAAUUGCUUUGAUAACUACAUUGACUAUUUCCUUAUCUAGGUAUUGAUCCAUCUAUAUAUUUAUAUAUAUGCAUGUGUGUAUAUGACUGAUCUUUUUACUUUUAAUUGCCUUUUGUUCUGAUUCUCAGUACUUGAGUAGUAUUCUUUUUUAGAUAACUAUGACGUGAAACAAUUCAAGUUUAUAGUGUUCCCCAACUAUAUGUUGAGUUUCUCAAUUGUACGUUCUUCAAUGGUUCAAUGUUAAGUUUUACGUUCAUUCUAUCAUCAGAUACACAAGGCUGACUUCACUUGUCCACCAUGGUUCUCUACUAACGCAAAGAAACUUAUCAAAAGAAUUCUGGAUCCCAAUCCCUCAACGGUGUGUUCUUGGUCCUUUCUCAAUCUGGUUAGAGUGCUUUUUGUUUUUAUCAGCCUGGGUUUUUUUUUCAAAGGUGAAAAGACUCCAAAACCAUUCUAGUUAAUUACGACAGAGAAUUUCUAAGAAGCAUAGAUAUGGGCAUGAGACAAAUAUAAUGAUACUGACUGAGCAAGGACACAUUUAUUAAAAAUUGGAAUAUAAAUUUGAUUUUGAUCAUAUAUAAAUUAUUUUUACACAAUAAUAAAAUUUAAGUCCAUUAGUUCAUGUAUUUUUGUACUUUAAAAAUUAGUUUAAUAUCUGUAUCUAUGUAUUAUACGUACGUAAUAAGUGUUUGACCCAUUUUCACUUUGUACAACUAGUGGUUGACACACUACUAUAUUAUGCCUACAAGUGUCUAAUACGUGUCCCAACAACAAUUUUUGGAGUGUCUGACAUGUAUUAAAAUUUAGACAUAUUAGUCCAAACUUAAGCAUUCGUACUUCUGAGAUGAAUUUGGAGGAGUAGCAAAUAUAAUAUGGAUGUGAAUCAACUGAUCAACUGAGCAAGUGUAAGAAUUGUAUUCCAGUAUACAUUUUUGUCGUGAACCCUUCAGCUUUGAUUAGAAAUAAUAUUAAUUUACUAAUAAAUUGGAGUAAGCAUGAGACUUUUAUUCCAAUUUACCUGCUUGUUGUCUUUCAGCUUUGAAUUUGUAUUGAAAUUGGCCAUAUUGAUGAUGUUCUUAUGUAUGUUGAGAAUGAGAAUGUGUUUCACUAGAGCUGAUUAUUAUUUAAUAACGAACCUAGUCUCAUUAAUUAGCAUUUGAUAUACCAGCUUGAUUUUUGCAACAGAGAAUUACUAUUCCAGAGGUAAUUGAGAAUGAAUGGUUUAGAAAAGGUUACAAGCCGCCUACUUUUGAACAAGCUGAUAUAAGUCUUGAUGAUGUGGACGCUAUCUUCAACGAAACAGGGGUAAGCAAAGUACAUUUGGGUAUUUCUAAUCCAACAUUUAAGCAUGAUCUUCACAAGACCCUUGGCAUUCAGGAUUCGGGUAGUCUUGUUGUGGAAAGGAAAGAGGAAGGAUCUAAAUCCCCUCUUACGAUGAACGCAUUUGAGCUUAUAUCUAAAUCUCAAGGACUCAACCUCAGUUCUCUUUUUGAGAAACAAAUGGUAUGUUUCACUCUAGUACUUCAUUGUGGCAUUUCUUAAAUGAGAUCAAAUUAAUUGUAUCUCUUCAAUGGCUUAGUUUUUGCUUCUAGCAAUAAAAGUUUGUUAAAUUGCAAUAUAUUAGUCGAGCUAUCCAUAGCCUACCAACUCUUUGGAUUUCUUCACAAACAUAAGUUGAUGAAAAUUGUGGUAACAGGGAAUUGUUAAACGGGAAACAAGGUUCACAUCCAAUCGACCUGCGAAAGAGAUCCUUUCAAAAAUUGAGGAAACUGCAUUGCCUUUGGGUUUUGAUGUGAAGAAAAACAACUACAAGGUAAGUACUGUUCCUUUUGAAGUUGAUGAUGAUAAAUUUGGGGAAAGAAUGCAAGUUGUGUAGAAUUGUCUCCUGAGUCUAUAUCAUAAUCUGGUGCAUUUCUUGUAGAUGAAACUUCAAGGUGAAAAAACAGGUCGUAAAGGCCAUUUAUCAGUGGCAACAGAGGUGCUUUACUUCUUACUUUUUUUUUUAAUAUUCUAGAAGUGUCUAUUUUAUGCCAAUUAGUUGAUCCAUGAUGGUAUUAUUUUCAGAUUUAUGAGGUUGCUCCAUCACUGUACAUGGUUGAGCUCCGCAAGGCUGGAGGAGAUACAUUAGAAUUUCACAAGGUAGUAUCAUCAUUAAUGUACUUGUGGUAUCUAAGGACUAAAACAUCUGUCUAUCAGUAUCUAUUACUGCCUAUCUUUGACAGAAUUGGAAGUUUUGUUAUAUUUUGGUUCAUUUUGCUAUAUUUUGGUUCAUUUUGCUAUAUUUGAAAUGCCCUUUUUUAGUACCCCGAUACUUUGAAGUCUGUAGAAGGAAACUGUUUAACUGGCUUGAGUGCAUCGGAAUUAGAUUCCAAAUCAUGUUGGUUUUCUUGCUUGCGUAAUGCUAUUGUUUUUAACUUUCAAAUGUAAUAUGCCAUUAUUUUUCAGUUUUAUAAGAGUCUCAAGACUGGGCUGAAAGAUAUUGUCUGGAGACAUGAAGAGGAUCUGGAUGGAGAUACUGGUUCGUAAUUUGCUCAUAAACGAUUCUUUGGUGCUUUUUCUUUUGCUCUUCUAGCUUUCUCUCUUAGGGUAUUGCAAAUGGAAAGAUAACCAGGAUCAGUGCCCAAUACACACACGCACAUCAGCCACUUGGGAGUAAAUACAAAACCAAAGACAAAAGUGAAAAUACCUUCCAAUGAGUUCCCCCCCUCAAAUCAUCCUCUAAUUUCUCUCUUUCUAAAUGAUCCACUAGAUAAUAAAACUCCCCUCUACAAAGCUUCCUUCUUCACCUUGCAGCUAUUAUUAGGAGGUGCAAAAAAAAAAAAAAACUUAGCUCAACUAGCACAAGUGUGUGUUGAAGACAAAGAGGAUUUAUACUAAAAGAAUAAUUCACUUGAUAGUGUGAGGGAGUUGAUGCAUACUAACAGCAGCACCCUGCUGUUGGGGCUUGUUUUUAAGUUUUGUAACAUAUUAAUGGUUUUGGUUGUGCUCGAAGAAAAGGAAAAUAAAAAAAUAAAACAUCUCUCUCUCUCUAUUGCAGGUGCUAGUGUCUCACAGUCGUCAAGGUAAUUGUUUUCUUCUCUAGAAGUUGUUUUAUAUUGGUUGAAGUUUGAGAGAGUGAUAAUACAGUCAACUUCUUGUACCUUGAUUUUAAACUCAAAUGGUAUUUUGCUGUCAUUUGAUUGAACCACGAACUUCUUUUGUUACUGACAGCAGCAUAUUCGAGUCUGUAUUGUGGUUUCGUCCAUUACGUCAUAAAUAACUAAAAUAUUGUUUCUAUACGUGAAUAUUGUCAUUGCAAAAUAAUAAUUUUAUCUUUUAUACAUUACUUAUUCACUAUACCACCUCUAAAUAUCCGAAAUUUGAGCUUGUGAAGUGGAUUUCUUAAUGAUGGGAGUUUGGAUUAACUUUUAAAGUAGUUUUGAGUUAAGGUUCGCUUGAACAUUGGUUGAGUUCGAUCAAACUUGAGUACAAAUUACAUUCUCAGUUUGUUUUUCUUCACUUCUAAAACUUACUUACAUGAAACUACUGGAGUAAGAAGAAACGAAAGAAUCUGAGGCAACUGCUACUUGUAUGUCUGAAGCAAAGUAAGGAUGAACAUGUAAUUAAUGGAGCAAAAAUUACAAGAUGAUAAUGAAUUCAUACAAAGGAAAGUUGUACUCUUUAACGAUGUGGUUGAAAAGAUGUUGUACUGCAUUGGAUGCUGGUAAUGCAGAAAAGAAAAGAAACAAAAGAAUUGAGCUGUUGUCUGGGGAGGGAUUUCCCUGCAAUUAAGCUAAUUAGGUGUUAACUAAUUUCCAGAAGUGUAGGCCUUAAUCCUCAUAUCAGAAGUUUAUUUUGUGUGAGAUGUACUGUCUUUUUGUCUAUCAUUUGAUGGUGACAGUUUGUUUUGAUAACUGGGAGUUGGAGUUUUGAUCUCCGAGCACCUGUGUCUGCCCCGAAGGCUCGGGCCCUAAACUCUCUUGUGUUCACAGUUUGAAAAUAACAAUUUCAAAAUUCACGUCUUUCUCAAAUUGGAAAGUAUCUCAUAUUCUCCUGGUUUGCUCCUUAGAGUCUUGAAGUUUUCCUCGUAGUGGUUUGGUGAAUAUAUCAAAUACUUGUUACAGCACAAACUUGGUACCUAUACGGCCACAAACGACUUUUUCUUUGAUAUAUAUCUAUAUGACAUUGGCAUUAGCGCAUAAAUGUGGAUGUUUUAGCAUUUGAGAGGGAAAUUGAAAGAAGGUAUCGAGAGAGUAUGGAUCCCUUAGAUCGUAAUCUGUAAUCUAGGUGAGGUCUGCCAUAAUCUUGUAUUAAGCUUUAGUGAUCGAUGGUUGCUAUUAUGGUUUGUUUCUUGGAACUCUUAUGUUAUGCAAUUUGCUGGAUGUGAAUGUAUGAUCCUGGUGUGCUUCUUCUAGACAUAAAUCAAGUUUUCUUUUCUGAAAAAUAAAAAUUAGGCAUACAAAGACUCAGUGGGGGCACUUUAUAGACAUCAUUUGUUCAUACAAUUAAACAUUUCAAGGAAUUGACACAGUCGAUAGAGUUGGUUGACAGCAAACAAUGGUUACGUCAACAAAAUUCAUUUGAGGGUUCGGGUUUCUUUAAAAAUAUAGCAAACAAUGGUUACGUCAACAAAAUUCAUUUGAGGGUUCGGGUUUCUUUAAAAAUAUGGGGGAGGGGAGUUUUGUCUAAACCCUUCCAUCUUUAUUGACAAUCCACUCUCAUUGUUAUCCAUCUCCAACAAGUGCCCCGACUGACUCCGACAGUUGAAAUCAACUAUCGACUCACUGCUCGUAGGCAACCAUAGUUUUCAUCCAAUGUGAAUGAUGCAUCAUUGGUUGACAUGGGAAACAAGAUCAUGGGAAACAAAACAAAUGUAGAAUGAAUUGAAUAAAUGUUACAUGAAUAAAACACCAUCAGAGGCUAUACAAACAAAUCUCUACACAAAACUCAUGGAUAUAAUGGCAAUGUGAAACCUUCUAAGAUCCAACCGUUAAGUCAAGUUUUCUUGGAGUUUAUUUUGAAGUUUAUAUUAUUUGUAUUAUGUACUACGUAUGUUAUAUGAACGUAUGACAUAAUAUAUUACGGAGUUUAUUUCUUAAUUUCGCUUUCAUUUUCAAAUAUGUACUAGUUUGUUUUAAGUAAUUUGACGACGCCAUCUAUUUUUGGUUUAUACUCUAAUUUAUCACGUGUUAGCAAACUUAAGAUCACUAUUAUAUAAUAUGAGUAAAAACAAAAUGUAAAUGCGUGUAUGAUAAAGUGUGUUGAAUAUAUAUUCUAAUAUGAGAUAUAUAUUAGGUAAGAUAGCCUAAAAUUUGAACUUGUUAUAAUUAUAUUUGAUACAGACCUUGUUUAUGUUUGAUAUAAUCACACACACAUAUAUUUGAAAAUAAGCUUCAUAUAUAUCUUGAUGGUCACAGAAUGCAUAUGAAAAAUGGAGCCCUUUGUGAUGGAGAUUGUGAAAAAAGGGAACGAAGAAAUUCUCACAAAAUACAAAUGUUAAUACUCGGGGAUUGUAAUUAUUAUUAAAAAGUUUUGAAUGAAAGAUUAAAUUUAGGGAAUUAACCUAUUAUAUAAUUGCUGUUUAAAAUAAAUAAAUAAAUAUAUAUGUCUAAAUAAGAAAACCAAUGUUAGAAAUGUUUAGGAAAUUAGCCUAUUAUAUAAUUAAUAUUUGAAAAUUUGUCAAAAAAAUUAAAGAAAAACAAUAUUUUGAAUGAUUUUAUUUUUUUCAAAAAGCCCUUUAAUAUUUUAUAAAUAUUUUAAAAAUUAGUAAUAUUUCGUAACUAUGUUUUUUAAUUUCUUAAUAUUUUGAAAUAAAAAUGUUCAAAUAUAGCAAAAUAUUGAAAAUAGAAAAACAAUCCAAAAUUGUAUGUGAAUUAUUAAAUUUUUUUUUCUUAUAUUUUUUGUAAAUAGUUUUAAUUAUUUUCAUGGUUAUGUAUGAUCAAAUUGUAUAUCUUUUAUGAAUUUAGUUUUUAAAUAUCAUCAACUUUAUCAUCUCUCAUCACUAAUUUUCAAAAUAUUUAAUACUUUCCUUACUAAUAUCAUUUUCUUAAUAUUUUACUUUGUUUUUGUUAAUUAGUAAUUUUGAUGGAUUUUCAUUUAAUUAUAUGGAUAUUUGAAGUUGAUAAAUUUUUUUCAAGGUUUUGUUUAUUUUCUUAAAUAUUUCUUAGUCGAAAAUGGAUCACUUUUAGUUGAGAUAUUAAGUAUAAUAGAAAAAUGUAAAAUAUAUAUAGUAGAUAUACGUGGUCUUAGUUCACUUUUGAUGUGUUUACAAAUUUAUAGAAAAAAUGUAAAUAUUUAACGCAUAUAUUGUUAUACGUUGUUUUCUGUCUUGUCUAUUAUUACUUUUAUUUAUAAGUACAAUAACUUCUAGUUUUUGGGGAUUUUUUUUAAAAAUAAUGUAAAAUUUGAAACAUAUUUCAAAAAUAGGGUAGUUGCAAAACUAUUUUCAAAAAUAGGUGUUUUGAGGUGAAGUCGUGGACGGGGUACACGACUUCCAUGCAGUGGCCCCCACAUACUUUAUUUUUCCUUAUUUUUAUAUUUAUAUUACACUGGGCCCCACAUUUUUUAAUUUUCUCAUUAUUUAUAUACGUGGGUCCCACACACUUCACUUUUUCUUUAUAUACAUACUCACAUAUAAUAUAAUAUAUAUAUUAUACAUUUAAAUUCUAAAAAUAUCUUUCUUUAUUAAAUUAAUUUAUUUUUAUUUUUUUCUUUAUAUAUAUUUAAAUAUCACACUCUUCAAUCUUCAAUUUUUCUUAUUAAAUUCAUUUUUCUAAUUUAAUUUAAUUCUUUCUUAAUCAAAAUUAUACAUAUAUUUUUUUUCCAAUUUUCAAUUUUUUUAAAAAAAUCUCAUAUAUUAACAAAACAUGUUAUUAAAAAUAUAUUAAACAAAUUAAAAGAGUAAUAAUAAUAAUUGAGAUAAGUUAAAAUUACUAAAAAAAAAUAAUAAUAAUAACACUUGAAGCCACAAACAUUGAUAAUUGAAUAAAAAGAAAUUCAUGUUUAUGGUAAAAGGAAAAAAACAAGAAUUAGUUCGAUUACAAAUUAAAUUUAAAAACUUAAUGGAUAAUUUUGAAUUGCAAAUUUAUUGUUAUUAUUAUUUUUAGAGUACGUUUCAACUUCUUUCAAUUACUAUUAUUAUUUUUAUUUGUUUAAUGUAUUUUUUAAUAACAUAUUUGGUUAAUAUAUGUGUUUUUUUAAACAGAAAAUUAGAAAAAAGAUAUAUAUAAUUUUGGUUAAGAAAUAAUUAAAUUAAAUUAGAAAAGAUGAAUUAAUAAGAAAAUUUGAAGAUUGAGAUAUUAAAUAAAUAAAUAAAUAUAUAUAUAUAUAUAUAAAUUAUUAUUAUUAUUACUCUUUUAAUUUGUUUAAUAUAUUUUUAAUAACAUGUUUUGUUAAUAUAUGAGAUUUUUUUUAAAAAAAUUGAAAAUUGGAAAAAAAAUAUAUGUAUAAUUUUGAUUAAGAAAGAAUUAAAUUAAAUUAGAAAAAUGAAUUUAAUAAGAAAAAUUGAAGAUUGAAGAUUGUGAUAUUUAAAUAUAUAUAAAGAAAAAAAUAAAAAAAUAAAUUAAUUUAAUAAAGAAAGAUAUUUUUAGAAUUUGAAUGUAUAAUAUAUAUAUUAUAUUAUAUGUGAGUAUGUAUAUAUAAAUAAUGAGAAAAAAUGAAGUGUGUGGGACCCACGUAUAUAAAUAAUGAGAAAAUUAAAAAAUGUGGGGCCUAGUGUAGUAUAAAUAUAAAAAUAAGGAAAAAAUAGAGUAUGUGGGGGCCACUGCAUGGAAGUCGUGUACCCCGUCCACGACUUCACCUCAAAACACCUAUUUUUGAAAAUAGUUUUGCAACUACCCUAUUUUUGAAAUAUGUUUCAAAUUUUACAUUAUUUUUAAAAAAAAUCCAGUUUUUGGAGACAUUUUCUUUAUUUUUGUAGUUUUUGAAAAAAAACUAGUUUGAUAAGUUCAUAACCAUGAUAAGCUUCCUUUUCAUGCUUCUUUUGGUAUUAAUGAUUUUUGUAUACUAGUGUAUGUUGUAUCUAUUGAGAUCUAAUCAAUUUGCUGGUGUAUUCAGUCUCUAUAUAUCAUUUCUCUCACUAAGUGAAAUUUAUAUUAUGUGAUAGUGACCUACAAUAAACAUUUGGAUCAUGACCCGUUCAAGUAAGUGCCACAUUACCAUGUCCUAACUUUCAUUUGAAGAAUUUAUACUCUAAGAAAGUUUUGCAACAUUCAUUAAGUGUCAAAUGAAAUGAUAUAACUUUUAUAAACAACAAAAGCGAAAUUAACUUAAUAUUAAUUGAUACAAUGAUUUUUUUUCACGAUCUUUUAUAUUUGGAACAACUAUAGUUUGAAUUUUUUUAAAUAGACAUUUUAUAUAUGUGCGGUAUACGAUUUUGAACCAAGUUACAAUUUGAAAAAAAAUAAAAGAAAAAUAUAAGAAGAAGAGAAAGAAAAGAAAGACGAUGAAAAGGGAGGACAAAUUUGAAAUAUUUAAAAAAAUGACAAGUUUUAUGGACUUUUUCAUUUUGUUACACAAUUCGUAAAUAUUUUGCUGGUUUGUUAUAUUUAUGAAAAUUAACCUAAAUAUUUUGUUAUUUUUUAAUAAGUAAAUUUGUGUACUAUUUAUAUUAUAUUUAUAUUAGUGCCAUUUUGAUAUUUAUUUCUCAUGAUUUGUAGAUUUUUUUACGAUCAAAUAAAAAUAUUCAUUCACCCCUUCUAUCGAUAUGAAAUCCAUGUAAACGUGAAAAUAUCAAUAGAAAUAACGAUACAAUGAUGUAAAUUUGAAUUGUGGUUUUAACUUAAAAUUUUGGUUUUUAUUUUGGGUGCUAAGAAAUUUGAUGUAAAAAUUAGAUUAAUCAAUUUUUUUUUUAAUUUUCUUUUAAGUUUAAAGGUAUUUAGGAAACUUUUAAACAAUUUAUGAUAUUUUUGAAGUAUUUUAACUGUGGUUUUAACUUAAAACUUUUAACUAUUGGUUCAAUAUGAAAAAGUCAACCCAACUAAAUUUUUUUGAGUUGGAUCGAGUUUGGUUAGUAGGUUGUUUUUCUUUUCUUUUAAUCUCUUCAUAAUUUAGCAAGUGAACAAAUUAUCAAGGUGUAAAAUGACAUAAAUAUAUAUAUAAUUGAGUUGAGCUGGAUCAACCUAACUCCUUACUUGCACAACCGAGUCAAAUUAUUUUUUCUUCAAUUUUAUAUCUCAAACUAACCUAAUUCAACACAAACGGGAUAAUCUCGACUUGUUAGGUUAUGGAUUUUUUUUUUUUUAACAAAGCUUACCAUAAAGUUGAGUAGUAUUUUUUUAAAAAAAAUAUUUAGAAAAAAAAAGAAGUUUUGUAGUAGAAUAGGAUAAAAUAGAAGUGAUAGAAAUUGCACAUAUAAUAAAAUUCACGUGAAAAUUGUAAGUUUAAAUAAGAGGGAAAAGGGGUUUUUAAGUUACGAAAAUGGCACUAAGUAUCACUUAACGCCUCACCAAUUGGAUUAUAAAAGCAAUGAUUUAAAGCGAAGUUUCGUUUUUAUUUAUUUAUUUUUGUUUCUUCAGCCGUUUUGUUCCUCAAAAAUCCCAAAACAACACCAAAUCAAUUCGUAGGAAUGAGGGAAGAGGUAAUCAGCUCAGCUGGAACUGUUGAUCCAACUCCGGCAGCCAGGUACUCUUCCGCUUCUUCUUCUUCUUCUUCUUCUUCUUCUUCUUCUUUCUCUUCACUUUCUACUCUUCUCCUUUUCAUCAUUUCUUCUUCUUCUUCUUCUUCGACUCUCUCUUCUUUGGUCAACCUAGGGUUUUACAAUUUUUCUUCUUUUCCCCUGAUUUGAGGUCUCAAAUUCUUCAACUUACUCUUCAUUCUCCCACACCUACAUGGAUUCCAUAUUUCUUUUUGGGAACACGGGAAUGGAGGGUUGAAUUUACGGUUUUCAGGCGGGUUAAUUUACCGAAUAGGUUAUGCGGCAGAGGAUCUACUGUGUUUUGCUCCUAAUGUGAGGUGUUUGCGAAAGGGUUAUAUGGGUUUCUUUUCUUACAUGAUUAGCAGCAGCUUGGAAUUUUUAGCUUCUCUCUCUCUCUCUAUAUAUAUAUAUAUAUUCUUCUGGAGUUGUAUUUGAUGUUGAGUUAUAAUUCAACAAAAUUCGAGGUGUAUACCUGAUAAAUUAUCUCAAUGGAUAAUGAUCGAAUGGUUAGAAUUGUAAGAUAAAGCUUGAUAAUUUGAAUUCACAUUUGUCUUCUUAAGUUCUUGUUGCUCUAUGAUUCUUAUCAGUUCUGCUGGAGCCUCAUCACCUGCUGUUCCAACAAACAUUGGAAGUGUUGAUGGGUCAAUUCGUGGGCUUGGUUCAAAAGCUGCGUCUUUAUCUUAUGUUGGUUCACAACCACCUCAGCCUUCCUUGAGCACUGGUGUUGGUGGUUCUGCUUUUGGCAUGUCGAGAUACUCUUGUAGACCAUGGGAAAGGGGAGAUUUGUUAAGGCGUUUGGCUACCUUUAAGCCUGGAAAUUGGUUUGGAAAACCUAAGGUUAUAAUGUUUAUGAUUAUUUAUAAAUCCUGCAGUGCAUGUGUGAAAAUUUGCAUGUAUUUUAAUAACUACUGUACGUAUUGGUCCCUUUGUACAUAACUCAGUUUUAUAAUUUUCAACUCGUAAUUUUAACUUGGGUUCAAUAUAGAAAUUCUGUCCUAGAACUAGCUUGGUUAGAGGAUCAAACUUUUUGUUACUUCUCGCUUAAACAGGAAACUGUUUGUUCUCUUGGUUUUUGGUACCGUUUACGUAAAAUCUGAACUUCAAAGGAAAAUAAGUUAUUUAUUCAUUUUUCACAGAAAACAGACCAUCGACGUGUUUUUAUUAUUUAUUUGGUGCGUGUCUUUGUCUCUUAUUAAAUUAGUGUCCUUUUGACCCACAUUGUUCAUUCACAUCUAUAUUUUUGUUUGUUGUGUUGUCUAAAGAGAGGAGACUAAGAUACCUCCAGUUUUCUGUAAUUUGGCAGGAAUAUUGAGCAGAUUUUAGUAUUUCUUUGCUGCCUUAUUCUUGGAAGUAUUGACAAUUAAUAUAAUUCUUUUCAUGUAUUAGUCCAAUCCUGGUCACUUCUUUCACUUGUUACUUCAUACGUAGUCGAUCUCUUAAUCUCGAACUCAAAUUUAAAUUAAGGAAACAUCUAUGGCUGUAGUUGGUUUAUAGGUGAAAGUGGAACUAAUGUAAAGCAAUGUUAUAGGUUGUCAAUUUUGUAAAAAAUAAGAAUAGUUUUUUUUAAAUUGAUUAAAACUUUGGGAAUCAUAAGGCUUUCACAUCUCAUUUCAUUUUCGUACAACUCUAUUUUUAUCUCUUAACCACUCAAAGUAAUAAUGAAAUAGAUUGUAGUGGUAAUGAAUUUUGAAACUUAGGAAUAUUAUUCUUUCUUGAUAUUUUGCAGGUAGUCAAUUCACUUGCAUGUGCACAGAGAGGUUGGAUGAAUGUUGAUGUUGAUAAAAUCGAAUGUGAAUCUUGUGGUGCCAGUUUGAGCUUUGAAUUGCUACAGUCGUGGACUUCUGCAGAAGGUAAGAUUCAUUAAUGGAGAGCCAUUAUUGAAAUAUAUAGUGUUAUCAUAUCUAUAGGUGCCCACCCACCCACACACGCACACAAACACAAAAGAAAAAAGUAUUUCAAAUGCCUGGAUGAACCUGUAGACAUAUACUGAGGUUAAUUGAUAGUUGAUAGUUCACUAAUUAACUUGUGAAUUCUGACUGCUGAUAACAAUGACCCUUGGUUCUCUUCCUUUUUGGGUGUUAAUAAAGUUCAACUUGCCGAGUUUACAAAGCAGCUGGAUUCUGGGCACAAAGUUUCUUGUCCUUGGAGAGGAAAUAGCUGCCCUGAAAGUUUGGUGCAGUUCCCUCCAACACCUCAGUCUGCUUUAGUUGGAGGAUUUAAGGAUCGAUGUGAUGGGCUUCUGCAGUUUCAAUCUUUGCCUUCUAUUGCUGCUUCUGCAAUUGAACAAAUGCGUAUUUUUCGGGGUGCACAGCUUGAUCGUCUAUUGGCACAAUCCCCAAAUUUCACCAUGGGCGAAAUAAAUGUAAAGCCAGAGGGUACACGUGAGCUUCUUGACAGCUCUCAAGAUGGAGCAUUCUAUUUGUAUUCUCAAGUAGGCCUCUUUAUUUAUAAUUAAUUUUUGGUCAAUAUUCUAAAUCCUAUUUAUUCUUCAGCUGAUAAUUUAUCAUUUGUAAUUAUGUUUAUUUUUUUCAUUUUCCAGGCACAGAAAAUUAUUAGCCUUUGUGGAUGGGAACCGAGGUGGCAUUUGGAUGUUCAAGACUGUGAAGAGCAUUCUGCACAAUCAGCUCGAAAUGGAUGUUCUUUUGCUCCAACAGAGGCUCAGUUGCAUCUUUCGCAUGAUGCUGCUCGAAGUAAGAAAGCACUCUCUACUUCCAUAAAAAAGGACACUGGAAAGGGUAAAUUGGUGGUUAAGGACUCUAGAAAUGAAUUUAGAUCACCUAUACUAGAUUGUAGCAUAUGUGGUGCUACUGUUAGGAUAUUGGACUUCUUAACAAUUUCUCGACCUGCCAAUUUUGCGCCCAACAACAUUGACAUUCCUUCCACAAGUAAGAAAAUGGGACUGACACGUGGAGUAAGUGCAGCAAGUGGAAUCAAUGGAUGGGUGACUGCUGAUGAUGCUGAUAAAGAACGUAUUGAAGACCGUGAUGAAGUAGCAACAACGAACGAGGCAACCUUACUGCCAAACACGGAUGUUGAUUUGAAUCUGACAAUGGCAGGGGGCUUAAAUGUUUCCCAAUCCGAAAAGAAUACAACCACUGAACAUAUUCCCAAUGGGGAUCUGGGAAGGGAUCUAAUGAUUGGGCAACCUUCAGGCAGUGAGGUUGGUGAUCGUGCUGCAUCAUAUGAAUCAAGAGGUCCGAGCUCCCGCAAACGCAGUUUGGAUAAAGAUGGGAGUUCAAAUGACAGGGCACUAGUGAGGAUGCAUCAAGCCGAUAGUGUUGAAGGAACUGUUAUAGAUGAUGAAGUAACAGAUGAUAGACAAUAUUCAGCCGGACCUUCAAAACGUACUCGUGAUUCCGAAUUUUUUGAUACCUUCUGCUCAUAUCAAAGAGAUUCAGCCGGUGCUGGUCCAAGUCAUUCCAUGGGUUUAGACCUGUCAAUGGAUGGGGAAAAAUUUAAUUCAUUUCAGCAAGGAGGUGAUCAAUAUACUGGAAUUCAAUCAGCUAGGGAUUCAACCCGUGCGUCAUCUGUUAUUGCAAUGGACACAGUGUGCCAUACUGCUGAUGAGGAUUCUAUGGAAAGUGUUGAAAAUUAUCCUGGUGAUGUUGAUGAUGUUCAUUUUCCAUCUUCCAGUACACAUGGGAAUUUAGACAAUAAUGAAACGUCAGAACUGAUUUAUAGCAAUCAAGCUCAGCAGAGCAUUUUUCUUCGACCGGCAUCUGAGGUUCCCGGUGAAAUGGGUGUCAGUAGUACAAAUGAUGGUGAAGAAAUAUUCAAUGCUGAUACUGUUACUACUCAGGCAAGGGAUGUGUUUAGUUUUGGAAUAAGUGGUGGAAGCGUUGGGAUGUGUGCUAGCCAUGAGGCUGAAAUUCAUGGGGCUGAUGCAUCGGUUCAUAGGACAGAUAGUGUUGUUGGUGAUGUUGAACCCAGAAUAGAGGACGCAGAGAAUCAGGGACAAACUGGUGAAUCUGCCCCUGAUCCUGGAUUAAUGGACGACAUCAUCAGGGAAGAUCCUCAUGGUGAUAGCCAAGAGAUGUUUUCUCGGCCGGUAGAAAGAGCUGAUAGUGGAUCAAAAAUUGAUGGUUCUGCUAAAGAUGAUUCUGUUGAAAGCGGUGGAAAGACAAGUCAAAGUUGCAAGACAGUCCUAGUGAAUAGCAGUCACAAUGCUGAUGCACGACCUACUCAUGGACAAAAUAAGAUUGAGGAUCCAAAUUUGGGUAUAUUUUUAGAAUUCAGCAUAAUAGAAUCCGGUCUCUUAAAAUCUGGCUUAGCAAAUUGACUUUAUGAAACGUGUUAUUCCAAUUUUCUUCUCUUAGUGAUGUGGAACUGUCUUUUUCAGUGCCGCAAAAAGGGGAAAGCAAUUAUGAAAUAGAGUUUGAUCCGAUAGUACAUCACAAUCAAUUUUGCCCAUGGGUAAAUGGAAAUGUUGCUGCUGCUGGCAGUACAAGUAGUAGCUCCAAUGCAGAUGCAGUUGCUCUUAGUGGCUGGCAGCUGACGUUAGAUGCACUUGAUGCUUUGCAAUCCCUUGGGCGUACGGGAGUUCAGACGUUGCAAUCUGAGUCAGCAGCAUCUCUUUACAAGGUUGGUUUCUUUUUAUUAUAUAUUUAGUAUUUAUAUUAAAUUUAUUAAUAUAAUUAGAUUAUUAUUAGGAGAUAUUAUUCUAGAGAUAUUAUUUGAUAUUAUUUCCUUAAGUGUAUUUCUCUAUGGUUAUAUAUAGGCUUGUAUCUCUACUAAAUAAUAAAUGAAAUAUAGAUUUAUUCCAUAAAAUCAACAUGGUAUCAGAGCUCUAGGGUUUUCGCCUUAUUGAAUUCUAGCCUCCACAUCCCGUUUGAUCUCUGCCUCCGUUGAUCAUUCAUCAACGGAGGCAGAAUCAUCUCUCAUUAGCCAUCAACGGAGGCAAAAUCAUCUCCCAUUAGCCGAAGCCACCCCUUAGAUCUGCAAAUCUGCCGUUGUCGUUGCACCUUCCCUUUGCCACUCAUUGCUGUUCAAAUCUGCCACUAUCCAAACCCCAGAAACCCCAUUAGUUUUUCACUAGCGUCCGCGGCGGCCAUCUCCUUCAUAGUUCUUCGUCCGACCUCUUGUUUUUCUGUUAGCCAAGCAGCCGAUUGAACCUCUGCCAGUUGAAGCCGAACGCCUCUGCCAGUUGAAGCCGAACGCCCAGCCGAAGAGUUUCGGUUUUGUCCAUCGUCCAAGAAGCUCCGCUCGCCGCUGUGUUUCGUUGUCGUUGCUCCAUCUUUUUAUGUUGUCUCGACAAAACCCAUGAAACCCCAUGUCCUCAGAUCCUCGCAUCCGCCUCCAAUUUGUUCCAGACCUGUCUGAUUUCGUUCAGACCCAUUCUUCAUGUCUGCCUUUGAAGUUUAGAUCGAAGCCCAGAUCCAACGACGCCUCCAUUCUGUUUUUGUUCAGAUCCGCUAAGCCUCUCUGCUCCAUUCAGUUCAGUUUCCGUUCUGUUCGCCCCAGAUUUCCCGUUUAAUCUGAUUCUGACUUGCUCUAGUUUAGUUCGUUCAGUUCCAUCUGAUCCGACAAAACACUUCUGUCCAAUUCCGACCUUGUUUUCGUCCAGCUUUGAUUCUACUUUGCUUCAGUUUUGCUCUUUCAUUUUGCCCCUCGAAGUUCUUGUUUCGUUCUUCCUAGGUUCUGUUAUAGAUCUCUAUACGAGGAUCUAUGUUUCUAUCCCAGAAGUUUUUCGUGGGUUUGUUCUAACCUAGAAGUUCUUUGUGUGUUUGUUCUUCGGGUUUUUUAUUCUAUUCUAGAUAUAUUGUUUCUUUUCUUAGUUCUUAGCAAACUCAAGUUUGUGAUUUCAACCUUGAGUUUGAGGGAGGGUAUUAAUAUAAUUAGAUUAUUAUUAGGAGAUAUAAUUCUAGAGAUAUUAUUUGAUAUUAUUUCCUUAAGUGUAUUUCUCUAUGGUUAUAUAUAGGCUUGUAUCUCUACUAAAUAAUAAAUGAAAUAUAGAUUUAUUCCAUAAAAUCAACAAAAUUAAUCAUUGAAAAUGAUGGAAUAUCUUGUUUCUCUUUUUGCAUUCAAUCAUCACUACACGAAUUCUGGUUUCUAUGUGAGGAAAUCAAUCCGUUUGCUUGUCUGACAUUAGCAUUGUAACAAUGCGUCAACAGUUAUGGAAAGAAAUUUAUGGCUGGAGGGCACUUUUUUUUUUUUUUGUUCCUGUCUAAAAACGAGGUUUCUUCACCUUACAGAAGCAAGGUGGUGUUAGAACUUGGAACAAAAAAAAUUGGCUCUUUUGACUAAUAUGCAGCUCACAGACAUGAACAGUUUAUAAGAGACUGAUUGAUUGAGUUGAGAAAGUGACUGGGUCAAUCAUUCACAGUUCAGCAGUUAGCCUUGGCUCACUUAUUGUGUAUCGGGUCAACAAAGUUUAUAUGGGGAGAUCUUAUGUAUAAGAAGUCAUAUCACAGGAUAAAUAUUCACAGGUCAAGUUCUUCGGAUGAGAACUUAAUCACAAAAGCUUUAAUAAUAUCCACAAGGAUAUCAAAAUACAGCUCCCUCUAUCUGCUUCAUUCCUGUGAUGGUGCACUCUUUCAAAAAGGAAUUAUAAGCUCUAUGAGACCACGUCUUCCUGAAUUACUUCUUUGCUGGAACUGGAAGCUUUUAGAAUAUUUUUAUCUUCACUUUUAGCGAUUACAUAGCCCUUCCCGUGGACAUAUACGAUGGGACGAUUUCUUAAAAGACAACGAAAUGCUAUAGCUUCUAUUCAUUUAAUAUAUUAAUUUUCCUCUUUGAGCUUGUGGAUUGAAGGGAAAUUAGAAUCUUUAACAACAGAAAGACACCGUAUCACUUUGCUCCUUUUAACUCUCUUUCCUCGUCUUUUAAAAAAUUAAUAUACGCAAUUGUAUAUAUUAUAUAUAUAUAUAUAUAAUGGCUCUAUCUUUGUUAUACACUUAUAUUUUUCAACAACUAUGCUUUCUGAUUCACAGUUGGCCAAUUGGAAGUGUGUUCUCUAAUUUUCUCUGGCUUGGGGCUCAUGAAAUUAUUUCUUUAUCUUAAAAAGUAUAGCAAUUCCCUGUUUACCAAAAGUAUAGCAAUUCUCUGAAGAACUUAGUAAUGUAAUUAGAGAUAUUAUAAGGUAUAUUAUAUAAUUGGUUAGAGGUGGUUAUGGAGGUUGUUUAUUUAUAGAGGGAGUUAGAUAUUUGGUGAGUGAAUAGCGCUUGGGAAAGAUGCUAAGAGGGCUGGUGCAAGUAUAUUUUAGUUUCCUAUAUUUUCGGUGUUGGGAUACCUCGCUGAGCUCUAAAAAAGUCAGUAGUGGUCAGAGGGAUAAGCAGCAGGUAGUGGUCAGAGGAGACAUUAACUGUCCACCGAAGAGAAAAGGCAAAGUUGUACAGUUGAGGAAUAUUUUGUGAAUGGUGUUGCUCAAGGAUUAGAUUGGAUUCUAUUAUUGUCAGUUUCUGUCUUUUACUUCGUAUUUCUUAGUAUCUUGCAGGAUAUCUUAUUUGGAUCGAAAAUAGAACCAUAUUUGAAUGUUAAAUCACUGAAUACAUUAUCCUCUACAUUAAUUCGAAUGUGGUCUUGCAGGAUGAUCAUCAUGGUAAGAAACUGCUGCGACAGCACUCAGCAAGCAGAAGCCAGGGAAACCUUGAGACAUGAGCGACCAAUUUGAAAGUAUUCACAAACCCAAAUUUGUCAUCUCUAAACUUGAUGAAUUAUCUGCUGAGUAUCAUGUUUUUUCUUGUCAGCAACCUGCUAGUUUACUGCUGAUGAAAGGGCCAAGAAAUACAGUGUCUUGAGCGUGAAACGAAACCAGGCAAUGUGAGGAUGAUUCUGAGUUUAGUCUCCAUUUCUUUUUUCCAAUGCUAAGUAAUAAUUUUCUCAGCACCUGUUUGGUGCAAGUACUAGAACCACUACUCAAAAGAUGGUUAUGCUUGUGUUCCAUUUGGAGAAUACUAGAGUUAACUCUUCAUCUCUGUUGCUACAAAAUUAUUGGUUUUGCAGUUUUUUUUAGUAUUAGCAACUCUCUAUUAUGUCCGGCGGUUGUAAUUGUAAACACUUAUCAUUGUCUUUCAUGAAGGUUGUUUUCCUGAGUCAAUCAUGGAUUUCUUUUCCAGAUAUUGUAGUUUUUUUUUUCACUAGAAAUGUUGUAGUUGACAGAUAUAAUAUUGGAAGAAGAAUAUAGUAGUUUUGUUAAGAUCAUUAAUCCAUUGGUUGUUGCCAUUAUAAUCACUACUUUGGUGAAUCAAUGUUAAUUAUAAUGUCUGUAAAUGACAUUAAAAUUAUGUUUAAAGUGUUUUUCGACCUUUUGUGUGAAACUUGUGGGGACUGGACAUUGCUUUUUAAGGGCUUAUUGGAUUUAGUUUCUCUUUGUUUUGUUCUAUUUUAUAUUUUACCGUAGCGUUGAAGUCCCGGCGGUAAAUGCAAUCUAACCCUUUUAUUUUUACUCUUCAUUUUGCCAUAUCUUAGUGUAUUUAGAUGUUAGUUUAAUCUAUAUCUCUAAAAUUUUUAAUAUUUUAAAAUUUUGCAUUUUGUAUUAUUUCGUUUUUGAGUUUUUGUUAAUAGCACAUAUGAAACCAAUUAUAAUUUUACCAUGAAUAAUUUUGUUCACUUUAGAAAAAAAUUUGUUCACUAAGAGGUGCUUUAGACCUACUUGGUGAAAUUGAUAAGUCUGAAUUUAAUAUUUUAGAAGGGAAUCCUCUCAAUUCAUUGUUUGUCACAGUAAUAGUAUUUAAGGAGUACGAAAUAAAUAAAUAAUAAAUUACGAAAUCAUUGAUGAUGUAUUAAUUAGUGAAAUCUGAAAUAGAGGGAAUUCCUCGGGAGAUGAUAAAACUUGAAAAACUUUGAGAGGACAAAGUUAUUCGAAUCUUCCAUAAAAGACUGGAAUGAGUUAAACUCAAAUUUUACAUUUCAAAUACAAACUUGUCAACUCCAUUUAGUGAUUCAAACAUGAAUUUUUUGUAUGAAUGAUCAUCCAAUGCGCUUUGAUUUUGUGGUCUCCUUAUGAAUUAUAACCUUUUGUCUAUGUCAUGGGCCCUAUUCAGGAUUCAAAUUCACUUCACGAUAGCGAUUGUACCUCCAACCCGAUGUGGACGAUAUAUCUUUAGCCUGAUGUGGACGAUAUAUCUUUAGCCCGAUGUAAACAUUAAAACUUGAGGACAGUUAGAAUUUGACUCAAAGUUUCAAAACCAUUUUUUGAUAGCGAUAAUCCUUUUUGCUUGAUCGUUUUGACUAACUCCUAACUCGAUUCAAUGACACAAACACGAUAAUAAAUGUCAUUUGCCAACAUGGGAUUAGUUAACUGAGUAUUUAUAUGUUUCCGAGGAUAAGAGAUUUUGGUUCAAAUCUCCUACGUCCAAUUUUUACAUAUAAAAACAUUUUCAAAUAAAAUAAAAUAAAUGUUGUUUAGAACUAUUUGAGUUUAAUUAUAUCUGAACAUGGAUGAAUAUUAGGACCUGAUUGUUUGCUUAACACUGCCCCGAUUAAAUCUAAAUUGAAAUAUGCAUUAAACCCAAAUAAGUGUAAACACAUUUAUAUUGCACUUGCAUUAAUAAAUUGAGUCAGAAAUUAGUCAAAAUGAUUAGGUGGGGAGGGUCGUCGACAUCAGGAAAUGGUUUUUGGAACUUCGCAUCAGGUUCCAAUCAUCCUCAUGUUUUAAUGUCUACAUUGAGUUAGAGAUAUGUCAUCUGCAGGUUCAAUCACGAAUUGCAAUGUGAAUUUGAAUCCUAAAUGGGUCCACGAUGUAAACAAAAUGUUAGUAAUUCAUAACUUGGACAUGAGUCACCGUUGGAUGAAAAAAUUAUAAAAGAAAAUAUAAUAUUAUUUUAUUCUUAAAAACAUCUCCACAUUAAUUAAUUAAUUAAUGAACGUGGAUGUCCCUUCUUAUACUCAUUUGGUUGAUUAAUGGGUUUAGACCGUUACGGUACCCAAAUUUUGGAAGGAGAGAGGAGAGGCAAACAUAGGUAUGUUCGUAUCUCCACAUGUGCACCAUGUUCGUCGAUCAAGCAAGGUAAAAUACGUUUUUCAACCCAUUUACUCUAUUAUGUAUAUUGUCUUCCCCUAAUUCCUAAAAAAUAUCAUAACAUUACUUUUGUACUUUCUAAAGGUUCCCGAGCAAAAUUGUGUCUGUCGUUGAUUGAUUUUAUUUUUGUUUUAUCCUGGAGCCAUCUAUUCAUAUCAUUUCUGUUUUGCAACAGGUUGAUUCAAUAUUGUUCCUGCAAUUGCUUAUUGUUGUUGCUGUUGCUGCUACUAUUUCUAAUUAUUUAUUAUUCAUUGCUACUGUAACAUUAAGACCGACGUGAAUAGAAGAUCUAUGUUGAAACAAUCUCAACAAUUUUAAGACGAUUCGAUCUGCUGAGAUGGUCGGACAAUUCCAAUCUGAUUUGAUGCCUUCCGAUAUCAAUUGCCCGUUUCGAUUUGAAGGAGCACACUUCAAAAGGUGGAAACAAAAAAAGUUAUGUUUUCUCACAUUCAAAGAGGUGGCUAUCACAUGUACUACGGAAAAGCUGAAAGUCCCAUAAACAGAUCCUACACAGGAACAAAUUAAGGAACUCACCACGUGGACAUAAACCAAUUUUAUCUGUAAGAAUUUAAUUCUUAAUGGCCUAACUGAAAAGUUAUAUGAUUAUUACAAUACGUUGUCAACUGCAAAAGAGGUAUGAGACGCAUUACAAAAGAAAAUGACACGGAGGAAGCGAGGUCGAAAAUAUAAUGAGGUUAAGGAUAAGAAUAUCCUUCUAGGAGAUCAUCACACAACCAAGGUAGCUGGUGUUGGAGAAGUAGAAUUAAAAUUCACAUCUGGCAAGACGCUUGUGCUAAAUGAAGUUUUGCAUACUCCAGAAAUUCGAAAGAAUUUGGUUUAUGAAUAUCUCCUCAACAAGGUUGGCUUCACUCAAACCAUAGGAUCAUACUUGUUUACCUUAACAAAAAAUAAUAUAUUUGUAGGAAAGGGUUACGCUACUGAUGAAAUGUUCAAAUUGACUUUGGAAAUUAAUAAGAAUUUAUCUUCUACUUACAUGUUGUCUUCUUUUAAUGUUAUGCUAGACUUUGUCAUGUUAAUAAAAGACUAAUUAACAACAUAAAUAGGUUAAAUCUUAUACCUAAGUUAUCUAUGCAUGAAUUUGAGAAAUGUGCAUGUUGUAAUCAAGCUAAGAUAACAAAAACCUCGCAUAAGUCUGUAACUAGAGUAACACAACUUUUAGAAUUAAUAAAUUUUGACUCGUGUGAAUUUGAUGGCACAUUAACUAGGAACAGUCAAAGGUAUGUAAUAACCUUUAUAGAUGAUUGUUUCGACUACACUUUUAUUUAUCUGCUUAAAAAUAAAAGUGACGUCUUUGACAUGUUUAACAAAAGAAUUAAGAGACUUCAUAGUGAUAGAGGAAUUGAAUAUGACUCAAUUUCCUUCAAUGAGUUUUAUAACUCAAAAGGAAUAAUACACGAAACUACUGCACCUUAUUCUCCUGAAAUAAAUGGAAAAGCAAAAAGAAAGAAUAUAACACUAACGGAGUUAGCAGUUGCUAUCUUACUUGAAUCAAGAGCAACACCAUCUUGGUGGGGUGAAAUAAUUAAGACUGUUAAUUAUGUUCUUAAAUAGGAUUCCCAAACAGUAAAUCUUCACCAUACGAAGUUCUUAAGAAUAAAACACCAAACCUGUCUUAUCUUAGAACUUGGGAUUGUCUAGCAUAUGUUAGAAUACCAUAUCCAAAGAGAAGAAAAUUAGCCAGUAGAGCAGGAAUGUGUUUUCAUAGGAUAUGAUGAAAACAAUAAAGCCUAUAGGUUCUAUGACUUAGAAAACAAAGUAAUCAUAGAAUCAAAUGACGUAGAUUUUUUCGAUGAUAGAUUUCCUUUUAAAUCUAGAAAUGUAGUGGGGGCUUAAAUAGUUAAACUAGUGGGGGGCUCAAGUUCAAGUAGUCUACCUUCAAUUAGAAUCCAAACCUAAGAAAAGGAAGUAGAUUCUAAACCUAGAAGAAGCAAGAAAGCUCGAACCAUAAAGGACUUUGGAGAAGACUUUGAAAUGUAUAACAUAGAAGAUCCAAAAGAUCUAACAUACGCCUUAUCCUCAGUAGAUGCAAACUUAUGACAAGAAGCUAUCAACAAUGAAAUGGACUCUCUUGAAUCCAAUGGAACUUGGCACCUAGUUGACUUACCCUCUAGCUGCAAAGCAAUAGACUGUAAAUGAGUUUUAAGGAAGAAACUCAAACCUGAUGAAUCGGUGGAUAAGUAUAAGGCUAGAUUAGUAGCUAAAAGUUUUAGGCAAGAGGGAAAACAUAGAUUUUUUUUAUACUUUUUCCACGGUUACUAGAAUCACCUCAAUUAGAGUAUUGAUAUUUAUAGUUGUCCUGAACAAUCUCUUAAUCAAUAAGAUGGAUGUCAAAACUACUUUCUUAAAGGGUGAUUUAAAAGAAGAGAUUUAUAUGAAACAACCUGAAGAUUUCAUAGUUCACGAUCAAGAAUCCAAAGUUUGUAAACUAGAUAAAUCCCUCUAUGGCCUAAAACUUGCUCCUAAGCAAUGACACGAAAAGUUUGACAACUUAAUCAUGUCCAAAGGAUUCAAAGUAAAUGAGAGUGACAAAUGUAUCUACUAUAAGACUAAAAAUAGGUUAUGUACUAUCAUAUGCUUAUACGUAGAUGACAUGUUAAUCUUUGGAUCAAACUUGCACAUUAUAAAUGAUGUAAAAUCUAUGUUGAGUGCAGAUUUUGACAUGAAAGACUUAGGAAAAACUGAUGUAAUCCUAGGUAUCAAGAUUACAAAAACUGAAAAUGGAAUUUUCUUAUAUCAAUCUCAUUACAUAGAAAAGAUUCUAAAAAAGUAUAACUACUUCAAUAGUAAACCAACUUGUACACCUUAUAACUCUAGUGUUAAAUUAUUCAAAAAUACUAGUGACAACGUUAACUAAUCUGUGUAUGCUAGCAUUAUAGGUAGUCUAAGGUAUGCUGCUAAUUACACUAGAUUAGACAUAGCUUACGUUGUAGGAUUACUAUGUAGAUUUACCAGUAGACAUAGCCAGAACACUGGAAUGCUAUAGAACGAGUAAUGAGAUAUCUUAAGAAGACACAAGAUCUAAGAUUACAGUAAUGAGAUAUACUUGAAGGUUACAACGAUGCUAAUUGGAACUCCCUCUCAGAUGGCCCAAAGGCUAGUAGUGGCAUAUUUUUAAUAUAGCAAGAGAAGCUAUUGCUUAGAAAUUCAAUAAAUAGAUAGUUUUAGCCUAGUCAAUGAUGGAGUUAGAGAUGAUAGCACUAGCUACUGCUAGUGAAGAAGCAAGCUGGCUUCGAAGCUUGCUAUAAGAGAUUUCCACCUGGGAAAAACUGGUACAAGUCAUACUAAUCCAUUGUGAUAGUACUGCAGCUAUCACAAAAGUUCAGAAUCGUUAUUAUAACGGUGUAAGAGACGACAUAUACGUUGUAAGCAUAGUACCAUAAGAGAAUUUCUCACUACUGGUGCAGUGAUAAUGGAUUAUGUACAGUCUGAUGACAACUUGGCUGAUCCUUUAACGAAAGGACUAGCAAGAGAGAGAGUUUUUAAAACCUUAGAAAGAAUGAGACUCAAGCCUAUUGAAAAAUGAAUUACUGUGAGCUAAACCCAACUUGUAAGACUGAAGAUCCCAAGAAACAAGUUCAAUGGGCAAUAACUUAUCACAGUAAUAUAACGAGAAUCAUGCUAAAUUAGGAGUUCCAUUCUUAUGAUUCAGUGAUUAGCAUGACAUCUUGGAGCGUAUGAGGAGGUUGAACUUUGUUUUAAUUGAAAACUAUACUUGAUAUCAAGUAGGGUACCUAGCUACAAGAGUACUAUUGAUAGAUUCACCUUUGUAAAUGUGGAAGUGAGAGUCGCUUCCUAUGGAAUUCUGGACAGAUUCCUAGAGCAUUCACUAAACUGGGAUAUACAUGCAAGGCCAUAAAAAGCAUGGGCUAGUUUAGAACUUCACUGAAAUAAUAUUGUGUGUGCUAGCAUUAGAAGUAAAGUUCAAAACUACGAAUUACUUUACGAUAUUUUAAACUAUUGUCACUACGUAAAGAUUCAAGUCAUCAGACACCUUUACUUACACAUAAUAUCAUAGAAACAGACACUAGGAGUGUAAGAAUAUGAGUUGAACCCAAAUAACACGGACUACCCAACCCAUAUUAUAAGUGUUGGGUUGGGUUAAGUUAAAAUAUGAGUUGAAUUGGGUUAAAAAAAUUGACUUUUUUGGAUUGGAGUGUUGAAAUAUUCGGUUCAACCCAACCCAACCCAACUCAAAUUAAUAUAGUAUAAUAUAUAUAUAUAUAUAUAUAUAUAUAUAGAAAAAAAAAUUAGGUAUAUAAACUUUGAAUUUAUUGUAUGAGAUUUUGAAUUAUGUAUGUAUGAGAUUUUGAAUUAUGUAUGUUUGAAAUUUAAAUGCAACAAUUUUGAACUUUUAUAACCAUUAGAACUAGAAAUGAAAAAAAAAAAAAAAAAAAAACUAUACAACCAGACAAUUCAACCCAGCCUAACCCAUAUUUUACGGGUUGAGUUAAGUUGGAUUAGAAACUAAAUUCGGGUUUGGUUGAGAAUGUCUCUCAACCUAACCCAAUUUCACCUCUCACAGACAACUCGAUAGAAAUGUUUUAAAAAAACUUUCAAUUGGGGGAUUGAUAGUAAACAAAUUUCAAGUGGGGGAUUAAUGGAUGAAAAUUCUAUAAAAGGAAAUAUAAUAUUAUUUUAUUCUUAAAAGCAUUUCCACAUUGAUUAAUUUUGAUUGUGGAUGUCCUUUCUUAUACUCAUUGGUUGAUUAAUGGGUUUGGUCUCGUAGGGCACCUAAAUUUUGGAAGGAGGGUGGAGAUAGGAAAAUGUAGGUAUGUUUGUAUCUCAAUGCCUCGAGGUAAAAUAAUAUCGCUCUCACAAACUAUUAUAUAUAUCGUUUUCCCUUCAUUCCUAUAAAAUAUCAAAACAUUACUUUAGUAUUCUCACUGAAGGUUCUCGAGCAAAAUUGUGUAUGUCGUUGAGUGAUUUUAUUUUGCUAGUUAAUUUCCAUGCAAAGUCAACGAGUGGAGAGUAGAACUACGAAACGUCUUAAAGAUAGCGUGUUCUCCCAUCUACCGAGGCUAUUUUUUGUUUGCACAGUCGAGAGUAGAACUACGAAACGUCUUAAAGAUAGCGUGUUCUGCGACUCAGCCAUCUACUCAUAUCGUUUAUGUUUUGCAGUAGUUUGAUUCAAUAUUUUUCCUGUUGCUUAUUGAUGUUGUUGUUGUUGUCGUUUAUUAUUGUUGCGGCUACUAUUUCUAAUUAUUUACUGUUCGUCGCUACUGAAACACUAAGACCGACGUGAAUAGAAGAUUUGCGUCGAAACAAUCUCAACAAUCACAAAAUUGAAGCGUUGGAGAAUACGUCAUCGGGAUAAAAAUCUCGUCCAAACAAUCCCACUUAAAAUAAAAAUUCAGACCAAAUGCACCUAUUAACACUAACAACUCAAGACUAAUAAAAGGGUCAUUUUUCAAAAAGAAAAAAAGAAAAAAAGAAAAAAAGAAAAAACCAACCACGUAAAAUAAAAAUAAAAUAAAAUAUUGAAAUUAGAAUGGCCUGACCCGAUGGGUAUGUCAACUAACUACUGUAAGGAUAAAAAGUAAUGAAAUCCACCAACGAAGCUUGAGGCUUUUCUCAUCUCACCCAAACAAAACAAUCUUUGAAAUCCAACCUUAGCCAAUCAUCUUCCACCAAAAUUCCCCAUAAGCUUAAAUCCCCAUUAGAUUUAUGUUUCUUCUUCACAAACAACACUUCACUUCAUCUCUCUCCUUCCACCAUGUCUUCUUCAUCUGCAACUGCUUUCCAUUCUUCUUUCUGUUUCUCUUCUCAUAAUAAACUUUCUUCUUCUCCCUCAAAUUCCCAUCAACCAAACACUUCCUUAUCACCCAAACCCAAAACCCUUCUCCAUAAACAUCCUCUCUACACGCCACUUCAUUCCACAGUCUCUUCUCAAACCAAAGAGAAAAUUCUCUGUCUUGAAAUCAUGGGUGUUGAUUCUGGCAAAGCUCUUUCUCAAAACCCUUCUCUUCAUUCUGUUACUCUUGAAUCCAUUCACUCUGUCAUCUCCUUCCUCCAAUCUAAAGGCAUUCACCAAAAGGACUUCGCCAAAAUCUUUGGAAUGUGUCCUAAAAUCCUCACUUCAGAUGUUAAAACUGAUUUAGUACCAGUUUUCAACUUUCUCUCUGAAGAUCUCAAAAUCCCAGAUCAGAACUUUAGAAAAGCUAUCAAUAAGUGCCCAAGAUUGCUUGCUUCAAGUGCUGAAGAUCAGUUGAAACCUGCUUUGUUUUAUCUUCAAAGACUUGGGUUGAAGGAUUUGGAGGCUUUGGCUUAUCAUGAUUCUGUUUUGCUGGUUUCAAGUGUGGAGAAGACCUUGAUUCCUAAACUCAAGUAUUUGGAGAGUUUGGGAUUCACAAGGAGUGAAAUCGUUGGGAUGGUAUUAAGGUGUCCAGCUCUGCUUACUUUCAGUAUUGAAAACAAUUUCAAGCCAAAGUUUGAGUAUUUCUCUGUGGAGAUGCAUAAAAAACUUGAGGAGCUUAAGGAUUUUCCUCAGUAUUUUGCCUUUAGCUUGGAGAAGAGGAUAAAGCCGAGGUAUGUGGAGACAGUGGAGAGUGGAAAAAAAGUGCCUUUGUCACUUAUGCUUAAGACCACAGAUGUUGAGUUUAGAGAGUUGUUAGCAGAAGGGGGUGGUUGAAUGAAUCUCUCCCUCUCUCCCUCUCUCCCUCUUCUUUGGAGCUUCGUAAAGGGAGGCUGGUUUUAUCUGCCCUUUCCCCUUCAUUUUUUACUAUGUAAAUUCCAUGACUUUAAAAGGCUACAAAUACAAUCAGUUCAUCAUUCUCUAAUCUGGAUUUCAUACUUCUAAUCCUCUAUACUUACCACGUUUGGAUAUUAAAUAAAGCUAUGAACUUCUUUAACUUGCUGAACAGAUGUUGAAAAUCGAUCACUCUUUAUGCAGUUUAUAUCAACUGUUCAGAUAUCUGUUUUUUUUUUCUUUCCAGCUUACAUUCACUGUAUAAACAAGACAAGUGUUGCUCAAUUUGAUCAACUUUCUUCAAGUUCAUGAUUAUCAUCUUUCAUGUUUAUUAUCUCAUUUUAAAAUCAUAGCUCAAGCAAGAUCAAUCACUCGAAGGAUAAUAAACUCAUUUUAAAAUCAUAGCUCAAGCAAGCCAAAUUUUGCGUAAAUAUCUGCUUUUGCCCUUCAAUUCAGGCGAAAAAUCUGUAGUUUAUGAGAUGGCAACAACAGAGGCAUUGUGAUUGACUCGAUGGCGUUAACUCUUUAAAGAACUUGAAAACAGUUUUCCAUAACAUGGUAAGAACUUGAGUCUGUCUGUCUGAAGACUCUGAACAUGUAUAAAUAUGUAUAUAAAUCUAUCCAAAUGUAUUUGUACAUAUGCAAAGUGCAAGUGCUGCACGAUGAAAUACAAAUCUACAUGCACUACAUAGGUAGACAUAUCUUACAUACAGGCCGUAGUUGACCUGAUUCAUGUUUUAUACACAACUUUCUUAAAUGUAAUCAGGUCUACUUUCAAAUUCUUAAUACAAAAAUGGGUAUCAGCUCGUGAAUGUUCCAGACUUGCUUGCUACUUUCUUGAGCUUCACACUCAAAAUGACUUCCCAACAGAACCCAAAUUAGAGACUUUAGUUGAUGAAGGCAUCUUGAGAUAUAUAUACAGACCACGCUUCCUGUAAAACACAAUAAGACAUAAAAAUCAAAAUCUUGCAAAUAAACAUACUAUUCAACAUUUUUCUCACAAAUUCAGUCUUAUUAGUUACAUUUUUUAUCUAGUGUUUGACUUCAAGUUCUUGGUUGAAUCAGAUGGUCAUUAAAUAUUGUGUAUGAGCGAAGAGUUACCUGAAGGAUGGUAAAAGCCUUAUCCGCAACAUGUUUCUGCAGCGUUGUCGCUCCUCUUUGCUGCAGCUUAUCUGGGUGGAGACAUAAUCUUGCUUUUUGAUAUGCCUUCUUCACUUGUGUGCCUCCAAUCAGGUUUGUCAACGAUAUUGGAGACCACCCACUACUUGACCACAAUAUCUGUAAUAAUCCCAGAUGAAAUGGUUUUGGAUCGUUAGAUUGGAGUUUCAUAGCAUGAAAAGGAGGGAGAUGUCCAUGAUGUUAUCUGGCAUGAAGGAACUUACAUAAUGAAGUGUAGAAAGUAGCAAGCGGAUGUUGGUCUCCUUGCCAGCUGACCAUAGCUUUAUUUUUUCAUCUAAUCCUUCCAAUUCUCUCUGUUAUUUGAGAUAAGGAGAAAAAAGCAGAGAUCAAAAACUUGUUCCUUAGCCAGAAAUAAAAUGAACACUUUGUAUGAUUUUGUGUUAAUUAAUUAGCUUGAUUGCUCUUUUUCCUAAAUUUGGAACUACCAGUAGGAGCCAUUCCAUGAAAAUAUCUUAUACUUCAAAACUCGAGGGAAAUGAAAUAGUGCCAAGCUUAAAAAUAUAAAGCCCUGUGAUAAUCUACUUACAUCGAUGUUCAACUGUGGCUUUUCUUCUUCAACUUUUACUUCUCUCUGUUGUGUCUGAGGCAGAAACAAGAGCACCCAGUUAAGCAACGCAAUUCAGCUUUAUUACACAAUUGCAAAAGAUAUUCAAUCAAUUAGAUUCAUAGAUUCUUCCAAGUUCUAAGCAUUAUCCAGAAUGUUUUCUGACCAGUAUUGAGAUGAAUGGCGUAAAGAGUUUUCCUAUUUCAGAUUUUAUGUGAAAAGUAGAAAAUUGUUACCUCUGCAGUCUGCGACAAUCCAUUUCCAUUCGACUGCUGAUCUGAGCAUUCAAAUGCAACAGGUCUUCCUUCAAAACAAAAAAAGAAGAAUACUUUUAGAAUUUUCACUAUGGAGGUUAAACAUUCAUACAAAACAGGUCCGGCCAGCAUGAAACACACGUGGAGUUAAUGAAAGUUUACCUUCUUCUUCCCCAGAUUGCUCGCUUUCUUGUUGUCUAACACUCAAAUCUGUCUCAGAUGCACUUUGAUACUUCGAUUUAGCCCAAGCAAUUGCUUCGUCAAUAGAAACUUCUUCUCUAUAUUCUUCUCUAUUGAUAGAAGUUAUCUCAAUGACAUAAGAGCUCAUAGCAUCUUCAUCGUCAUCGUCAUCUUCCGGUAAAACAUUACAGUAAGUUCCAUCAUAAUAAACUGGAUCCUCACAGAGAGAAGAUUCAGGAGAUGAUGGGGAGUUUAUUUCUAAAUAAUCAUCCACGCAGAUCUUGAUGCUUCUGAACGAAUUUGGUUCCAGAAUAACGGUUUCUGGCGAUGAUACAGGCUGUCCAAAUCCAUGGUCUGAGCUUUUGUAUCUAUCAUCAUAUUCAUCUUCUACAUAACGGUUAUCCAUAUGAGGGGAGAGAUGAGGUGCAAACUGUGGCAUUUCCUGUUCCUUGAACAUUGUAUGAAUUCCAUUGUGUUGGGACAUUGGUUGGCCUAUAUGAAUUGAAGAGAUAGAUAUUGAAUACUUGCAACCAAACUAAAAUAAGGAAAUGAAUAUUGAAAUCACAUUAAAGUAAUUAAGUGUUAGACAAUGCUGGUCAAAUCAAGUUUAAAAAAAGAAUCAAUUUAGAGACAGAUUUAUAAUCAAACAUUCAUGCUUAAGAAAAGCCAUCAAUAAAACAAAAUUGGUUGUUAGUAUCAAUAAACAUAUUACUAUGAAUCAGACUGAUUAAGAUUAUCAUUUCUCUUAAAUACCCUCAUGAAACAGCCAAACAAUAUCAAACAACAUAUGAAAAAUGACCUAAGCCAUAGAGGGCAUACAUGUCCAAUAGAAUAAUCCAAAAUAAGGGUUUGGCCCCCUCACUUUCUGCAGUACACUACCAACCUGUGAUUUGAAGACGACGAAGGGAACGCCACGUCAUCUCCGAUGACCGGCCGAAGACGGGUGAAAUCAGAAGACGAGUUCGAUCUAGUGAAUUCCUUAGAGCUCGGCUCCGACCUAUCUCUCGACCGUCGACCAUCUUCCGAUCCAAAAACAUCGCGGUAAAAUCUAUCCUCCUUAACAGGGAUUCUAAAGGCAGGCAAGCUCCGGCCACCCUUCUGCGGUCGGGAAACUAGCUCGGAGGAGCGGAAUACUUCUUCGUAGAAUGAAGUAGUAGAGUCUAUACCUUCAAACCUCUCGGAAAAUUGCCUGAAGAGAAUGGUCUGUGGUGGACCGCCGAAGACGUCGGAGAAGUCGUCGGCGAGGAAAUUAGAAGUGGGUUUGGGGAGGGUUUGGCGUUCGGAUCUCCGGGAACGGAAACGGGGAAUUCCAAAACGGAGACGCCAAGUAUGGUCCAUUUUCGGGGGAGACAAAAGAGGGAAAAAAUGAAAAAGAAUGAAGGAAAUAUUACGAUUUAAGAGUGAGAGAGUGAGAGAGAAUGAGAAAACACCAUGAAAACAAAUGGAAGCUCUGCCGUUCAUAUAUUUAUACAACAAAAAAGUGGGAUUAUUGGAAAAAGCUGUUAACUACUUUUUACUGUUUAAUAAUAAUAAUAAUAAAUUAGUAUUUGUUUAUUUGUUUAUUUGUUUAUUUUUAAAAAAAGUUGGAACAACUAUUCAUGUGGAGCAGAAAGUUAAAAGAAAGGUGUGACCUUUUUCUUCUUUAAUAAAAUAAGAGAUUUUUAUUUUUUAUUUUUUAUUUUUAUUUUCUGAUCUUUAAAAAAUAAUUUAUAAAUUAAAAAUGAUGUUUCUAAUAUACUUUGUUUUCAAUUUCUGAGACAAAAGAUUCAAAGUGUAAUAAAUAGGUUUAGAUCUCUUUCUCAAACCACCACUAAACCCACAUUCUCAAAUAUACCCAUAUAUAUAUAUAUGUUAAGUAUAUUUUUCGUGUCAUAAAUAUAUUAUAUUUGGUUAUUGUUCUUCUACUCAAUUAUGAUUUUUACUUUAUUUUUUACUACACCAACUUUCAAAAUGUUAGAAUAGGUAAACGAUUUAUUAGACCCAUAGUCUAAACCUACUAUACUAUGCAAUUAAAAAUUUCAAACUUGUUGAAUUUCAUAUUGAGAAACUAAUAUGAGUUUAAUUCAACUGGUAUCUGUAUGUACUCGUAGACAAGAAAUCCUAGUUCAAAUCGUCACUCAUGUAUUUAUUACAAUACAUUUUUUAAAAAAAUUAUAAUAAAAUUAAGAAAAUGAAAGUACCGACAUAAAAGUGCAAGUUUAAGUAUGUUUGGUAGGAAGUUCAAGCAUAGAGAUUUGAAAACGAUGGAAUCAAUGAAAAUGUAAUAGUAUUGCACAUUUAUAAAUUUAUAUAUCACUACUCGAUACAUAACUUUAUUUAAAAAAAAAGUGAUAAUAUGACAUACUACAUUUCUUAACGUUUUUAUUUUUUUGUUUAAUAUACUUUGAUUCCAAGUUCCUCCUUUUUUUGCUUCUUUUAUAUUAAACAUUUACUAUAUUUGUUAUCAUUUAUAUUAAGAAAUGUAGUAUAUCAAAUUCUAUCGUUGUUAUCAUCUAUAAAAUAUAAAAAUUUACUAUAUUUUAUAAAUAUUUUGAUUUAUUUGGUUAUAAAUGAAAAUUUUCCUUUUAUCCUUGCUAUAUUAAAAGUCGCUUAAGAAAAUAAUCACUUUUUGGAUGAUUCUGCCUCUUGCCAACUUAAAAACAUUAACAAUAUUGUUCUACACAUUAAUGUUUUCAAUGGACGCUUCUACCCCUUACCAAAAUCUAAAUUUACAAUAUUGUCCUAUGAAUUGUAAAUUUAAAAAUUCUAUUUGAUAAAUUCUAAACAUGUUUUCAAUUUAUAAAUUUGUCAUCUACACAUAUUUGUUUCAUUCUUUGAUUAUUAAAUUAUUUAUUAUAAACACUCAAUAUUAACAUAUAAACAAAUUUACUAUUGAUAAACUACUACUAAAUAAAAUAUUUUAUAAACACGUAUUUUAGUAUGCUUUAGUUACAUUUUUUGAUUAUCAAAUAGUAGUGAAUACUUUUUUUUGUAACAUAGAAAAUAAAUGAUUUCUAUAGAAAAAGUUGUUUGUAAUAAACAUGAAAAAUAAAUUACACUCAACCAAAAUAUGUUUCGCUUUCCAAAUUUCAUAACUUCAAAAAUAUAAGUUCAUAAGUUGUUUUAAUUAACAUGAGAAUAAAUUAUUUUAAAUAUUUUGUAAGAAAUAAAUACACAUAAUUAUUAUUAUAAAAGAAAUUGACUUUUAAAAUUUCAUAAAAAAAACCAUAAAUGAUCUAAUUUUAGUAUAAAUAUAGAACAAUCAUUUAAGUGUAAUUUGCUAUCCAAAAUUUUGGUUGUUUUCAAGUUUUAUCUAUUCGUUCUUUGUGCCAACUCAAAGAGAAAAUUGAUCUAUAAACUAAGGCUAAUACGUACAUUUUGUUGCAUUUCAUUGUUUUGUAAGUAAUUUAUUAGUGAAAUUACAUUAUUUAAUAUAUUCCUUCUUAUUUAUUAAUAAAUAUUAACUAUUAUUUACUUUAAAAAUAGUUAAUUAACGGUCGGUUCAGUCACACUUGCACACAUAAACUUGACUUAUAUCUACUGUUUAAUAUUUUGAAUAUUCCAUUUUACUUAAUUCAAUUUUUGGUUAAAAUGUCAUUAAUUCUUUGGAAGAAAAAUUGUAUUAUUGUUAGAGAAUGUGAAGAGGAGUUAACAUGCACAAUUUUGGAGGAUGAUCCAACAUCAAAUGCAAAUAGAAGCAUGAAUAAAAUGACUACAAAGAAGCAAAAAAAGGAGGAACUCUCUAAUAUUGAAGUAUGCUCCUCAUUGUUCAUCUUUGAAUCUUACUAGCUAUAACAUUUAUAGUUAUAUUUAAUGAUUUUCAUUUUCAUAGUACUUUUCUUUCGGAAUAAGUAAACAGUGAACAAGUAAAAUGUGGCUUCAAAUUUUUGUAAUUUGUUGAAUUUAGAAGGUCUUUUUUUCAAAAGAUAUAUAAAAAGACAAUUAUUUAUAUUAUUUUGAUAUAUCUUUAUUAAUCUUUUCAAAUUCCAUAAAAUAACUCCUGUAGAGUAGAAAUGUAAAUUUUCCAAGAUAUUACAAGAAAUAUCUUCAAAAUUUUAAUUUGAAAUUUGGAAUUGAACUUUUCAAGUAUUUAAUUUUGAAAAAAAUUUAAAUAUUUGACAACUAUUUCAAAUUGCUUAAUAAAAUGAGUUUUGAUGAAAUAAGUUUGGUUUAAAAUAAAUAUUUAAGUGUUUUUAAGAAUUAAUUGUGUAAUUCUUAAAAUUAUCCAAACAUCAUCAAAACUACUAUAGAUCUUACUUCUAACAUAGCCACCAUCGUCGUCUAUUGACCAACUUUUGUGACCAACUUCAGCCACGACAAAGUGUCAGUGUCAGCUCUAUCAACCGCCACCACUAGAUUACUCAAACAACCAACAUUGGUUAUUAGUUCAUUGUACUUUACCGUUGUGCUUAAUAGUGAUUUAACGUUAAUAAUAAUACUUAUAGUAUAUAGCAAAUCAAACAACACGUAUAUUAUAGUCGAAUCAUAAUGAUUUUUUGAAAGGUGUAUAUAUCUUUUUCUUGAAAGAAAAAGGCAGCGUAGUUUAUAUUUAUGUUAAGGCCCACCGACAUAAAACACAAAAUACAAACUUAAUUAAUUAGAUAUUAGGUUAUUAAAUUUUUUUAAUUUUUGAAAUGGAGAAAUAAUUGCAUCUGUUAUUGUCUCCUAAUCUUUGAAUUAAAGUUAUUAAUUGUUUGUUUUGCUAAAGAUUACAACCAAAAGGACAUCAGAUUUUCUUUUGUCCUCUUUUUUAAUUCAAAAGCACAGACAACAUUAUUCUUUAUGGAUCCAACCACAACCAACAUCAUAUCUUCACCUUUUAUCAAAUAUUUACAACUUUCCUUAUUUUCUUAACACCCAUCAAAUUUUAACAUUCCCUAACAAAUUGAUGACUUAUGUCAUAAUAUAAUACACUUUUUCUUAUUAAAUAUAUGUUCAAAGAUUAUAUUCCAUGAGAAAUACACAUUUCAAAUGAUGAUUCAUUUGUCUUUAUUUUAUCGUCAUUUUUUCUAAAUAUAGAUUGAAAUGUGAAAAAUAUGUAUGUAUAGGGUUUGGAUUUAAAUCUUUUUCUAAAAUUAAAGAUAAGAAAGAAGAGAAGGGCAUUUGGUGACAAUGCACUUGUGGUUGUGCCCCAUCAAGUCAACAGAUGGAUUUUUCUUGGUCACUAAAUUAAAGCAUUCAGAGAAAGUUCCUAGUUAAAUACCAUGUGAUUUUAAUUCCAUUUUGUUGACCAAACUACAAAUCUCACACUUCUUUCCAACAAUUAACUUACAAAAAUAUUUACUAUUUCGACUUUAAAUCAACGCCUAACCUAUGCUCUAAAAAAUUGAUCAACUUAAGCUAUAUAUAUGUAUAUAUAAACGUUCAAACUUUAGAUCCAUCAUUCCCUCGAAAUUUAAAAUAGGGAGACAUUUUUUUUAAUAUAUAAUUUAUAAAUUUGUUGGCCUAAGUUCAAAAUAUAUCUCCUCGACCUUUUUUUUAUUUUUCCUAAGAAAAGCAAAAUCUUAUCUCAAACAAAGAAAAAAGCAUUAUGUACGGGACGACAUGUACUAGUAGUACUACAAAAUUUUUCCUUUGCUAAAAUACAGGAUGUCUUUUCCAAUUAUAAAUUAUAAAUAACAUUUUUGUUUCAUAAAAUAAUAAAUAUUAAUUUCUACCUUUUUUUUAACUUCAAUGAUACUCUAAAAUUCUUUUAAUCAAAAUGUUGCUUUUUUUAAUAUUUGAAAAAUAAAUAUAAAAAAUAGGCAACACUGGAACCACAUAUUUUUUUAAUAAUGAAUCAACCAACAUUACCAUAUACGAGCAAUUGUGUAUAUAAAAGUGCCACAUAUUUUUUUUUUAAAAAUAUGAUAGUAAGAAAACCACAUAUUUGUAGAUUAUUUAUAGAACACAAAUAAUCACAUUAAAAAAAAAAAAAGAAGGAGAAAAAGCAAAUCAUUCUAUUGAGUGUUGUGUCUUUUACCAAAAGAGAUUAUACCCUUUCGUGAAUAAUUGUGACUUUCUUUUAAUAAUAUUUUUUGUAAUGUUUUUCACGUGUUUUAACUCCAAUUUUUUUUAAAGCCUAACAUACUAUUGUUCUAUAAAAAAAAUAUAUAUAUAUAUUUUGUAAAUGGAAAACGAGUGAAAAUAUUUUUAAAAAAUAACAAAAUUUGAAAAGUUUUUUAUAAAAUCUAAAAAAUGGUUAUAUUUUAUAAUUUUUUUGGUUAACUUUGUUAGGUGUGUAAUCGAGUUGGGUACACUUUCUCAACCCAACCCAUACUUUUAGGUUAUUUGGGUUGACAAUUUGAAUUUAGUUUCCAACCAAACCAGUAAAAUAUGGGUUGUGUUGUCUUGUAUAGUUUUUUUCCCCUAGUUUUCAAUGGCUAUAAAAGUUCAAAAUCUUAGGUAUAAUGAUCUGACAGAUAUGAGAUAUGGUGAAGAUCGAAAGACAAAGAAGAGUCAGAGACGGAGGAGAUGGAGGAGAUCUCAGAUUAGGGGAGACAGAGGGAUUGAGAUUUGAGAUCGGCCUGCGGAGGAGACAGGUGGACAGGUCUAGGGUUGGAUCGAAGAUGUUGGAGGAGAUGGAUGCACAGGUCUCGAGUUGGAUCUAAAUAUCAGAGGAGAUGGACGGAGUUGAGAAGGAGGAGAUGCCAGAGAUGCUGCGAAGAGCGAGGGAGAGUAAGAGAGGUGAAUUGUCUCGUGAGAAGUGUUGCACGAGGGAGAGCCGUGAGGGAGAUAGAAAUCUAAUUUUUUUAUUAUUAUUAAAUAAAUAAAUAAUUUGGAUUGGGUUGAACCAAAAUUUUCAACCCUCCAACCUAAGACCCAACCCAACCCGAAAAAAUCAAUUUUUUCUAAUCCAAAUCCAACUCAACUCUUAUAAUAUAGGUUGGGUAGCCUGAGUUAUUCAGGUACAACUCAUAUUCUUACUCCUACAUUUUGUUAUAUUUGAAAAACAUAGGAAAAAAAUAUGGCCGUAGUUGUGAGUGAUCUUGUCUUAACCUGAGUGCUCUCCUUCAAGCUUAGUAAUUUCAAACAUUUCAUGGCUUUUAUGUCUACUUUCACAUAACAUCCAAUUACAACCCUCUUUUUGCUGUUUGAAUCUAACGAUUCUAUUACAACAAUUUUAUAGUGUUCUGUCAUACAAUAUUUUUUAACAGUCAACUGAAGAUCUGUCAAAUCACAUUAUCUUUUGAAUCAAACAAGUCUAAUUGUCCAAUCAGUAAAAAAAACUUCGAAUUUAAACAAUUUAAGUUUUCAUUUCAAAAUAUGCACACAAGUUGUAAGUUCAAAAAUUUAUAUAUCAAAACAUAAUUCUAAAAAUGCAAAAUAAUAAAAUCAAAUAAUUACACGAUACAAUACUAUAUGAAUUUAAACCCUAAAAUUUACGUAUCUCAAUACACUACAAUUUAAGCCCUAAAAUAUACAUCUAGUGAUGAAAUCAAACAAUUACAUUUACAUGAUAUAUACAAAAUCAUACACUUAACUUAGUCUUUGAUCGGAUACACAAUUUCACUGCCUUAUUUUUUACAAUGUUUUGCGAAAUAUUUAAAACAAAUUAUUCAUGAAUACACAAAAAUAUAUGUUAAAAAGUAGAAAAUAAUAAAACUGUAGGAUGGUGACAAUCACGAAAAGUAGACGUUAGUUGGAGCGAUGGAAGAAGAGGAAGGAAGUGGCGGAAGAGAAGAGAGAAAAAAGAUGGAAGCAUUUUGAAUAUCCAUGAUGUUCAUGAAAUUGUCUACUAAUUCAUUUUAAUAAAAAUGUAAUGAAAUUAAUGUUGAUUCUGUUGAUUAUUUAUAGAAAAUUACUCACAAAAAUAUUUUUAAAUUAAUAAAACAAAUAUUUACACUCUCCUUCAAUAAUAUAAAAUGCUUUAAUAUUUAAAAAUUUAUUUUUAAAUGACUCCAAAAAUUUGAUGAAAGUAUUUACAAUUAUGCAAAAUACCAUAAACCAUUCCUGAUGGAUUAUUAUUUUCGUCUAUAUCUACCAUCCAUACAAGAUAAAUGAUGAUAUUUUAUUGUAUUUAUAAAUAUUUUAGCUCAUUUUUAUAUUUGAAAACCUUUAAUAUUUCUUCCUAAAAAUGUUUUAAUAUUUAUAUCAUAUUAAUAAAUGAUACUUUCUACUUUAUAUAUUUGAUCAAUUAUCUGACUUAUCACUAUGGUUAAUGACAAGAUUAUUUUUCUCUACGAUGAAUGACAAUGCGAAUCAACUAAAAUCUUCUUGAUGUCAAGUCUAUAGGUAUCUAAGAACGUCAAUAAAAUUAACGAUAAAUAAUAGAAAUGUUAAAAAAACUAGUAACCCGAUCAAUAUAGAUUAUUCAGCCCAAAUUGUAAGAGUUAGAUUGAGUUAAAUUGUACGUUGAGUUAGGUUAUCGAAACUAAGCACAAAAGGAUAACAAGCAAACAAAUGUUUAUAGUGUCCAACGAUUUUUCUUUUUCAUAUAAAACACGUUUUUUUUCUUUGGUUUUUUUAAAUUUCUUAAUAUUUUAAAAAACAUUUCAAAUAUAAAACCUAAAAAUUAAAAACUAAAAUCCAAAAACAAAAACUCUAAACUCUUAAAAAAAUAUUUCACAUUUUUGCAAUUUCAUCGGACCAUAAUAUUAUUUUUCUUUAGUUAGUAUAAAAAAAUGGGAGAUGGAAUCAUUUAAAAUAUCCAUGAUGUUGAUGAAAUUGUCUAGCAAUUAAUUUUAAUAAAAUAUUAAUGAAAUUAAUGUUGAUUCUGAUGAAUAUUUAUUGACAAUUUAAAAUAUAUAUAUAUUUAUAUUAAUAAAACAAACAUUUUACACUCCCCUUAAAUAACAAAAAUGUUUUAAUAUUUAAAAAUUUAUUUUAAAUGACAAACAAAAUGAACACCGAAAAUAUUUGCAAUUAUGUAAAAUAUCAUAAGCUAUCAUAUGAUAGGCUAAUAUUUUUGUCAGUCUAGGCUAAUAUUUUUGUCUAUCUAUGUUAAAACAGACAUAGAUAGUAUAUAAUAUAUCGUUGUCUAUCAUAAAUAGAUUGUGUUAUUUUAUUAUAUUUAUUAAGAUUUUGGUUCAUUUUGCUAUAUUUGAAGACGACCUUUAAAAUUCUUCACCACAGUGUCUCAAGAAUAUUGAGUUUCUCUAAAACUCGUUAUCACGAAUACGAUGUUGGAUACAGCAUAAUCACCCUUAUUUAACUUUGUGAUAAGUUAAAUAUUUUAAUUGUUAAGUUUUGGUGUGUUCAAUAAUUUGAUAUAUAUUUAAAUGGCUUAUGUACACACCCCUAGUAAAUAAGUUAUAUAAAAGAGGGUGAGCAAAACAUUAUUAGAGAAAAUAUAAGAACAUCAUCUAUUUGAAAGUGAGAUACUACACAAAAUACUAAAAGAGAAGAAAAAUGAGCAAAAAUAUUUUGGAACAAAAAAAAUGGAAAUUGCAAAAAUCACCCCCAAAGUAAGACUGUCCUUGUAAUAAUUAUAUCAUUUAAAAUUAAAAAUUAAACCCUCAAACUUAUAUAAUUGUAUAAAUUUUACACACUACAAGAAAUUUCGUCUUUGCCAACGUAGAGAAAACAUUUAUGUUGACGUUUUUUUUGUGUGAGAACGUUGCAUGGUCGAAACACCGUCGUCUCUUCCUUUGUCCAUGUUUUUUUAUGUUGUGUGGGUAGAAAUAUUGAUGCAAAUUAAAAUUGUGGGUAAAAAAUAUAUUUCUAGCCACAAAAAAAAAAAAAAAAAAGAACACAUCGGCAGAAAGGUAUUUUUGGCCACGAUCAUCAUCACGUCGGCAAAAUACAUUUUUUGACCAUGAAAAAAUGCAGACAUAAAGGUAUUUUUACCCACUAUCAUCAUCAUAUUGGCAAAAAUACAUUUUCUGGCCACGAAAAAAACGUCGACAGAAAGAUAUUUUUACCCAUGCAUGGUCAUCAUCAUGUCGACAAAAUAAACUUUCUGGUCAUGUUUGUUUCGUUGGCAGAAACAUCAUAGGCAAAAACUGUUUCUGUCAAUGAAAAGAUUUUUGUCAUCAAAAACAAAAAAAAUUCCCACACUAAAUUCGUCAGUAAUUAAUAUUUGUCCUUUUUUUGCCCACGCACCGAAAGUCGCCAGAGUUUUCUAAUUGCCAACAUAUUUCUAACCACAAAGAAUGUGGCAAAAACGAUUUUUUCACAUUUAUUAUUAAUAUUGUAUGCUUAUAAUUAAUUUUUAAAUAUAGAAUGAAUUUUCUAACUAUAACAAAAUAUAUUGAACACUACGACAAAAAAUUUAAAAAUGAAAAUAUUUUCAACCAUUAAUAUUUUGUCAAAAUAUGACAAUCAAUAAUUCAACAAUAAAACAAUAAUUCUUUAAUUAGUAUGUCAAAGUUCAUGAGUUAUAUUAAAUUUCAUCUUGACAUAUCAAAAUGAACAAAAGAAUAUUAAAUACACAAAAAAUAGUUAACUCAGUCAAAAAGUUUCAAAAAAAAUACUCAUUCAAACUACCUAAACCUGAAAAAAGGUACAUUAAAAUGAAUAAGUUGUAGUGCGACUAUGAAACUAAAGUCUAACUAAAAAUGUGCAAAGUGUCUUAACUUUCAAAGCCAACUUACAAAAUAAGUUUCAAAUGCCUAAGUUUGAUCACAAAAUGCAAAACCAACUACACAAAUAAAUCUAAAAAGUGUCUUACUUCUACAAAUCAUCCGAAAAGCUAAAUAAAUAUCAUAUACUUUAAAAUGUCAUGUAUGUUUCAACGCAUCCAAAGACCUAAACAUGUCAUAGUUUUCAAUCAAAAUGACAAACUUAAAGUCCUAAAAAAAGUGAAGAUUCAAACAACAUACAAUUGGCCUAAGUGUCUAAGUGUCCAAGUCUCCAAGUGAUACUUCUAAACCAUAAAAAUACAUGCAUGAUUGGCUACGGUAACUGGAUAGCAACACAUAAUAUUAAAACAUGCUUUAACAAUAUAAUUUUUUAAGAAAAAUUUACGGUGGGGAAGAAAGCAACAAAGAAAACCAGGGGUGGGUUGCAACAAAUAAGGCGAUGAGUUUGUGAGGUGGCUGUUCACCGAUGUCCAGUACGAGAAAAACGUGGGAGGGUGGUGUUUUUCCAAGAAGAAAAGAAAAUCGGGGGGUGGGGGUCUGUCAAAAAGAAAACGGGGGAAGGAGGGGAAGGGCUUGUGAAAGAGAGGGAAUAUACGUGGGGAAAGGGAGGGAGAAGAAAAAGUGAAAUUAGGUUUUUAUUGAAAAAAAACUUAUGGCCACGUUAUUUGUGUCGCCAUAAGUAUGUAUAACAAUGUGGAGUUUUUCACCACGAAAAUUACGUCGUCAAAUAUUUAAAAUAUUUGUCUACACACAAUAAGUGGUCAUAAACUAAAAUAAAUGUCAGUAGAAAUUCAAAUUAAAAAUUUUCUUUUCCACCAUACAACUUUUUGCCCAUGUAUAUAUUUUCGUUGACAAAAACGAUAAUGUGCCCACACAAUACACAACUUUUUGUCCAUGUAUAUAUUUUCGUCGGCAAAAAUGAAGAUGUGCCAAUGGAAUGAAUUUACGUCAACACAUCAUAUCUUUCCCCAUAUUUUUUUUCGUUGCUAGAAAAAAAUGUCGGAGAGCAAAAAAUUCUUGUAGUGACAGUUAUUACAUAAGUUUGAUGAUUUAGUUCUCAUCAUUUGUGAGUAGAGAUGUCCACGGAGCAGGAAGGGUCUGGGGAUGCUACUCCCCAUCCUCGUCCCCACCCCUUUCCCAUUCCCUAUCCCCACCAAUUUUUCUAUGAAAAACGAGCAUGAUUCCCUGCGGAAAAAUAUUUCCUGUGUUUUUUUUAAAAAGUUUGAUCUCAUUUUUCAAUCCACAUUUACUCGAAAUGAAUAUACAUUUUUAAUGUUAUUUUAUUUUUGAUAGAAUAUGAUCAAUUUUUUUUAUUUAAAAUAAUCACAAUGUCAAAUUCUCGAAGUAUAUUUAAAAAUAAUGAAAAAAAAAUUAGUAUGAAAAAAAAUUAGAAAUGGGGUAUAACCCAAAACUAGUAGUUUUGGAUUUUCAAAGGAAGUCGUGUGUCGGGUACACGACUUUCACUAAUCCACAUAACACAUACUUUGAUCAGUUUGACCCACGUAAUGGAAGUUGUGUACCGGGUACACAACCUUCUUUAAAAAGAAUUAUUAAUAAAAAAAUUUGAAAUUCGAACCAUUGAAAUUGAAAACUAAAUGUUAAUAAAGAAAUAAUCAAAUUAAAAUUGGAUUUGAUCUCAAUUGAAUAAGGAAACAUAUUUUUAGGAUUGAAAAUUGGAAUAUUUAAUACAUAUAUAUAUAAAUAAAUAAUAAAAAAGUUUGAUAUAAAAAAAUAUUUUUCGAUUUGGAAUUUAGAGAUAUUGAAUAUAUACAAGGGAGUUUUAAAAGUAAUAGAUUUUACAAAAUACUUACAACCUAUAGUAAAUUCUAUGACUAAUAUGCUAUAGUGAUAGAAUCAAACCUAUAUGUAUGUAACCAACUAAUUUUAUCUUACAUUUUUUUUAUAUUCUUUUUUAAAAAAUAAUAAUGACUAAGAAAAAAAAUAUCUGUAGAGAAAGUUGGUAGAAAAAAAAUUGUUAAGUGAGAAUCAUUUCAUUAGCCUAGUGUCUUCAUUCUUUUUUUUCUACUUUCUCUUUAACAAAUCAAAUCAGGUUGUAAUAAACUUAGUUGAAGAUUGCAUUUGGUAGGAAUUUACUCCUAAAGAUCCUCACCUCAUGCAACAAGCCAUCACGGAUUUGAAUUCUUAUUUUUCUUUUCUUUUAUUUUGAAAAGAUAGAGAGAAAGAAAAGAAAAUGUAUAAGAAAAAUACAUUUUUGUUAGCUACAUUUUUUUAAAAAAUCCUUUAGCCUUUUUCUUCUCUUUAAAAAAAAUAUGGAGAAAGAAAAAAACAUAAAGAAAAUGUUUGUUUUUUUAAUUAUCGUCAUUUUAUUAUUAUUUUUUAAAUAGAAACUUUUGACCUUAAUUUUAUUUUCUCUAAAAUAUAGAGAAAAAGAGGCGAGAAUGGAGAAUAGAUGAAAUUUUAUCAUUAUUAUCAUUAUUACUGUUAUCAUUAUUAUUAUUCUUAUUAUUGCUAUUUUCUUUUUUCACUGUUUCUCUCUGUUUACUUAUUAUUAUUGUUAUUAUUAAUUAUAAUAAUAAUAAUUAUUAUCAUUCUUAUUAUUUUUAUCAUUACUGUUUUUUAUUUCGUUUAUGGGGGGCAACACCCGCUUGCCAUUUUCUUUCUUUAUUUAUACAUUCUUUCUUCUUUUUCUUUUCUUAUUUUAUUUAAUGUUAUCAUGUCUCCUUUCUUUACUUGCUCACAUUACUAUUGUUAUAUACACUUGAAUGUAAUUUUAAAUAUUUUAAAAUCCUUCCAAUUAAAAGUUUUAAUUUUUUAAAAUAAUUUUUUAAUUUUUUAAUAAAUUUAUCUUUAAUAUUAUAAAUUUUGUAUGCUUUUCAAAAUUUUCAAAAUUUAAUGUACGAUUUGAUAAAGUUUCAUAAAUCAAUCUUUUCUAUUAACUUAAUCAUUUUUUUAAAUAAAAUCGUAUGUGUAAUCUUGGAAGUUUGGUAGUAUGAUUUCUUAGAAUUCUUCAGGUGAGAGAUUAAUAUCUCUAUGAGUACGAGAUUUGAUAAAAAAAAAAUGAAUUUAAUUAAUAUUUUUAAAAAUAUCUUUAUUCGAAGGCUAGCCUAGAAUAGAUUUUGAGAAUUAGUAAUGAUUUAUCAUUUUCUUUUAAAUUAACUCUUUUGAAGACGCUGACCACUCGGCGUCAUCUCGGGUACGUGACGACAAUAUAUAUAUAAAUAAAUAAAUAAGUUGUUAAUAAAGAAAUAAUCAAAUUAAAAUGGAAAAUGUAAAUUUAAUAAGAAAAUUGGAGAUUGAGAUAUUUAUUACCUCGUGCAUUGCAUGUGUAUAUUUUGUAACUUUAAAUAUAUAUUAACAUUUGGAUAAAACAUUACAAAAUAGGUAUAGUUAAAACUAAUUCAAGUUGAUAUAUCUACCCAUUUGUAUGUUAAUACAUUCUUAUGUUUUGCAUAUACUUAAGUGCUAAUUUUUGAAUUUUUAAACUCUUGAAAAUUUUUCCAUAAUAUUAUUUUUUAAUUUAAAAAACUCUAUUAACUCGUUAAAAGACAAAAAAAAAUUAACAUCCCUCGAUAAUUCUUCAAUAAUAUAUUUACAAUGUGAUAUGUUUACAUAAUACCAAAAUCUAAUAUGAAUACGUGUGAAAAAGUUAGAUUAAAUGAUUUUUUUUUAGAGAUUUUGAUACAAUUAAAUGAACACUUUUUUUAAAGAUAAUGAUUGUUAUUAAUUUUAAUUAAUUACACCAAAGAGUUUGGCGAUUUUUAUGAAAAACAAUGGUCCGUUAAAGAAAUAUACAUAUAAGAUAAAAAAUGAACACCAAAACUAAAACUAAAAUAUUGAAUGAUUUUGUUUGUAAAUUGUAGGCUGUAUAUUCAUUCACAUACUUUUAUUCUCAAACUCUUUUCACUUUCAACUAUAUUGUUAAUAAUUAACAAUUAUUCAUGGAUUAUAUAUUAUUUAAAUUAUCCAGAUCAUUAAUAUCUCUAUUCACCUACACCAUCUCAUAUAUAAGUGAAAUUAGUGAAUCAGUUUAGUUUUUUUUGUAUGAAUCAAUACAAUUUUGGAUCAAAAGAAAAAAGAUUAAACUAUGUAGUUGUAUAUUUAUUUGGGUGAAAAAUUGACCAUAUAUGAAGAAAAUGAUUGAGUUAUAACAAUCUCAUACAAAUAAAACGAAAAAAAAAAGUAAAAAAAAAAAUUAUCAUAAGUUAUCAUAAAAUGACAAUACAGAGAAUUUGAUAGAUUUUGGUGGAGAUUAAUACAUUUAAUUUAGUAGAAUACAAAAAAUUGAAAUAACAAUUAGAAAAAGAAAUAAAAUUAAAAUUAAUAAUGUUGAAGUAUCUAAUAUAUGAUAAAAGAGGGAAGCUCACAUGAUGUUUUUCUUCCAUUUUUGUUUGUAUAUGCUUGAGUCGAGUCUAACUUUAAUAAUUGUUUGAUGAGAAAAUUUUAAAGAUAGUAGAUUUUACAAAAUAUUUACAACUUAUAGCAAAUUCUACUAUUCAUAGUUAUUUAUAUGCUACAGUCUAUUAUUGAUAGUCAUUCAUAUGCUACAUGAAUAGAAUCCAAAAUUUUAUUAUAGCUUGUAAAUAUUUUAUUUUAUUUUGCUAUUUUAAAAAAUGCUCCAUGUUUAAUAUUAAAAUUAUUUAUUUAUUAUAUUUAAAAUUAUAAUAACUAAAUAAUUUAUAGAUUAGAUUGAGAUCUAUCAUUUAAUUGAAUUGGUAACUUUUUUUUUUUUUUUAUUUUGUAUUCAUAUAGUACAAAAUACCAACGUAAUUAUGCCAAGCAUACAAAUUUGAGGAGCUUGAGUAAAACUAUAGCCAAUUUUGUUAGUUUAUUAUUUUCUUAAUCUUGGAAAUUCUUUUAAAAAAUAAUCAUAAUAAUUCAAAAGAAAAAAAAAAUCUUAAUCAUAAUUAUUUUCCUUAAAUUUUUUAUUAUUAAAUGUAUAUAUUAAUUUUUUUACUUCAUUAUCCUUUGUCAUGGUUUUAGCGAGAUAUAGUGUAAUAUAUAAUUAACACGAACAUGAAUAAGAAAAAUGAAGAUUGUGACUAAUCUAUAUUUUUUAAUAACAAUAGUAACACAUAACAUGUUUUUAUAAAAAGAAAUUUAAUAAGGAUAAUAACAUGAACAACAACCCUCCUUGACUAGGUGAGGUUGUUCAGGUGAUAGAAAAGAGAAAAAUGUAACUUCACUUUCCAAAUAAUCAGAAAAAGAAAAAAUGAGUUGUGGAUUGAUGAAAAAAAUACAGAUACAUGAAGUAUUGUUAUUGACUACCUCCUUCUUCAUCCCACUUUCUUGGACUUUCUUCACAUAAAUUGAUUCUUCAUUAUGUAUUUAUAUUACUUAUGGUAGAAUUUUGACAGUUUUGAGUUUCAACAUUAUAAUAGCAACAUUAAAAGUGAAUGGUUAUCUUCCUCAUAAUUAUCCAUUCAAAAUUAACUUAUCAGUUACAAGUAUUAAUUUAGUUUUUUCAUUUUUUAUGUCAUAUAUAUAUAUAUGUGAAGAAAAAAGAAGAAAAAUAAAAAAAAAAGUUUGUUAAUAAGGAAAUAAUCAAGCUAAAAUUGAAAAGUUGAUAUUAAUUUAAUUAGAAAAAUAUUCUUAGGAUUGGAAUUUAAAUAUUGAGAUAUUUAAUAUAUAUAUAAUUUAAUUAUGAAACAUAUUUAAUAUAUAUAUAUAAAAAAACAAUAAUGAAGGUGUGGAUGUUUGACCUACAUAGAUGACAACUCAUAUAAGUUGUGAAUCCCGUCCACGACCUCGGCUUAGUAGGCGGACAAUUCACUCAAAUAUAUACUUUCCCUUUUACCUCUAUUUUUUAAAACUAUUUUUUAAAAUAAUAUUAUUUAAAAGAAAUCAAAUUUUCAUUGUUUAUAAAAAUAAAAAUUCAACUAUUAGAAGAUACGUUUAGAAAUCCAUCCAUAAAAUUCAAUAGUCCAUACAAAAAAAAAUAAAAAAUUAAUCCAUAAGUAUCCUAUCAAAGCUUUUAAUUACAUCAUAUAUUUUAAGACACAACAACAUAAUUUUUUAAAUAAAAUUUACAAAUCACAAGUUACAAAUUCCAACUUAAGAGACAACAUAUACACGUGUACUUUUUUUAAAAAGUUCAUAAUAUAGAAAUGGAAUUAGGGGGAAAAAGUUCAUAACAUAGAAAUGGUAUAGAGAACAAAAAGAAAGGAGGAAGAAAAUGAGAGAAAUGUGGCGCGCACCCCUAUUAGCUUUUUUUUUUUUUUACUCUUUUUACGUAUUGUUAUAUAUAUAAACAAUUAUAUUUAUAUAUAAUUAUAUUUUUUGUUCAGGGCUAGGUUUGGGGCCUGGGAUUGUAUUCUCUGUCCUCGGUCUUGAGUUGCCAAUGGAGAAAAAAAAUUUCCACUCCCUCCCCCGUUCCUCGUGUAUUCGGAGAUUUCUCGUCCCGUUCAGGACAAGUCUCUGCAGGGCCCCCGCCCUACAUGUUAAAUGGAUAUGUCUUUUCAUAACAACCAUUUUCACUACAAGAUUACCAAUGCUUUUUUUAGUUCAACAAAUUACGAACGUAUAUCAAUAAUUUAAUUUUGAAGUUGAUCCUCAAGCAUAGAGAGUUCAAUAGCUGAAAAGUUUCUUAGAUAAAACUGAGCAAGUCAACUGAAUUGAUAUGGUACGUAUAUUCUAACGAUGAAUGGAAAAAAAAUAUUUUGUAGCCUUUAAUUCUAAAAUAAAAUAAAAUAAAUAUAUACCUAAGUAAUGUAAAUGUAAAUUUAAAAAUUGCAUAAAAAAAGAAACGAAAAAAGAAAAAAGAAAUAAUAAUACAUUUUUAAGUUGUUGCGAGAGUAGAAGUUUAGAUCAUCGACUUUGUUCAUUUUAUUUUCUAAAUUUUUGUUAGAUAACAAAUGACGGCUAGGAAAUAAGUGAAGGGUUUAUUAGAUUAUUUUUCCUCUUAUCAAAAAAAUUAUCUUCCUUUUACCAUAGUAGUGAAAUUUAUCAUUAAAAUUGACAUUUGGAGUUUUUGGAGAAAUAAAAUAAUUGAAAUUUAGAAAGAAAAUUAAUAUUUGAGGAAAGAAAAUUAUUGAAAUUUAGAAAAAAAAUUAAUAUUUAGGAAAAGAAAAUUAUUGAGAUUUGGAACAAAAUUAUUUUGUGAAAAUAUUUGCAACAUGGAAUUAAAAUUUAGAAAGAAAUUAUUUGAAAUAAAAUAUAUUUUGUGAAAAUAGUUGCAAAGUGCAAGAUUUAAAUAUUUAUGUUAGUAGUUACGAAGUAGGGACACAACCACUACACCAGAACCAAACUUGGGUUAAAAUACAACAUAUUAUUCAAUCUAUAUUGUAAACUGACACUUCAAAAUUAAUAUUAAAAUACAAAAAUCGAUAAUGUGAGAGAGCACAUGCCUUCAUUGCCCCUUAAUAAAUCAGUCCCUAUUUGUGAGUCCAAUUUUUACAAUUAUUGUAAACUUUGAGGGUCAAAUUUUAUUUACAAGUCUAAGAAACCAAUUAUUACUUUUGAAAGUUUGAGACCGUAAUUGCAACCACCACCAUACUUUAAGAGUAGUUUUUACAAUUUGCCAAAAAAGAAAAAAAAAGAUAUAAAAGAUAAUGUAGGUCUCUUAUAUCGAAAGAACAAUUUUGUUUUGGUUUCACUCUCGAAGGUCCCAUAUCACUAGAGUAGUUGUCCUCCAUCUUUUAUCAUUCUCUUAUUUAGCCAACGCAAGACUUUGGUUGCACUCAAACAAAGAUAAACUUACUAAGUUAUACAUCUCAUUUGUUAUAAUAGUGGUCGUUAAUAUGGUAGGAAGAUAACAACUACGAAUUAAUUAAAUAGUAAAUAGAAAUGAAUAAGACAUGAAAUAAAUUAAAAUAGGUUUAGAUGGAAGUAAGUAGAUUAAAAGUGAUUAGUUAAUGGAGAUAGUAAUCUUAUUUUGAUGGAAGAAGAAGAAUAGCAAUACAUGAAAAGGACAUAAAUGAGAUGAAGGGAAUGAAAGAGUUUGAUAGAAUUAAUAUGACUAAAGAAAAAUAAAAAAGAGUCAACUUAAGGGAAGAAAGGACAGAGAAGUACUUGCCAAACUAACUCACUUUUCACUUUCAUAUAUACUCAAAGUUAGUAGCCAAAUGAAUGAAUUGGAUACACAAUGUCAUUACGUAUAUGGAAACCAAAUUCUCUUUAGAUAUUUUUUUUCUCACUUCACUAUUCCAAUAAUAUUCUUCCAUGCAUAAAUAUCUUAUAUGUGGAGUCUACAAAAAAGAAGAAAAAGAACAUUAAAUUUCCUACUUUUUUUCAACCCAAACAAAAUCACGUGUAUAAUAUUAUCCAACCAUAACCUACCAUUCGGAUUCGGUUUUAGGUUUUUCAAAUUUAUUCCGCUAAUAUGAGUUUGGCAUGACAAUUUGUAUUCGAGAAUUUUUUUUCGAAUUAUGUGAUAUCCAUCUAAAUAGUAAAUUUUUUGAAAACAAUAUAUUUUUUUUAUUGUUUUGUGUAUCUAAAUAAUAUUGGACGUGAAAUAUUGAAACGAAGAAUUGUAUUAAAGAAAUAUUUAAAAUAUUUAAAAGUAUAACCAAAUAUCAUAAUUUAUCUGUGAUAGACUGAGAUAGAUUGAGACAGACUAUUAUUUAUGUUUAUUUGUAUCAUGAUAGACAUAUAUUAUAGUUUAUUGUAGUCUAUUGUAAACCGAGGAUGAUAUUUUUUUAUAUUUAUAAAUUUUUGGUUCAAUUGAGAUGAUAAUACAUUUAGUGUUUCAUGUUAUGAUUAAUUUUUGUUUUGUGAAAUCAAAAUAUGUAUAUUAUUAUUAUCAAGAAUUAUGUGAUAUUACAAACUAUUAGUUAUUACAAAUUUGUUUACACAAAUUUAGUGACUUUAUAGUUAUAGAUAUAUAUUAUAUCAAGCACAUUUGACCAUUGUUUAAAUUUGAAUUCAACCUCUAAAGUUUCAACAUCAUUAUUCAUUGGAUGUUUAUUAGUGAGAACAAGAGUUAAUUAAUAUUUUUAAAAUGUACCUAGUUCAAUUAAAAAAUGGGUAUACCAUCGUCGAUGAAGAGGUCUAAUCUUUCAACCCUUCCAAUUAAUAUGUUGAACUCAAAAGUGAUUAAUUCUUUUAAUACUCAAUGCAAAUAGAUUAAAACUAUAAGAAUUCUUUAAAGCUUAGAAAUUGAGGUUUGAUCAAUUUUUAAAGCUUAGAAAUUUCUAAUCUUAGUCCCUAAUAUGUUUGGCUAUUUUAUUUUCUAUGAUCAUUUAAAAAUAUUUUUUUAAUUAAGUGUAACUUAUAUUAUUUCAAUUUAACAGUCCUCAAAUUUGUUCCAUUUAUCUUUCAAAAGGUUUGUUAUUUGAACUAAGUAGAAUGAAUACACUUCUAGAACCUUAUCUUUUGAAUUUAUUUCAAGUUUCAUUUUCCCAAUAAUAAGAACAAUCAAUGUAAUGUCACUUUCUUAUACAAAAGUGGGGGAGUUGCCAGGGAGUUCUAAAAAAGUGGUAAGAACUUUAGCAAUAAUUGCUAACAUCUAAUUCAUAUGUGUAUGAAAGAGAUCAUGGCUAUGUUUGAAGAAUGAAUAUAUAAUGGAAGAUUGGAAAAAAGAAAAAGGGUUAGCUGCUAGGGCAAGUGGGAAGAUGAUAUUGAUACCUUAACUGGGGACAGUCUUCUCAUCUUUCUAACAUUAUUGAUCAUUUUGGCUUCUAAAGCUUUUACAUAAAACUCUUCUUUCAUCAUUCACACAAACAAAAAUGGAAACUUUUUCAUUAUUCCCAAUCCUUAGCUUAAGGCCCUCAAACUCCUAUUUGCUACCUAUUAUUUGAUUUUCGAUAUCCUCCAUGAAAGAUAUACUCUCUCUCCAUGCAAAUACAUGAUAAUUUGUUCAUGAUGUACCCAUCAAACCCUAAUUUCCUUUUUCUUUUUCCUUCAUGAUUUUGCAUCCUUUUGUAUUGACUAAGAUUGGUUAAUAAGCUCAUUUGUGAACCAUUUGUCUAUGUAUCAUGAUAGAAGAAUUAGUGAAUAUGUCGAUCUCUAUUUUCUCACAUGAAACUAAUCUUAAUUAAUAUUUGAGAAACUAUAUAUGUAUUUAAAAGGCUGACAAAGUAUCAAUAUCUUUAAUUUCAUUUUCAUAAAUAUAUCUAAUAAGUCAACUUAAAAAAUCAAUAUUUUCACCGUUAAAUGGUUGUUUCACAUCUAUGAUAUGGAUGAAAUCCAUACAAAUUAUUUGAUGCACAUAUAUAUAGGAAUUGAGUUAAUAGUAUCAUUGGAGAUGGUGACUGAUAAUCUUGUUCUUAUAUUAGAUAUUGACUUGAGGUAGAAAAUAUAAUAUUGACAUGUCAACUAAUCAGUAUCACCUCCACUUGGAUAGAAUUUUAUAGUAAACUAGAUUUGAUGGUUAAAAAUUCUCUAGAAAAGAGCUAAAAUAUCUUGUUCAUCUUAAUUAAUCUAGAAUAAUGGUGAUAAAAAACAUGUAAAUUAUUGAAAAAGUUAAAUAGAUUGAUCUUUUCUAUGACAAAUAUUUGGAAGACGGACGAGAUAGACAAAUGUGGACUUGAUAAUUUUUUUCGCGUGUACUGCUGUUCGUCUAAUCGGAGUUCUAAGAAAAUAAUAUUAUAUAAAUUUUUUAUUUAUUUAAAAAAUAAAACAAUUUAAAAUUUUCUUUUAAAGUCUAACAAUUAUUUCUUUAAAUAAAAGAUUUCCAUUUUAAAAUUCGUUUAACUAUUGUAUCAUUGCAUAUUUAUUUUUUUUAAUCGUUGAUCCGUUUUUUAUUCUUGACAACCGAGCCUAUAAAAUAUGCUCUCCUCUACUCUUUAAUUUAGAAUGGUGUGAGAAUAUUUAUCUUAUUCUCUUAGUUUGUUAUAUAUGUUCUCACUCGAUAGUUUGUUCCUCUCUAUUUUUCUAUACAAUUUGAAGAUAUUAACAUUAUGGUCGAUUCUGGUGCAAUUUCAAUUGAGACAGAAGUUAUUUGGAAUGUUUUAUUCAGAAGACAACAUGAUAACUAUCUCCAAUUUGCUUACACUUCGGGCAAAGGGAGCGAAACGUCUUGAAAAGAACAUGAUCAACGAUUCAACCAUUAACAUGUUUUUGUUUUCCAAAUUCUAUUUGUUGUUCUAGUUUUUUGUUUAGUCUCUGUUCCAGUAUUGUGGUUCCACAGAUCCGAUGUUUUUCGUUGGAGUUUCUAUUUAUGUAUAAUUAUUAUGACAUAAAUAUAUAUCUACAAAUAAAUGUAACAUAAAAAUUUUACACGCUUUUAAUUAGUUAUAAAAAUUAAUAUGGUGAUAAAAUAUAAAAUAUAAGAAACGAUAAAGUAUUAUUAAAAAAAUUUCUUCUAAUUAUUUUUUAAAAAAAAAUAAAAAAACAAAGAAAAAGUAAAUUGACCACAAUUUUGCUUUCCUUUAUUAAAAGUAGAUAAAAGUAAAAAUUGAAAAACAAGAAAUGAAAAUGUGACAAAAUGAGGCCAAACUAACAAAAGUCCUUAUAUAUUUAUUUUCUCUAACCAACCAAACCAAUUGAUAAACCACUGUUAUUGAAAUGAUCACCUUCUUAUAUAAAUAUCAUUAAAAAUAGAUAUCCUAUUAUCAUUAUAUUUGCGAGAGUAUCUGUUGUGUCAUGUGUUAUUUUUCUUUAUAUUCAAUACCUUUGUCGUGAAAUCUCCCUCAAGCUUGCCAAUUUAUAUAUAAAUAGUGACAUUUGAUGGUGGAUACACGAUAGAACAUAAUUUUCAAAUAAAUGGAAGAAGGUUGACUUUUUUUUAAAGAUUUUCUUAUUUUUUUUAAUUUAUUGUUUAUUUUCUUUAUAUAUUAUAUUUUAUUCCUAUUAUGUCAUAUUUUUACAACACAAGCUCUAGUUGUCUUCUUCAUUGAAGGUAGGUUGGUUUUUCUUUCAUUUUAUUGUAAUUAAUAAAAUAAAAUUUAUUUUGAACAUUUGAUAUAUAUUAAAUUUAUAAUAUAAUUACAAUGUUUUGUAAUAAUAUUACCUUAACAAAAUAUUCAAUUUUUUUUUUAUAAAAUAACAAUUUCUACAAUCUUUUUUAUAAAAUAACAAUUUCUAUUAUUUGAGGUUCCAAAAUUUCAAAUCAAUAUAUUACAAAAGAAUUUUUCUAUGCUUUCAGAUAUGCACUUACAGUAGCUAUUUUGAAGAAUAUUAUGUACUUAUCUAAUGUCUUGUCGUAGAUGAACCAAAUAAUUAAUAACACAUUGUUAUCUAGUCAAUCAAAGAGAAAUUUAUUGAGUUUUAAAAAUAUAUGUUGCAAUAGUUAUCAUAUUAAGACUAGUAGAAAUAAUGUGAUAGAAUAUAUUUACAUAAUAUCUACAGUCUCAUACGAAAAAUGUAUAUUUAAAAAAUUGUUUGCUUUUAUCUUCUAGAUUAUAUUAUACUCACAUAUGAGGUAAUUGAUCAAAUAUACGCAAUAAUGAACUUGAGGUUCAUGAAUUAGACAUGUUUACAAUUUGACGUAAUCGAUUGGAUCAUCCAGGGUCUAUAAUAAUAAGAAGAAUCAUUGAAAAUUCAUAUAGACAUCCAUUGAAGAGCCAACAAAUUGUUCAAUCUAAUGAAUUAUUAUAUAUGAUGCUUGCUCUGAAGGCAAAUUAAUAAUUAGAUCAUCAAGAACUAAAAUUGGAAAUUGAAUCACCUAUAUUUUUUAGAACGAAUUCAUGGUGAUAUAUGUGGACCUUUUAUUCUAAGUGAACCAAUUAAGUAUAUAUGGUAUUAAUAGACGCAUCCAGAGAUGGUCACAUAUAUGUGCUUAUUAUUAAUUCACCAAAGAUUGACAUUUGGUAAAAUUGGUAAGAUAGACAUAUUCGUGAAAUUUUCAAAUAAAUGAGAGAAAGUGGAUUUUUUUAGAUUUUCUAAGUUUUUAAUUAUUUAAUUGUUUAAUUUAUUUAUAUAUUAUAUUUAAUUGUUUUAAUUAAUAAUAUUUUUUUGAUUGAUUUUAAUAUCUGGAUUGUCCCUCAGUUUUUACCACACAAUGUUUUUUUUGUUUGAACUCCAAAAAUGAUUUGGUCAACAUUGCAAGUUGUAAGAUGGCUAAUUUAUAAUUUCCAAUCACACAACCCAACUUUUUGACAUAAUUGGCAACUAGAAAACAAUAAUUAUCCAUCUUAUUAACCCUUACAAACCCACCAAACUCAAUGCAAAUAGAAAAAGGCAAAAGUAUUCAAAACCCACCAACCAAAACUAUUGAAUUAAUAACUCAAAAGAAAAGAAAAAAAAAAAGAUAAAGAUAUAUCUUAUAUGAUACUAAAGAACACACCCCACGAAAGAAAAAACCCCCUACUUUUUAAGUAUCAUUUUCAAUUAAUAAGCCAAAUGGGUGAAUAUGGAUGGUAGGUUCAUGAAUGGGGAAUCAGCACAGUGAUUGGCCAUUAUCAUUGUACUGUUUUUCUUCCUUUUAAGCUACCAAAACCACAUGACUUAACUUUUCUCAUUUAUAAAAAUGUGAAGUGAGGGUUUGAAUUUUGAAAUAAAAUUUGAUUUUCAGUCCCCCCAUCUCAAAAGAAAAGUCCCUGUUUCUUAAAGUCUUAUCGAUGUACUAUUUUGUAGACUUACAUACAUAAAUCAUGGCAAAUUUAUGGGGAAAAAGUGAGGAAAAGUUGAUCCAUUGGGAUCACAGACACACACAUAUAUACUUUGUAUACAAGAUAAUUACAUGCAUGUGAAAGAAAAAAGCAUGCAUAUAGAUACUCCUGUAUAUGUUAUCUAGAAACAAGAAUGAGUGUUUUACGGUACAUUGUAGACGCGUAAUUUGAAUGUAAUUGAAAGUAAUUACAAGAGCGUAACUAUUCAUUUCUCAUAAUUGAGUUUGAGAUAUGCCUGUCUUUUUUAAUAUAUCCCAACAAGAAAAAAAAAAGUUUGUUUGUCCAAGAAUGUUUUACUAUUAUAGAACUUAUUUGUUGUAGUUUAAAAUUCUAAAAACUUUAAAUUGGAGUAGAAUAUUCGGUCAACAUAUAUAACUCUAGCUUAUUUAUUUGGGCAUUUUUAAAAAUAGCAAAAUAAAUCAAAAUAUUUACAAGUUAUAACAAAACUUUGGAUUAUAUCAAUGAUAACUAUGGGUAGAUUUCUAUCACUGGUAUUCAAAUAUAUUAGUGGCCAUCAAUGUCUAUUAUUGAUAAAAUUUGAAAAGAUUGUUAUAUGUUGUAAAUAUUUUGUCAAAUUUACUAUUUUUGGUAAUUUAUUUAUUUAUUUUUGUUUUAGUAUGAUAACUUUUCUUUUUAAUUUUUGUUAGUGAUCACAAUAAUUUCCACCACAGUUUCUUGUGAUUUAUGACUUAAUAUAGUUGUGGGUAGCAAUUAUGAUUUAAAAUUGUUUAAUUUAUUUUCUACAAUUAGUUCAUCAUAUAAUACUCAAAAGUUGGUGAAGUUGUAGGGCUCUUAAGCUUAUCCAACAUGUGAAUUAUAUUAAUGAAAAUUGGAUUGGAAAGACAAUAACAAUGCAACAAAAAAUCUCCCAAAUACAUUGUUUUGGUCACUAUUUUUCAGAAUGAUGCAUAUUGUGCAAUGAACCCAAAAAACUGAAAAGUAUAUUAAGAUUGUUCCACACUUUCUUUUUUCAACUAAAAGAAGCUUUUUAAGUAUUCUAUAGAAGAAAUUUAACAAACUAUAAAGAGGACGAAAAAUAAUUCCAUCUUGUAUGUACACAUGACUAAAUCAAAUCAACAAAGCUAUGAACAUUAACACUACAUCGUAUAUAAGAUGAAAAUAUACUUAAAACUAAAUGAAAAAAAGAAUACCAUAAAUCGAAAAACAUGUCCUAAAUCAUAGUUAUAAUAUGGUAUGUAUCUUCUAAAAACAUAAGAGAAAACAAACCUAUCCUAGCAAAUAUAUAUGCAGAUAUAAUUGGGAUGAAAAAGAAGAAAAAAAAAAUCCCAAAAAGGCUAUGAGAAUUGAGUAUUUACAUUAGAGACAUUGAAAUCAAAACAGUGGAUUGAUAUGUCAUUUCUCUUUCAAACAUUUAUGAUUGAAGUGUUUGUAACACAAAAGGUUGGCCACUUUGACACAUAAGAGAUUUAUUGUUAUUUAUUUAUUAUUUGUUAUUAUUGCAUUGAUUCUUAGUAUUUUGUAGGCAUAUAAAAGAAAAAAGGUAGAGUGUUUCUUGGAAGUUUCAAGGCAGAGGACAUAUCUUUGUAACUUUGUACACAACAAAUAUGCAACAUGUCGUGUUUUGCUAAAGAUUCAUUUAAAUCAUUAUUUUGUUUGAAUUUCUUUUGGAAAAAAUAUAUUCAUCUUUAUUUUUACAGUAAAAAACACCCUAUUAUUAUAGCUCUAUAUAUACUCAUUUUUGUAGGUCUCCUGGAACAUUUGUUUUAAGUUCUUGUAAAGGUCAGACUGAUCUUUACAUAUGUUCGAUUCUAAAACUCCGUCUUGUCAAUUUCUGUUUUACAAUAAUUAAAACCGCGUUUCAAAAGUGUAUCAUUUGUAACAUAUAUACGCGUUUGUACAAAUUUGUUUACUCCUUGUCAAGUAAUAAAAGUAAAGAAACGCCAAACAUAUAGUUCAGCUACAACUUGGUUGACACACUCUAUUUCUUUUCAACAGAUUAAAACUUCCAAACCUUUAUUAAAAGAGAGAAAAAUUAAUAUGUCCUAUCAUUUUUUAAUCUAAAUUUUCAAAUUUUCAUCCAAUUUUAGACCCUAUACUUAGUUUCCUGUUGCAAUUCUAUCCAAUUUUCAGGAAUUCAUAUACCUACUAAUGUAACUGAUCUCGGUAGCUAUAUGAUAGAAAAUACAAAUACUCAGAUUAGAAAGAAGAAGAAAAAGAGGGAAAUAAAGUCAUCUUAUUAUUAUAUUACAUCUAUAUUACAAUAUAUAUUUUAGAAUGGUUUUCGAUCGAAGGGAUUAUGAAUCGAAAAUGAAACGGUCUCUAGCUAAACUAUAAGCCAAAUCAUGGGGCUUGGUCGAAAACAUAUAUAAAUAUAUAUGAAACAACAUAACACCUUGCUUUGAUUAUUAAUUACACUAAUAAAUAACACAUGUGCUUUCUCACACUAUAAGUUCCUUGCACAGUGUAAAUGUCAGACAUGUCUUCAUAGUAUUGUCCAUGUGUCCAUAAAUUUUUAUGAAAAAAAAUAUAUGAACAAAGUGAUAGUGACAGCCAACUUUCAUAUUUCUUCAAAAUUCAUAUAUAUUUCUUCAAAAUACUAUAUGACAUGCAUGUUCUAUUUUGGACAUAAGAGAUAGUUGUUCGAACAUCUCUUUAUCUAACUAAUGUGCAGAUUUUUAGUCGCAUUUUCUAAGAAUCCUCUGCUCGAACAUUACAUGGACCACCAAGUCUUUCAAAUAGUUCUCCAUCUAUCUAACUUUUAUACACACUAACUUCUCUUUCUGGAGUGCAUUGCUUAUCCAAUAGAGUUCAACUACUAGACCAAGUUAUGAUAUACUUUUGAGGCUCCACUAUAUGUUUGUUCAACAUUUGAGGAUUUCUACCGAGAUAGCUAAAUCAGAGGCAUGACUAUGUCCUAAAACUUGUGAUAAUUUGUAAAUGUUAAAUUAUUCUAUUAUUCAAUAAAGUUGUCAUUGAGGUAUUAUUCAAUAAAUUAUUAUCAAAUAGAUGAUUUGCACGUUAUAGACUCUGAAUCCAAUAAACUAAGCUUCUUUGACUAUAGUAUGAACGCUAGAACCUUUAUUUAGUGAAAUAAAAGUGGAUCGCGUUCGAGUUGUUAAUCUAAAUGAUCUACAAUAUUGGUAUGAAACUCGUGUUCUGAAAUGCGUAAGGGUUGUUAGAGGUUGUAAGUAUUCAGUAUAAAGCUUAGGCGUUUUGAAGGAAAGAUUAAGAAUUUGGCGUUUCAAAGAGAGGUUGCAUUCUAGCAAGGUGAGGCGAGGAAGGUGUAGUUAUGUGUUCUGGCUAGUUGACACGAGGAAGGGUAAGUUGAAUUUUUAGCUAGGCGAAGAAAAAAAGUUGGGAAAAUUAAGAGGAUUCACUAAUUUGGGUUAGUCAGCAAGUUACAUGUUGGGUUAAAAUUAAUUAAGCAUGGUUAAAAGAAAUAUUGAACCUACACAUGUAAGUCACAAAGAAGGAGGUGACAAGCGAGAAUGAGUUUAAGGGUGACUAAUCUGGUUUGGGAUUAGUAUAAAUAAGCUUUGUAAUUAAGUCCAAAGGAUAGAGGUUACAAAGAAGUUCUAAGCGAAGCUUUAUCAAAAGAAAAACUAAGCGAUAAGGGGGAAGAAGAUCUAGGCGUUAACAAGGAAAUUAAGUAAGAAUAAAAAAGAAGGUUUAGCUUUGUGAGUGAUUCUUCUAAAAUAAGGAGUAAAGUUUUCUAAGUAUUUCUUUCAAAGUCAUGUUAUGUUGUUAUGUAAAGUGUAUUACUUUUUGUAUUCUUAUUUAUGAUUUAUUUGAAAAGUAUGACUAUUUGAAAGUAUUAUUUCUACGAGCUAAAGUAUAAGUUUCUUAUAAUGCUUGUAUGCAAGUAAACCAUUAACUUUAUUUUUAUCGAGAGCUAGCUAUUAUGUGCACAUAAAAGUAGUGACAGACCCUUGUGUUGGGUGAUUUGCUUGGUAAAAGGAAGGAUGAAUGCGCUGAGUGGUCCAUGUUCAAGUCUAUCGCCUGAGCAACUAGAGUUGAACUAGGGUCCACAGAGAUAUACUUGUGGUGAAAAAUGAGAAUCAUCACAAUAGUCUAUGUGUUGAUGAAGUUCAAUGUCCCGGUGAGAGGAAUAAGUAGAGGCUAAUGUGAUUUGUGUUGUUUAGCGCGUGAUGCGACAUUAAGACAUUUCUGAAAAUGAGAAAGUUUUUAUUGUGUGCUUGUGUCCCCCAAGAUGUUUUCUUGAAAUAUCACUCACUAAGCAAUAUUAGACUUAUGUUUUACGUUUUCUUUCCCUAGGCAAGCGAGGCAUGAAAGCUGCUAAGACGAAGCAAGCUACUAAUUAAGUUGCUAGGCGCUGAAGUUCUGAAACUUGAGUUUUAGUUUCAUUUAAAGUGUUACUUGUAUUUGUAUCAAAAUGUUCGAGGAAAUUAUUAAAAAAGUUGUUAAGUUAUUUCAAAGUUUAAAGUGCUACAAUUAUUUAUCCCCAAACACGUCCUUAAGAAGUUAAGUUCAAGUUUAAGGUUAAGAUUUAAGCGUUUUGGCACUUCAUUUAGGAGUGUUGGGAUUGCCCAAGUCACAAAACCACACCUAAAACACAAAGGAAUGUGUUCUGGGUAGGGGCGUGACAAUAGGAAUAUGGUUGAGCAUCUUAUUCUUGAGACACUAUGGUUGUGGUCCGCUUUAUAUUUAAUACAAAUGAUGUGAUCCUAAGCUCAUGUUGGCGAGAUAGUCACUUUUACAUUAUAACACCAUUUACUUUUUAAAACUAACUAUUUCGAUUUUGAUGACCUAGGUAACUCGAUUUUAAUCCUAAGCUAACUAUGAACUCCUGUUUUAUUUAGGAUUAUCCUUUAAUCUGCAUAGUUGAGAAAAUCUCACUUCCUUCUUCUCUAACUCUACUACUUUUUUUCCUUUGAUUUUAGCUCUAUUUAUAGUGACAUUCUCAUCCAAGGAUCACAUCCAUGCUUUACAUGUGUCUCCUUGCAAUUUUGUUGCGUCAUGCAGCUAAUCUCACACCUGACACAUGGUCUGAACAUCAACAUGCGACUAUGUGUGACAAGCACUACACUAGUUUACAUGUUAGCUCUUCUCUCCUUAAAAUAAAAUUCAUUGAUCAUAUCUUAAACUAAGUUGAAAAGUUGAGUCGUAACCGAAGUUGUCACAAAUGAAAAGGUCAGAUUUGUUUUUUCAUUUCAAAAUUUGAUAUAUUUAAAAUUUUGAUAUAUUUAAGAAAUACUUAUAUAGUAUUUUUUUUUAUUAAUGAAGCAUAAUUAUGAGGUGUUGGUAGAAGUCAAUCUCCCAUUUCCUUAUUUAGUGCUGCUAAUUUAUAAUCUUGUGGAUCAAACGAAAUUGGGAAGAGUGGUGUUCUUCAUAUCUUAUCGAGGCUAAAAAAAAUUAUCUAUGGCAUAAUAAUAAUAUUCUACAACUUUCCUAACUAUUUGGAUCCAAUUUCCUUCGCUUUGGAGUUGGAAUGAUAAGUAUUAUAUUAUCCUUUUGUUUUUUAGUAUAUCAUUUAAGUUAGUAUUUUUUAACUUAUAAUGUCCAAGAUUAGGAGGGAGUCAUAAAUAAACCAAUAUUACUUCUGAAUGAGAGGGAUCCUGAAGAUAUGAAAGUAAAGUUAAAAAAGAAUUAAAAGUUAAUACCUAUACCAAUAAGGUGCACAUUUCUUUUCGAUGACUUGAUCAUAGGAACUCCAAAGUUAAGUGUGCUUAGCUUAAAGCAAAUUCUAUGUUGAAUGAUGGGAAUAUUCCUAGGAUGCAUGUGAAUGAGGAUAAAACAUGCUGAAAUGACUCAUGUUGUUUUGUGGGGAGAAUUUUCACUCUAGUAAGCCUUAAGAAUAGUAAGGAUGAUGUUGCUAGUUUGCAGGGGAUGCAGGAGAAUACUGGAGAUUCGAAUCUUGUGCUUGGAACAUUACAUAACUAUUUUUUAGAAACUCGAGUGCCUUUUCUUUUUAUAAUUUAGCCUUAAAGGAAAGCAACCUCCCACAUUGAAAACUAAAAUAUAAAUUUACAAAAUAUCAUAUGACAAUUUAGUAGACUACAGAUAAACAUAAAUAAUCAUCUAUUAUAAUAGAUAGACUAUAAUAUUUUGCUAUAUUUUGUAAUAUAUUUUCAUUUGUUUGGCUAUAUUUUAGAUUAACCUCCACUCUUAUGGUAUAUUAUUUAUUAGAAACCAUGGUUUAAUUGUUUGAGGGAGGUCGGGAAUGUUCCAGUAAACAGUACUUGAUCUCAUGGUCUUAAUAGAAAGAAAAAUUAGUGUGGUAUGUAUAAGUUUGAUAAUGAUUUUAUGUUUAGUUUUCAAUUAUUACUGUUAUUCUUUUUAGAAAAAAUUAUGCAUUUUUUAUCACUAUUUAUAUUUAGUUUGGAGUUCCUAUCUCUAAAAACAAGAUUUAAAUUUUUAGUUAAAUUCUUAAAAGCGAGAAACGCAUCUUUAAAAACUAAUUAAAACUCAAAGGAUUAGUUCUUUAAAAUCUUGAUUUUAUUUUUUAAAUUUUGGUUAAUAAUUUUAAUGUUUCUUUGAUAAGGAUAAAAUUCAUAAGGAAACUAUAAGAAAACAAAUUUACUUUUAAAAAAUAAAUAAAAAUAAAAACUUUCUUAUCUUAUAAACCAUUUGGUUUUUUAUUUCUAGUUUUUCAAAAUUAAAUCCAUAAACAUCAAUUUUACCUCUUUUUCUUAUCUACUUUUUACCAUUAUUUUCACAACUCAACCUAAAAUUAAAAUUAAAAAUAUAUACUUUUUUAAAAAUUUAAUUUUGUUUUUUUGGAAUUUGACUAGGAGUUUCACUCUUACAUAAAAAAGAUCUAAACCAGUGUCAUAAUUUGAGAGAAAAGUAAACUUGAUUUUUAAAUAUCAAAAAAUAAAAACCAAAAUGUUUAUCAAACAAUAAGACUAAAAUAUUUUGAGAAUACAUCAAAUUACCACUCUGGCUAGAUAAGCGGAUGACUGUUGGCUUAUAAGCGAAGGAAGCUAGAUAAUAUCAUACCAACAUGGAGAUAUACCUAGAGCUCCUGGUCUCUAACAGGAACUAUUAGAAUCAUGUAUGAUCCAACUUAUCUAUAUAGGUAGAAUCCCUAGGACAAAGUGAAAUGCUCAAGUAUAAUUUGGUGGUUGAGCUUUCAAAAUAGGCAAUAUGGGUUCAAGUGGGGUAAUCCAAAGAGAUAACUCUUUGAGAGGAGAUUAGAUGACCCUUUGUUCAGGUGUAGGAUUAUUAAGAGUGCAAUAUCCUAAUUGACUUUAAGGGGAUGAUCUCAAAUAUGUCUUUGUAAUAGCAUAUGAGGUGAGACCUUUUGAGUUAAAUUAGAAGAAAAGCCAUUAACACUUAAAGUGGACAAUAUCAUUCUAUUGUUGAUAUAUAUAUAUAUAUAUAUUAUAUAUAUAUUUGAAGUUUUAUCGUCUCUAAUAAAAUGGUUAUCACCUAGAUCCUUAACCGACUUCUACCAUCGUAGAAAUAAUCUUUUGUUGAUCUAAUCCUAAUCAAUAUGAAUUUAAAGGGUUUAACAUGUUGUUGAAAUAUAUAUAUAUAUAUAUAUGCACUCAAGCAACUCAAGAAAGGAGUUGAGCAAGCAAGCAUGUCCUUGGAUUCAUUAAUUCAAAAGUAAGAUAGACAGAAAAAGUUGACAAGGAAGCUCUAUCAAAAGGCAUGUAAUUCAUCUAAAGAUGCUUUUCUAUUCUACUCAACACCCUAAGCUAUCCUAGGAUCAUCGUCAACUUAAUAUAGGGUAUUUCCCAAAUCAUGAAAACUCAUUCUAGAGAUUUAUUUUAUUCUAUCCUUUUAAGGAUAAGCUCCCAACAUGUUCAAUCAAGUGUAGAUAUAGAAGCUCAUUCUAGGGAGCAUUUAUUUCCCAAUCUAUAGCUUCCUUCCCUAACUAUAUUCGUGAUUAAUCAAUGUGUGGCAUUUUUAAGUUUGGUGCACUUUCAUUAUACCAAUUCAAGAGACUAUAUCUCUAACAACCGUCCAAUCAAAUCAUAUCAUAUGGUAUUUCAAGAUUUAUUACUAAAAUUAUUUAAUUUUUAAUACACCCAUUAUCUUAAUAAAAUUUGUCUAAUUCAAAGUAUAUGAAUGAUCAUCAUAUAGUGAUUUACUUUACCUUAUUUAUAUACUUUUAGUAACAUUUCAACUCCAUGGAUUAAAUUGAAUGUUAAGUAUGAGACCUAACAUACGUAAACAAUCAAACAGAAAUAGAUUGAAAACAUGUUGAAAUUUUUUAAUAUUAUUUUAUUGUAGUGAUAUAUAUUUUCUUUCUAAAAAGAGUUACUUCAUCUUAGAAUUUCUCUCCUAAUUUCUAUAUAUUGUAGUCAAGUGCUUGUUUUAAUGUGUUGGUGCAUGAAUGCUCAUAGUCAUGCUAGGGCUUGGUUAUAUUUUUCUCUUAUAUAUACUAUUUUAAUUAGUGUUUUUUUUUUCAAUAAUUGAUGUAUUAAUUUGAAUAUUCAAAUAAGAGCUUAAAUUAUGAACCUUACUACAACCUCAUGAUUAUCAAGUAAGAACAACGAGGCUUUUUGGCUUUUGUCUUAAGGGAUGAUUAUAAAAAGUAGGAUCAAUAUAAUGGUCACAUCAACAUGAGUAUGCUUCAAAGGGAAUAGUGCAUGUGUGCUCCAGAGACUAGUAAUCCCAUGCACACAUAUAUGAUUGGUAAUUGAAAUCUAACAUAUAUCAUUGGUAAUUGAAAUCUAUCAAAAGGAAUAGUGUGCUCCAAAAUAAAAGAAAAAGAGUACUUGAACUUGACAAAUAAGUAAUAAACUUUCCAUUUAAUAAGAGUGAACAGAAUAUAUAUAACCAUCAAAGAGGUUGAUGAUUCUCAAGAGUACAAUUGAAGUACUCUCAUCAGCUGAGGAAGAAAGGACGUGUUAAAAAGGGUUGAUUUUAUUAAAUUUAUCAUAAUUUACUAGUUAUUUAAACUUUUGGAUCAAUAAGUGGUUUAAAAUGGUAUUAGAGCAAAAAAAACUUAUAAAGAUAGACUAGAGAAAACAGAGUAAUUUUAUUAUUGAAACAGACUUGUAGUUUAUCUGGUGGGAGAGGAACAAUAUGCACUUUAAUUGAGAGGAAAUUAAAAGAAUUAUACGCUGGAAUUUAAUUACAAAGAGAUAGAUAGAGAAUACUCAAAACAUAUAUAUGAUUUUCAUAUUAAUAAAAAAAUAAAAGAUUUAAGCGAUGAUGAAUUAUACACAAUUAUAUCAACCAACCCAAAUAUGUUAGCUUUAGAAAGUGAUUUUAAAGAAGAAAAAACUGAAACUAUGUAGAUAGCACAAAAUCAAAGAUUCCAAAUCAGUCUCUCUCUUAAUGUAAUGAAAAUGUAUAUGAAACCCUCUUGGUUUUUUAGGCAUCAUAUUAUGCAAUAAUAUGAGAUCAUUUCACCAUUAAUUUCUAGUCUUAUAUGAUCUUCUUCUUGACUUUUCUACACAUGAAACAGUAAAUACCAAACACAUCAAAGCAGGUAGAAAGUUGGAAUCUUUAUUAAGAUAAAAGGAUAGGCAUAAAUGGGAAGAAGAAACAUAAUUAAGGGAUAUUCAAUUAUAUGUUAUUAUUUUAUUCAUGCCAACAAUAAUAAUCACUGUUCAUCAACCACGCUCUCAUUAAGGUUGCAACAAAAAUAUUUGGUUUAGAGAAGACUUGAGACCAUACCACCUUGUUUUAAGGAGAAAAAUUAGCUUAUAAUAAUAUUUAUAAGGAAAAAUACAUUAUAUUUUGUUUCUUUAUUUUAGAUUGGUUUUUAUUAAGUUUUAAGAUUUUCUAAUUUUAUCUCUUAAGAUUUGAAUUUUUCUUUCAAUUUCAUCUUUAAAUUUCAAUAUUCACACUCCUUUACAAACUUUUGAUAUAUUUAAAUGAGUUAAAAAACUAUGAGUAAUUAAGUUUUUUUUUUUUAAUUACUGUUAUAAUUAAAUUUAAUAUUUUUAUUUAGUGUGAAAUAUUAAUUAACAUGAAAAGUGCAUACAUUUUGAGAUCGAAUUUGAAAAAUAGUUUUAACAUUUUAAAAUCAAACAACUAUGUUAAAACCAAAUUCAAAAUUUAAUAACUAAUUUGAAAUUUAUAGGUUAAAUAAAUGCUAGAUUCUCUUAAUAUACUAAAAUUAGCCAAAUUCUUCUUCCUUCUCCUUCUUCAAUCUCAAUCAUAAUUGUUGCUUACUACCAAAUGAUGAAGGCAUUCUUCAUCACAAUCAAUUUAUAUAUAUAUAUAUAUACACACACACACACACACCCUCAUGCUUUACCAAUUCAUUAUCUUAUGUCGUUUUUCAUUUUUCAAUACAUAUGUUGUCGGGGGAGAGAAUAUAGUCUAUACCAUGGCAAAGAUUUUGGAUCUUUUUCCACUCAUUUAUAUUGGACUUUAUCAUGUGCAUAAUAAUAAUAUGCAUAUCUAUAUCUUUUUUACGUGAGAUAUUCAUCAUACCCAUUAAUGGAAAGUUUUUGGUUGAGAAAUCCUCAUCUCUUAAUCCCCACGCCAUCAAAUAAAUGAAGAAUUUGGAACGAAAUGUACGAGGAGAUCCAAAACCCCAACAUAUGAGUUCUUAGUGAUCUCACCAUUUAUUGGUAUUUGUUUAUAUUUUAUUAUGGAUCACUAAAAUCGAUUUGAUAAUAAGAGGAGUGAGCAGUAAUAUUUGGUAUAAUUAGUUCCAACAGCAUUCACAUUUACAUUAAUUUUACGUUUUGUAAACACCUAUUCUCUCUCUCUCUCUCUAUAUAUUUUCUCUCGCAUGUGUGUUAUUCCAGCUUUAUCUCAUCUAUCAUCAACACUUACUUGCAUCACCAUAAACACAAAUUCAACUAUAUCAUUAGAUGGGUCAACUAGGAGAAUAGCAAUUUUAAAGUUGUCAUAUUAAAGAAUAGUAAAAUCACUUUUAUUUUCAAAAAUGGCACCAUGAAAAAAAAAUACAAUAGAUAAGAAUUUGAAAAAAUCCAAAGUACCCCUAUACAUAAAAUGUAAGCUACUUUCUUAUAGCUAAAAUAGAAAAAAUACACUUUAAUAAAUUUUGAAUACAUACUUGUUAAAUCAGAGUUAGAACCCGUUGCAACGAUCUUCAGGUUUCAUUUUUCAUUUUUGUUUUUCGUUUCUCAUCUUCCAUUUUGAAAAUCUUUCUUCGUCUCCACUUUCCAUUUUUCUUUUUUGAUCUCAUCUUCUUCGAGCGAACAAACCCCAAUCUCCACCCUCUUCCAUUUGAAGUUUUAGUUUCAUCUUCUUUCGUCUCCACUUUCCAUUUCUCCUUUUUGAUCUCAUCUUCUUCGAGCUAGCAAACCUCGAUCUCCACCCUCCUCCAUUUGAAGUUUAAAUUUCAUCUUGAAAUUCAUCAUGCAUUUUCAAGAAGAAGAAUAUAAACAUUUGAAGCACGCAAACACUAUCUUUUCAUUUUCCAUUUUCCAUCUUUGAUUUUCAAGUUUACAACUUGUAAAGCUUGGGUGGAAAAACAAAAAUUUUCACUCAAAUAAAAAAGAUACAAAAUUUAUCUUCCUUGUCUAUCACGGGAAUUUUAAAUUAUUAUUUUUAAUUAAUAUUAUUUAUUUAAUAAAAUAUAUAUGAAAUUUAGGAGAUUUUAUCUAAAAACACAAUAUCUUAGCCUAUUUUAUUGAAAAAAAAUAAAUUAAGAUAAACUAAUUUUAAUUUCUAAAUUAUUAAUUGUUGAAAGGUUUUAACUUAUUUUGAAAUAGGGUUGAAAUUUAAUUUUCAAAUAAUAAUAAUAAAAAAGUUGAGAUGUUAAUAGGAAAACUAAUUUUAAUAAUUUCAAAAUUAAAAAUUUAAAAAUAAAUUAAGAUCUAAUACAUUAUUUUGAAAUAAAAAAGAUGAGGAAAAUGUUAGUAUUUUGAAAUAAAAAAAAGGUUAGAGAUUUAGUCAAUAAAAAUUAAUAAUAUUAUUAUUUUGAAAUAAAAAAUGAAUAAAGUCAUUAAAAUCUUAACACAAUAGUGAAAUUAAAAAAAAUGAAUAAAGUUAUUGAUAUCUUUUAAAUCCUCAUAUGUUGGGAAGAGGUUAUAAUAGGGUUUUCUACCUUAUUAAUAUGUCGAUGUUAAUUACAUACUCAUAAUUGCAUAUCACAAAUUAAUUAUAUUGGAAAGACUUUUGAUAAAUUCAUAAUUGCAUAUCACAAAUUGAUUACAUAGACAAGACUUUUGAUAAGAACAUAAUAUAUAAGAACAUAAUAUAUUGAAAUAAUUAGAUUAAUUACAUUUUUAAACCAAUGUUGAUAUAAAAUUUAACUUAAUUAAUGUUAUUAAGUUAAAUGAACAUGUUUUGAUUUAAAAGUUAUUCUAAACACAAUUAAUGUAAUUAUUUUCUAAUUUUAAUUCAUUUCCCCAUGAUAUAAAUUAAUGGUAUUGAAUUAAUCAUAUAUAUAUAUAAUGCUAUAUUUUUAGAAAAGUUAAUUAGAAUUUAAUAAAAAGCAAUAGAAAACAAGCAAAGAAGCGAGUUCUUCUUAAACAAAAAGAGCAUAAGAAAAUUUAAAUUCAUAAUCAUAAUUUGGUUAUUUUUGUGAUUUAACGAAUGAAUGUUAUUUGAAGAAAAAAAUUAUAUAUGAGUUACUAAAUGUAUGACAAAAUUAAUUACAAUGUAAAAACGGAAUAAUUACAGUUGAGAAAGAUGGGUAUUUUAUAAAAUAUCAUGCACGUGCAAAAAAUACUAUUUGCUAAAAUUAAAAAAAAAAAAAAAAAAAACAAUGGUUUUGCCAUUUUUCAAAAUGGCCUCUAAAAACGUGGUUAUAUUUCUUAUUAUUCCUAAUUAGAUUAACGUUUCUUUUACUAGGAAAUGUGUAUUAAAAUAAGAAAUUUAUUAUAGCACAAUUUAGUAAAUAAAUUAAAAACAUAUAAUCCAAUGAUAAAAUAUUUGCAGAAAUGAAAAAUACUGAGAUCAGUCAAUCGGUAAACUUUUUAAAAAUAUUUAUCUACCUUCCAUGUUUAUCACUUAUAGUCACUAAUAAUUUAUUUCUGAAUUUAAAAAACUAUCAUUGAUGACCAUUGUCAUUGAUAACUUUUAAUUUUAGAAAUUUAAAAGAAAUCUUUAAAAUGGUAGCCUGAUGUGAGCAUUUUAGUUUUUUUUAUCCAUUUUUGCACUAUGUAUGCAAUUAUUUUAUCUUUGUGGUGUAAAUUUUAUUAUUGUUGGAUUUAUGUAACUUGUAUUAUUGGAAUAAUACGUCGACCAAGUAACUAAUUUUAAGAAAAUGAAAGAAAAAAAAUCAAAAUUAUUUUUUAUUAAUUAAAUCAAUUUGUAGAAAUGUUAUGAACUAUCUAAAAAAAAGACUUAAAUAUAUCGAUAAGAAUUAGAUAUAUUUGGUUGUAUUUUGUAAAUAGUUUUAAAUUUUGACUGUAUUUGUUAAACUUACAUCUACAUAUUUUUAUAAUGGUACAUGUUGAGUAUUAUGAAUGAUUAAGGGGUGUAGAAAAGGUUGAACCAAAUUAAAUCAUCUUAUAUUGUUUCUUAAUGACACUUCCAUAAUUACUUCUAAAUGGUUAAUAUAUAUAUAUAUAUAUAUAUAUAUAUAUAUAUAUAUAAUUAAUUAAUAUUUUGCUUAAUUAUUUAUUAUAUAAAAUCUGUACCAGGGUGAUAAAAAUAUAAAUAACAAUUAUUUUAACAAAAAAAAUUUACAUCAUCUACUUUUAUCUAGUCUUUUUAGGUCACAUCAAGCAGGUGAUUGAGAAGAGGACUUGAACGAGAGGCCUCUUACCCUUGAGAAAAUAUAGAUGUUAGUUAAAUCAAGUUCAAGUUGACAUUAUUUCUAUUAUAUUAGUAUUAUUAUUAAAUAAUAUGAAAAGUAAGAAUGCAAUAUCCAACAGUUUCUCAAUUACUAUUUAACGCAUAUUUCGACUAAUAGUAUAUAUAUAUCACUAAUUAUACAACAUUAAGUUGUCAAAUAAAUUAAUAAUAUAUAUAUUAGUUUUCAGGUAGAUGAUUACCAUAGAUUGAAUUUAUAAUCAUUUGGACUUUUAUUUAAAAACAAUGUCUCAUUUUUUUAGAGGUGUUUGCAAAAAAGCAAAAGAAAAAUUAUGAUAAUAAAGGUCAUGUCACUGCAUUUUCUAAAUUGCAAAAGUAGCAAAUUUAAAAAGAAAAUUGCAUCAAAUAACAAAAACAUUUAGGAAAAAAACAGCUAAUAAUACCUAUUUUUUUGUAUAUUGUGAAUAGGACAAAAUUAGUGAUAUUAGACGGUAAUUAUAAGGCUAUCAAAUGGUCAUUAUAGAGUUAUUGACUUUUAGAUUUGCUAUUUUUGCAAUUUAGAAAAUGUGGUGACAUGGAUCUUAUUAUCAUAAUUUUUUUUUGCUAUUUUUUCAAGGGUCCCAACUUAAAAGUCGGUAAUCAUCCAAUAGCCUUCUGAUAUCACUAAUUACUUGUCAUAUUUGUCAUAGUCACAAUUUUAAAAAAGACGUGUCAUAUAAAUGUUUUUGUAAUCUAAUGCUUUUUUGUUUUUUUCUUUACUAUCAGGUAGGUGAUCAUCUCAUGACAACUCAAAAAGUGUUUUAUAACAAAACAAAACUCUGAAUAGAGAAAAGUAAAAUGUGACAUAAAGUGGGAAAGAAUGUACCAUUAUAAUUAAUGCUGCGACAUUGGGUUAAAAAGAUGGUUUUUAAUUUGCUAAGCUUUUUUGCAAUAUUCUUUCAAUUAGUAAUAUAUAUAUAUAUAUAUAAUAUGAUCAUUUAUAUGUAUGUGUUGUUUGUGCCCUAUUUUUCAACCUCAACUUUAACUUCAGGAAGUGAGUGAUUUUCGCCGUUAAUCAAUGUUUCAUUAUUUUCAAACUUUCUUUUUCUUAUUUCUGAUUAAGACAUCAUAAUUUAUUUCGGUGGUAAUUAAAAUUUCAUUAUCAUAAUCAAUGCUUCUAUAUUGUUGCAAAUUAUUUGACGUCUUUCCCAUAUAAAUUAGCAAUUAUUGUUGCCUUUACUAAUCUAUAUAAUUUGGGUUUGGAGGACAUCAGUGAUGGUUUGGAUUGAUACUGUAAAUUUUAUGUGAUUUUGACCCUAAUUCAACUAAUUAUAUUUUUCAUAUAGAUGUUAAAUUUUAGCCAAGAAAAAAAUACGCUUGACAUUCACGUAAUAUCAAGAGAGAGAAUAAAGGUGAUCAGACGGAAUUCAUCGUCCAAAUUCGACUAAAUAUUUUACAGAAUCUACCACAAUGAACUCUUGGUAACACGACUGAAUUGAUCAACACAAAGUGUGAAUUUCUCAAUCAAAUAGUCUAAAGUCUGGAUGGGGUGUUGAAGAUGUUUCGUGACAAGAAGGUAAAAUGUAGAGAACUUAAAAAGAAAUUGAGUCCAAAUGGUCUAGCGUAAGUUUUUGAGUUUGUUUCUCGAAUUAUAACUCCUUCGUACAUGUAUCAAGUUAAUUUUAUUUUAUUUAAACUUGGUCAACUCACUUGAAAUAGCUAAGUGAGAGUCCUAAUUAUAUUUAUCAAUUAACCAACUUAAUUAGAUAAAAGCAUCAUAAGCCAAAAGCAUUAAUAAUGAGAAUUAUGCAAAGGUUCAUAAACUAAAAACAACCUAAAUUAAUAUUUAUGAUGAUUCUUCCUAAGUUGAUUAGAACAAGAAGCUAACCUAACCUCUUUUUGCAGGUCGAAUCACAAUUAUAUAUCACCUAUUGCAAUUCGAAAUCUAAUUAAUAAUACAACUACAAACAAAAUAUAUAUAUAUAUAUAUAUAUAUAUAUAUAUAUAUAUAUAUAUAUAUAUAUAUAUAUAUAUAUAUAUAUAAUCAUAAAACAUUAGGCAUAGAUUAUGCUGAACCGAGAGAUAAAGCAUAUCGUUGUUAUAAAGAUCUAAAUCUCACAAGUUACAAUAUCGAAAAAAAAAUCAAUGUCUAAGCCAUAAUUAGUACCUUAUCUUUUUAUUAACAUACCGAUUAAAGAGGAUGAGUUCUCGUACAUCAAUAGUUUUGUUGAAAUGUCUUGAAUUUGUUAUGUGGUUCUACGAACAACCAAAGUACAAGGGUUUUGUUGACCGAGGUUCAGAGGCGGCAUAUCUUGGUAGGGGUAUUUUGGCAAUGCCCCUAAAACCUAUUCAAUUUCAUAUUUAAUAUAUGUCUUUAUUUAUGGUUAUUUAUAAUUAUGGUCCUAGGGUUUAAAGAGUGCAAUAUAUAAAUUCUCUAAUCUAUUAGCAUCGUUUGUAUUUAGAAAAUACUCUCUAAUAGUAUCAUCUCUCUCUGCCUCGUCACAUAAUUAACCCACUAUUUGUUAACCAUAUCUAUAUGGUUGUGGUUGAUCUUUCUAUAGAUUUUUUAUAUCCUUUAAUUAUUGAUUUUGUAACAAGCUCAAAAGCAGCUUAAAAAAAUUGAGAGAGAAAGUAGAGGGAGUCAGCUAGAAUAUUUGUUUUAGAACGAUCUAAGCUUGCUAAAAUAAUGUGCUUGUGCAUCUGAGCAUGCGUGUUUGUGUCAAACGAUGCGACACUAGGGUGCAAUUUCAUAUUUUCCUUUUUCUCUUGUGGAAUUUUUAUUUUAUGAUCAUUAUUUUACGUGGUUCUCUCAAAUUUUGGAUGAAUAUAACAACCAACCACCAAAAAUAAUUAUUUAUUCCUCUAAUGCUGUAACAACUUGAAUCUAUCACAAUUGCCAUUUAAUAAAUUUAACUACAUUCUUCCUAUAGGGCUAUUAACACUUUUAAUUAACAAGUAGAUAAAAUAAUUUUACAUAAAAAAGCAUAAGAAAAUGUAUUUAAAAAAUAUUGUUAUAAUUAAACUAAAGGUGUAUUCAAAAUGAGUUGAAAAGGUUUUUUAAAAAAACAUUUUUAUUUAAACACUUUUCUUAAAAACUUCUUAAAAUAAAAACACUUUUUUAAAGUAUUAGUAUAUACCAGUUUCUUUUAUUUGUUAUAUAUACUAAAAAAAAAUUUCUUAAAAAAUUUUAAGAUUAAUCGGUGGCAUUGGUUGUUGGAGUUGGUGGCUGAAAGUUCGCAUGUAGAGUCAUCCGAGAUGGUGGUCGAAGAUUGACUGAUGACGAUCACUGAAGAUUUGUCUAAACCCUAAAAAUGUUUUUUUUUUUUUUUAAUUUUCAAGGUUAAUUGGUGGUGACAGUCGUUGGAGUUGAUUGUCGGAAGUUAUCGGUGGAGUCACCGAAGGUGGUGGUCAAAGAAAUUAAAUAUAUCAAUAUUUUUAUUAAAAAUUUUCAAGGUUAAUCAGUGGCAAUCAGAGGGUGGUUGGCGACGGUCGUCGAAGUUGGUUGUUAGAAGUUUUUUGGUGGAGUCAAGGAGGUGGUGGUUGGAGACUGGCCGACAAUGAUCAUCAAAAUUUGGUCGACGAACUUCUCAACACUUGAAAAAAAUACCCCUAAAGAUUAAAGAAUAGUAAUGACAUAUGAGUUAUUUAAAUUCUAAACCUAAUCCUAAUCCUUAAUUAAAACUAAUCUUUGCUCCAAACAAAAUGUGGACUAUUAAUUAUAUCCACUCCACUUCACUCCUAACCCCAAAUAUGUCCUGUGUGUUAUUAUCUUCAAGACACGUGGGAACAUAGAUGUCUUUGAAUGUGUUUCACGUUCGAUACAAUUUCUACUGCGUUAUGUUCUCUUGGAUGUAGUUUAAAAGGAAUUGAGGUUGAAUUAGUCGAUUAGAAAAUUUCAAGAUUGUAACUACAUCGCAUCCCAUUCCUAUUACUUCGACAUUUUGGUCGUAUUGCGGUUUAGGCUGUGACACUUAAAACCUAGGAAUAGGAAAAGUCGUAUCAUCUUAGAAAUAAGGGAUGUCAUGGGGUAAAGAAACUAGGCUUUAAUUAAUUUAAGAUGUGGCUACCCCAUGGGAACAUUAGGUUGUCAGAAAUAAGGGAUGUCAUGGGGUAAAGAAACUAGGCUUUAAUUAAUUUAAGAUGUGGCUACCCCAUGGGAACAUUAGGUUGUGGCUGCUUACAACUUCUAAAGGAACUUGAUACGAAGUCGAAUAGGUGUAAGAUUUUUGCCCAUCACUUUUGCAGUAGAGCCUGAAAGGAUGAAGCAUUGUUAGCGCCUGUUUAAACAUCAUUGUAAUUUACUGUUUUAAAUUGCAUCCCGCUUUAUUCAUAAAUUCAGUUUGAUUACCUUUGAUUUCAUUAAGUCACAUCCACAAACAAUUUAAAAUAUUGUUAGUUAUGUGGGUUCAAUACUCAAAAUACUUUGAAAUUUUACUUUAUUGACAGUGUAUACUUGAACUUAUACCUAGUUCACUCAUAUUUUUACCACUUACGCAUUUGGUUGAUCAACGCACCACUGCUAUCGUACUAGUGAGCAAGGUAUAAUUGUACUUGCGAACAAGAAAAGAAGAACAAAUAUUCUUUAAUACAUUUAUUUUUACUUUUUGACCGUUUUGUUUAAAAUUAAUUCCAAAACAGAUUUUUGGAAAGAAAACAUUAAUCUUAUUUUUUCAUUGAAAACAACUCUAAAUUUGGAAAAAGAAAAAUACACAAAACCCUAUUUUCUUCAUGUCUUUGUUCUUUCCUCUCUAAACUUGUUGUCCUUCACUCGUUUCUAGAAAAAUUUCAUUGAUUUCAUCAUGUUCUCCGAUGAGUGCACGUCAUCAACGAUCAAAAGUCAUGCUAAUUAAUCUAGAGAAGCAAUUGGUUUGGAUGAUUUAGUACAAAGGUCACACCCAUUUUGCUUUCAAAUCAGUGGAUUCAUCCACGACACAACAAUCGUCAUUUUUUGUUAACAAAAAUUUACAUAAUUAUCACAAUAACAAAUAACUCGAUGAUAAAUGAAAAAAAUAUUUUAAAAUUGAAAAAGAAAAGGAGGCACCACAAGACACAACGACCAACAAGUUAUUAUAACGUAAAAUAAAUAAAAUAAAAUAUAAGAAAUAUAAAUAUAGAAAAAUAAAUAAACAUGAAAAUAGAGAUUUAUCUUUAAAAUCUCAAAAAAAUUAUUUUCUCCCUUUCAUAAAUAAUGUCACUAUUUAUUGAUUAUUUGAACACUAAAAUGUGAUACUACUUUUAUAUUAAACAUGUUUAAUCAAUAAAACACAUGAAUAACAUACACUAAAAUACAAGGGAAAGUGGAAGACAAGACACUUGCUCUUUGAAACACUAACUAUGAUCAAGUAUCUAUUUUGCCAUAUAAUUUUAUAAUAGAAACAAAAUUGAAAUUCCUAAAAUAUGUGGAGAUGAAAUUGUUACACAAAAGUAUGGGGAUAUAAAAAUAUGCACAAUUUAAUAAUAUAAUUAAACUAUGAAUUUAAAUUAUGGGUAUGGAGAUUAGAAACCCAUUCUUGUGAAAGGGAAGAGAAUCUAGAGAAUGGUGGGUUCAUCUCACACAUGUAUGUGCUCCCCCAUGCAUCUAAUUGAUCUGACUAAAAGUAUAAUAUGUUAUUACUUCUCUUGCAUGCUUAUGUAUUUAUUGUUUUUCUUGUCUAAUGUUAUUAUUGUCUCAACCAUUCAUCAAUAUCAUUAUAAUAUAUGUUGUCCAAUUAAUUAAUGUUAUAGAUUCAAAAAGAAAAUAACAUUGAGAAUUAGCAUUCAUUGAUUUUGGACAAGGACACAUUUCUUAAUCUAUUGGUUCAUUUAUUUUCUUAUGUACUUGUACAUUUAUUUUAGAUAACACAUAUAAUGUUAGUGGCAUUUAUUACAAAUUAUGAUACACUAUAGUAUCAAUAUCGGUCACACGCGCAUGUGUAAUUAUUUUUCUAAAUAAUAGUUUCAUGAUACAACGAUUGUUAUUUCAUGAUAAACAAUGGUUUUGAAAAAGCUCUAAUAAACGAUGAUACACAAUCAUGUGUGGUUUAUGAUACACGAUCGUGUAAUUCAUAAUAAACAAUGGUUUUGAAAAAAUCGUAUUAUAAACAAUCAUGUAGCUCAUCUCCAUGACAUAUUGAAAAAAAAUAAGAUGGAUGAUUGAUUGAAAACAAAUAUAAUCGUAGCAAAAGUAUAACGAAAAAGAAUAAUAAUAAUUGUAGAAUAAUGAUCAUGAUUUCAAACAAAAAUAUAAAAGAAAAAUUACAUAAGAAGAAGAGAAGGAGAGUAUCAUCAGUGACCGCCACCGUAAAAAAAAAUGGAAAGAAAGAAGAAAGAAAUCGAAACCACACAAAAUUCAAAAGCGAUAAAGAUAAAUCUAAAAUAUUUUUUAAAAAAUAACAGAUUUUAUACCAUUUGUAAAUAUUUAUUUUUAAAAAAAUAAUAGAUUUUAGACGUAAAUAUUUGGAUGUUUCGUUAUAUUAUUGAAAAUGAACAUAGGGAAAAUGAAUAAUUAAUUAGAUGGUUAAAAUCUUACACAAGUACAAUGAAAAUAACAUUAUUAGACAAAGCUGAAAAUGAUUCCAAGAAAAAAGAGGACAAGAUAGUGGUCAAAACUGCAUCACAAGGCCUAUAGAAGGUGGAAGGGUUUGGGUCAAAGGCCCAAGUCCUAGGCCUUAUGGGAAAAUAUAGGACACGUCUGAGCCUAACUAGCCCAAAGGUGUACAUAUUUCCUAAUAAUUAAUCAAAUAUAGUAAUAGUCUUGCCCUUGUUAAGGGACCAAGUUGUAUGUAGGGUUGUUGUCCCUUUGUCUAAGGGGCUAAUUAUUGUUGCAUUGUUGAAAGCUUAUGUAGUAGUAGAGCCUUAGGUUGGCUUCUCUUGGGUCUAGUCUUACGGGUGAUUUGGCAAUGAAUAGAAUUGUAAUGUCCCCUAAAAGUACCGUAGAUUCUUUCUUUUCUUUGGUCUUGUUCAUUUGAGAUGAUAUCUCCCUUUGUCGUCAAUUGUCACUUUAUGACGAUGAGUUUAAAGUUUUUAUAAACCUCCAAACUCUUUUGAGAAGUCACAGAACUUAAAUUUAGGAUAGUUCCUUUUGUCAUGAUUUCAUUAGCUUAUUCAUGCUCAAGUUGCGAGUUUGUCAUUUGUUUUGCUUUUUCUUUUUCUUUGUUUGUAAGCAGCUCUAACUUUGAAAACUUAAAAGCAAUUGAUAGAGUUGGAGAGAAGAUUAGUGAUGUCAAAAACUUGGCAGGUAAUACAUAUAAUCAUCAUGUGAUAACAAUGAUGAUUACUUUGUUUUCUGGUGGUGAUGUAACUUAUGAAAUAGGAAAAAAGAUGUUUGCUAUAUAUAUGGUCUAUAUAGAUAGACUCAAUUACAUAAUAUUGUCUAAACUUUUCUAUUUUUCUUUGUAAGAAUAACCUAACAAGCUAUUAUUUUACGUAUAAGUAAGACCUAGUUUAUCUUUUUAACCUUUCUCAACCAAAUUACUAUAAUUUUACAAAGUUUAACCUUUGUAACCUAUUCUUUUUGCCAAUGUUAUAAAAAAAAAACAAAUAUAUAUGAAAGAAGGUAAUUGUAAUUAUAUAGUAUAUCUUACUUGUAGUAUGAUUCUCAAAACUCUUGCCUAUAAAGCCAACUAUAUAUAAAGCAGUAUUUUAAAAAAAUAAUAAUGUUUUUUAAAUAAUAACAAAAAUAGGAUACUAUCAAACAAAAAUUUUUAAAACUAGAGUAUAACCCAAAAGAAAGAAGUCUUGUACCGGUACACGACAUCCUUAAAAAAAACUUUUUUAUUCAUUGCUAUUCUAAUUUUGAUUAUGGGAUCACCAAACAAAAUUAAACGAAGAAACAAAAUUAUUUUUAUUAAUUAAAAAUAUUACCUGUCCAACUUCUCAAACAAAAUUUCAAAAGCAUAUAAUCAAAUUAAUCACUAACGUAUAAUUCACCAAAAUUUUCAAAAUAACACUUAAAUUUAUCCAAACCUAAUAGAAAAAAUUGUGUAAAACAAUGACAUGAUCGAUGCAACUCAUUAUUCAAUAAACGAAUCACCACAAACAAAGUUUAUCAAACGAUUUAAAUAUCAUUAUUUAGAAAAAGAUGAAAAUUUUAAAAGGUUAAAAACAUAUUUUAAAGAAACAGACUAAAAUUGAAAUAUGUAAAUAAAAUUAGAAUUAGAAUUUUAAUAUUGACGGUAGAAAUAUAUCUUUUUAAAAAAUAUAUAAUAAAAUAUGUUAUUGUAACUAAAAUUUUAAACAUAUAUUUUUAUCAAAAAUAUUUGAAGAUCGAAUAAUUGCAAUUGGAAAGUAAAUAUUAAAAAUUAAAAUGUGGUGUGAAUUUAAUAAGAAAACAUAACUUUGUAGGCAAAUUAGAAUAUUUAAUAUAUAUAGAGAGAGAGAAAAAAAUAAAGAAGUUGGUUAAUAAAAAAAAUAAUCAAAUUAAAAUUGAAUAAAGAAGUUGGUUAAUAAAAAAAUAAUCAAAUUAAAAUUGUAUACUAUUUUUUGUAUGAUUUUUUUAAAAUAAGACUAUUAAAAAAAAUAUGAAACUAUAAACAGAGAACCUUCUAGAGAUAAAGAAAAGUACUUUAGAAAUUUAACAAUGGUUUUUCUAAAACUUGAAAACUGAUUUAAAAUUUAUUUCUGUUUUAUCUUUUUUUAUCAUUUUUUCAAUUUUAUUUUCACAUCAAUAAAUAAGUAUAUACGGUGCAUUUUGGUGUAUCAGCCAAACCAACGUAAUUUAUUGAAAAAAUAUCAUUUGAUCAUAGUAAAUAUUUGUUUUUUGUUAUUUUAAUAUAGAGCUAGUUUUAUUCGAUCAUGUUUCAAUUUAAGUCUUUCAUGUUGAUUGUGUUUGAAUUUUUAAAUUCGAUUUUGAUGAUAUAUAUUAAGUGAAUUAAUUUUGUUAACUGAUAUGAAUAUUGGUUUUAUUCUUAAUUUCUUUUAUAUGAUUUUAAAGUUGUAUAAAAUUACGUUUAAUUUGUUAUAUCAGUUGUAUAACAUAUAUUUCAUAUUUUAUAUAUAAAUGGAUUGGUUGAUAUACCAAAUAUUGAGCAUAUCAUUCAAAUUGUUUCUUUUUUUUUUUUCUUUAAGAAGGGAGAGUAGAAAUAACUUGAACAAGGGAAAACCUUGGUUUUCAUUCAUAUAUUUCAAUUGUAAUGUCUGCAACCAAGCUAGGAGGAAAAAUCCUUAUUCUAAACACACCCCAAUAUUAAACCCAAACAGUUUGGAAGUUCUCAAUGGACUUUACAAUAACGAGCCAUAAAAAAAAUAGAAAGCACAUGUGUAAUAACAAAACUAAUGGGUUGCCUUAACACCCCUUGCAAAGCAAUGAGUAUGGCAUCAAUAAUAGUGAGUUCGUUCUUCAGCUUAUGAAAGGAUGAGGCAGACAAUGGUUUGGUAAGAAUAUUUGCUAUUUGUUGUGAAGUUGGAAGAUGACACAAUGAGAAUUUUUUCUUCUAAACCAAAUCUCUAACAAAGUAAAUAUCAAACUCAAACAUGUUUAGUUUUUUUUAGUGCAAAUGGGACUUGCACUUAAGUGAAUUGCAUUAAGAUUAUCACACCACAUAAUAGGACGAUGAGGUUUAGUAAUACAUAAGUCAAAUAGUAGUGAAGGAAUACAUACUAGUUCAAUAGCAAGUAGAGUAAGGCACAUGUAUUCUGCUUCAAUACUAGAUCUAGGAAUAAUGGAUGGUUUUUUUUAUCCCAAGAGACUAAAUUAUUACUAGAGCUACUUAAUUUUAUCCGAUCUUAUUUAAAAUUAACCUCAUUGCUAGAUUAAUUUUUGCCUUAAUUUGGCUAUUUUUAAAUUUGUGAUUAACUAACUUUUGUAAAAUACAAUGUUGUUUAAUUAGUAGAUAGUUUGGUUAGAGUAACUAAACCAUUUAGUUAUGAUAAGUAAGGUGGGCGAAGAAGUAUUAAAUGUGACAACUUUUUAAAUUGGUUUUUAUUUCCAAAAGACUUCGUGCUCUUUGAGGUGUAAGCCAAAUAUCACGUUAUUUCAAAUUCAAAAAAAAAUUCCACCAUUUCGAAAUUUUAGUCAUUUGAAGAAAAGCUUUUUGGCUAUAAAUAAUCUUUCUUCUUCGUCCAUAAAGAAAACAACAAAAAACCAAAAGAUCAUCUCUUCUUCAUCUAAAUCUCUAACUUCCAUAGUCUCUACUUCUCUUAACCUCCAUAUCUUCUUAAAAAAACCAAAAGAUCUACAACACCCAUUUUAUUUUAUUUUCUAGCAACCUUCUAAAUCUUCAUCUUUCUCACGAUAUCAAAAAUUCAUCACACAAGAAAAACUCUAACUUAGUUGGAAGUGUAUGGCUUAGGUCCCCAUGAUCCACACUUUAAACAACAAGAGAGUUUAGUGUUUUGGAUUUCACCUUUUCUUUUUUAUACAUUGUUACUCUUGUUUUUAGUUAUCGUUCUUCUUUUUCCUACUUUCUUUCUCUUGCCUUUAUUUAUUUAUUAUCUUGUGAGUUUCUCUUUUAUAUAUAAUUUUCUUUAUUAUAUAUAUUUACGUUACAUUUUGUUCUUUAUCAUUUUUUAUUUCGUUUGUUACUUUAUUCUUUAUAUAUUUAUCUUUAAUUUCCUUAUGUUUAGCAUUUUAUAUUUUAUUCUUUUUAUAGCAUUUAUUAUUAUUUCUUUAAUAUAUUGUCAUUUUUAUAUGCUAUUUAAUUUUGUUUCUCUAUAUUUGUUUAUUUUUCUUGUUUUUAUUUGUUUAUUUUUCUUCUUUUAUAAUUAUUUCUACAUUUUCCUUGUUUCAUAUCUUGUUUAUCCUUCUUUUUGCUCAUUUAUUUGUUCUUACUUUCUUUUUCUUUAUAUAGUAAUUUUGCUUUAUAUUUUUAUUUUACUUAUAGAUUAUUUUUUAUUUUACAUUUUGUCCUUGUACAUAUGCUUAUUUAAAUGUUUGUGUGUUGCUUUAUGAUUCAUUUAAUAUAUAUUCUUGCUAAUAGUUGUUUAAUUUUUUCUAAUAUUUUCAAUUAAUUUUUUUUUUAAAAAAAAAACAUCCGACUACGAAAUCUAGAAGAUUUGGAAGUACGCUUUCUUAGAAUUCUUGAGGUGAGAAGUCAAUUCUUUGGGAAUCCGAGAUCGAUCUCCAAUAUGUUUUUAUGAAAAUUAAAUCUCAACAUCAAUAAAACCAACAAGUGACAAGUUGGUAGAACGUCUAAGCCAUAAUCUAUGAUAUAAGGUACCUUUGAGAUAUCUCAAAAUACAUUUUACAAGUUAACAAUGUGUAAGUUUAGGAGAAUGCAUCAAUUGACAUGCUUUGUUUACACUAUAUGAUAUCUCGGGAUGUCUAAGUGUGACAUAUUGUAAUGCUCCAACAGUAGUACGAUACAUAUAUACAUCAUAAAAUUCUUCACCUUCAUGAGCAGGUAGUAAUGGCCCGCUCAUUAGAGUUGAAGUUGAUUUUACUUCAAUCAGUUUUGUCUUCUACGACAAAUCAUUAAUGUACUAAUUUGUUUGAGAUAGGAACAUAGCCCCAUUUGUAGGAUACGAUACUUCCACACCAAGAAAGUAACUGAAUAUCCCGAGAUAUUUAGAAGCAAAGUUACUAUUGUUUAAAGAUUUAAUCAAAUCAUCCAAUAUCUUUUCAAAACAUCUCAUAAUAAUCAGAUCAUCAGCAUAUACUAGAAUAUAAUAGCAUGAAGUAGGAGUUAUUUGAAUUAAAAGUGACGAGUUUGCUUAGAUGUCCGAACACCUAAGGUAUGUAAACUAGAACUCAACUUUUCAUACCAUGCUAGGGGUGCUUGUUUUAGCCCAUAGAUAACUUUUCUUAGAUGACAAACAAGUGGAUGAAAUGCUUUUACUUCAAACCCAUAUGGUUAUAUGGUUGUUUCAUGUAAACAUUUUCUUCUAAAUCAUCAUGUAAAAAGGCAUUAUUAAUAUCAAAUUGUUUUAUAGCUUAUUCUUUCAACAAUAGCUAUUAUUAGAAGCAUACAAAUUGUAAAUGAUUUUAGAGUAGGACUAAAAGUUUCAUUGUAGUCUAUGCUAAGUGUUUAAUGAAACCCUUUGGCAACUAAUCAGGCUUUAUAUCUAGCAAUGACCCAUAAGAGUUUCUUUUUAUUUUAAAAACUCAUUUACCCCCAACAGUUUUCUGAUUAUUCUGUUUCUAAGUAAGGCUCCACGUGUUAUUUUAUUUUAAAGCUUGAAAUUUUUCUUCCAUUGCUUUCCUUCAGUAAAGAUGCUUUAAUGCUUCUUUAGCAUUAGUAGGUUCAUGCUAUCAGUAUAAAAAAUUAAGAGAACUUUAGGUUUGAAAAUACCACUUUUGCUUCGAGUCACCAUGGAUGAGUACCUUUGAUUGGUAUUGGUUGAGUCAUCUCGAGUUUGUGAUGGCAUUUGUUCAUCACAAUGUUCUUCUCUUAUUUAUUCUUCCUCAUAUUAAUCAUAAGUACAUACCUCUAAAGGAUACACAAUAAUAGGAUUUAUAUGAUCAGUGUUAUCAGUAAUUGUGUCAAUAUGUUGUCUCUCUUCAUUAUGAUUCAUUGGUAUCUUAUGAAUUAUGGAUUUGAUUGGUGGAGUCGAGACAUUUUUUUGUUGGUGAAGGUAUAUAAUGGGAUGAUAAAGAUGCAAGGGAAAGGAGUUUUUGUUAAAUAAGACAUGUCUAGAUAUGUAGAUAUGACCUUCUUGUGAAAGACAUUUAUAACCUGUGUGGGAUAAGUUGUAGCCUAGGAAGGUACAUGAUGUGGAUCUGUAACACAAUUUAUGAGGUUGGUAGGGUAUGGUGAAGGGAUAAUAUUUGCUCCAUAAAAUUUUUGGAGAAGAAUAGUUAUGUUUCCGAUCAAAUAACUUCUCUAACGGACUAAGUUGAUUAAGGAUGGGUGUAGGUAGGCGAUCGAUAAGACAAACAAUUAUAGAAAAAGCUUCAUCCCAAAAGGAUCAAGGUAAGGUGGCUUGAGAAAAAAGAGUAAAACUGAUGUCCAUAAUAUGUUUGUGCUUUCUCACAAAUAUUCCGUUUUGUUGUAAAGUGUGUUGACAGGUUAAUCUAUGUUUAAUGUCAUGGUUGUUUAAGUAAGGUAUGUAAGUUUUUAAUUCACUUCUCCCAUCAGUUUGAAGGCUUAUAAUUGAUUAGUCAAGCUAUUUUUCAAUUAGUAUUUUGAAUUUUUGAAAGACUAUGAAUGCAUCAAACUUUUAUUGAAGAAAGUAAAUCCAAGUAUACCUCGUGAAACCCACUUCUAAUUUAAAUAUAAGAAGUAUAAUCUAGCUAAGUGUUUAGACAUUUGCGUUUUAGAUAAGAGGAGACGUUUUAAAAUAAGAUUUAGCGAUAAGAAAUUGGCUUUUGAAUCAAUCCAAGAAAAUGAUUAAGUGAUAAAGUCUUAUAUGGUUAAGUAUAAAUUUUGCGAUUAAGAAGUUUUGAGAAAAGAAGGAUUUUUGAGGUAUGACCUAUAAGUCUAAACGCACACAAGAGAAAGAGUCUUCGCGAGAAAGUUGGGUAGUCCACGAGAAGAGACUUAUGUGUUAAGACAUUCGAAAGUUAUGUUAAGCGGUUAAAGCUAUUCGCGGAAUGAAAUUAAGCGAGAAGAAAGGUUUGACGAGAAAAUGUCAAAUCUAAUUUGUCAGGGGUUAACGUGUAAUUUUAAGGAUUUAAGCAUGACUAAGAUAAAUAUUUAUUUUACACGUGUGAGGUUUUAAGUAGGAGGUGACAACCGGAUAAAAAACUAAGGAUAAAAAACUAAGGAUGACUAACAUGAGUUAAGGAAUAAUAUAAAUAGAGGAUUUUGUGAUUUAGUAAGCACGAAGAUUUUGUUAAAGAGCUUAAGUGCUGUUAUUUUGCUCUUGCGAAAAGAAGAAGAAAAACAAGGUGUUUGUUGGGAUUUAUGUCCUAAAACUCGUAGAUUGUAAAUAUAAUGCAUUGAUUGUUAUUAAUAAAAUAUUAUUAUUAUAAUAAAUAUUAUUGAUUAUAUUAUUAUUUUUGUCUUAAAAAUCCAAAUCCAAUAAACUAACAUCUUAAGAUGUUUGAUGAGUCUUGAACAGUAUGUAGAGAUAUAUAGAGAUCAAUGUUCGAGAUUAGUUUAAAGGGUCUAUAGUCUCGAGAUAAGGUUGAGUACCGUAUCUUGGUAACACUAUGAAUACUGCUCACUUUGUAUUUGAUAUAAACACAAUGAUCCAACGCUUUCAUGUAGGUGGCAUGCGUUUUGAACAGUAUGUAGAGACAUACAUGGGUUAAUGCUCGAGAUCAACUUAAAGGGUCUAUAGUAUAGAGAUAAGGUUGGGUACCUUAUCUUGGUAACAGUAUUAAUACAACUCACUUUGUAUUUGAUACAAACAUAAUGAUCCAACGCGUUUGUGUAGGUGACAUGUGAGUGAGAGUAUCCUAUGCAAUAAGUUUGCAUAAGAUCGAACUGCGAAAUAGUAACCACUAGAUGUGAUUUUGUUAACUAGUUAGGUUUCUAUUUCAAUAGGAUGAUCUAGGUAACUUAGUCUUAAUCCUGAGUGUAUUAUGAACUCAUGUUCGAGAGAGAUUGUCUUUUGAUUUGUACAGGUGAGAGUGGCCAGAUCACCGACUCAAUAAGCUUAUCAUUUUGG